rnacentral:lncRNA from 1 species
GUCGGUUCGUCCCCUGUUGCUUUUUCCCUCCAACGCCAAAAGGAAAUUGUCUCCCUACUUUCUCAGUGAAUUACAAAUCUCUUGAUCCAAGCAAUUCUGAUUCAGAAGCACUACGCUGAUCGUUCAUACAAAUUUUACUUCACAUGAAAUCUUGAUUUGAUCCACAGGUAUGUAAUGUUUGAAUUCAUAUACCAUUGACUUACUUAGAGGAACCGAUCGCGCAUCUUUCAAGAAUUUUCGAUCCAAAGUUUUCUGCUAUAUUUUUCGGCCACCAUCUCCCACAGUUGUUUUCAGUUUUGAAUUUAGGGUUUAUCACUGAUCACUAUUUUUCAUAUAGUCCUGGAUUUAGGGUUUAUUGUUGGUUAAGGAUUUAGGGUUGAUUUUUGAUCGAGAAUUUUUUCCUUUUGAUUGCAUAUAUAUCAGUUGGAUGUAGAGCUGUAUAUUCCACCUAUGAACACUUUGGAACUAAAUAUGUUAUCGUGUAGAUGAUGGAAACUAAGAAGAUUUACAAUUCAGAUAUCAUCUCUUGACCAUAUCAGUUAUAUCAUUGUAAUUGAUGUGAUUACAAGAUUAUGUAUAUGUGAUUGUUGUUCAAACAUGUUUUUAUUGCUAUGAUUAAGUAGGCAUCUUAAAUGUUAAUAGUUAAUAUAUUUGAUUAUAUCCAUAGGUAACGUAGAACCCCUUUUGGCUCUAGGGUAAUGCUGCUGAUUGAAUUCUGUAAAAUGGACCACUUUUAUGUUUUGAGGCCGAAUCUUUCAUCAAGGACAAGUAGACACUUGCUCCACCAUAGGGCAGAUAUAUGGAUUCUAACAUCUUCCUGAAUCAAAUGCUUCACAUGAAUGAUGAAUCUACUUAAGUCCUAUACUCAAGUCUCAAACAUACAACUAUUAGGAAGCCAUGGUCAAAAGUUUUAGAAAUUUAAGCAUAAAUGAGCUACCGAUUGUGUGGUAAAAGUGUAACACACAUAUGGUUUUGUAAAAAAAGAAAAAACAAAUUGCUCUCGUUGAGAGUCGAACUCAAGACCUCCCGCUUACUAAACGGGUGCUCUAACCAACUGAGCUACGAGAGCUUUUUGCUUUACUAUAUUACACCAAUUUUUCUAGUAAUUAGAUAUGGAGUAAAUUACAUUUUGGUCCCUGUGCUUUGUUAAAUUUAUGGUUUUGGUCCAAAAAAGAAACCUUUCUUCCUUUUGGUAAUGUAUUUCACCGUUUCAUAACAUUUUGGCUUACUAGGGCAUUUUGGUCUUUUCCUUGUGUUCUCUUUUCAAGAUUUCCUAUGUGGACUUAAAUAAGGUAUUUGUUAAUAUGUUCUUCCAUGUCUUUAUCUUCUUUCGUCUCCUCAGUAAUAAUGGCCACAUGUUCAUGUGAAAGAAGUAUCUGGUGAUAAAAAAUAUAUAGUAUAUGGUUUUGAAAAAAGAAAAGAAAAAAAAACAAUUUGCUCUCAUUGAGAGUCGAACUCAAGACCUCCCGCUUACUAAACGGGUGCUCUAACCAACUGAGCUAUGAGAGCUUCUUGCUUUACUAUUUGGGAUACAACAUUUUUUUUUUAUAAUAAGUAAUUAGAUAAUAUGGAUGCAUUUGUUUCAUGGUUUUUAAUUUUUAGCUUCAUAUGACACUCUGCCUAUUGUGAAAUUAAACUUAGCAAUGUCACUUCAAAAGAAACCUAAGGAUGCUGAUUCUUGCAUAUGUUUUGAGACUCUACAUGUAUUUAAGAAUGUUUGUUUAUGUCUUAAUUCUCAUUCAAUUCAAUUCAAUUCAAUUCUUGAGCAUAUAUAUAUGAGCCACAGGUUGUGUGGGGAAAAAGAUAAGGUUUUGUAAAUAAGAAUUAAAAAAAGAAAAAACAAAUUGCUCUCGUUGAGAGUCGAACUCAAGACCUCCCGCUUACUAAACGGGUGCUCUAACCAACUGAGCUACGAGAGCUACUUGCUUUUCUUAUUUUACAACAUUUCUUAUAGUAAAGGGUUAAAGUUGAAAUGCUUAACCAACUAAUUGAUUUGUCCCAAAUUGGUUGCUAAAUGUUUCUUUCAAGCAUUUAGGGUCCUUAUACAUCAAUUUUUUUUGCACCAUUUUAACAAUCUAUAUGCAGUUUGCAACAUUGCCAAAGUGGAUAAAAAGAGCCUAGGAUAAAGUGGCAUUGAUGGGUUUUCAAGCAAUGUUAGAAGGUGGAAAUUUGUAAUGAAAGUUGAAACUUCAGCAUAUAUGAGCCACUGGUUGUGUGAGAAAGAGAUAAGGCUUUUUAAAAGGAAAAAAAAAAGAGAGACAAAUUUGCUCUCGUUGAGAGUCGAACUCAAGACCUCCCGCUUACUAAACGGGUGCUCUAACCAACUGAGCUACGAGAGCUUCUUGCCUUAAUAUUUCACAACAUUUUUCUUUAAGAAGCGUUGGAAACCUUAGAGCAUAGAUGAGCCACCAGUUGGGUGGAAAACAGAUAUGGUUAUGUAAACAAAGAAUAAUUAUUUUAUUCAUAUUCUAUAGAUUAUCCUUUUCUACUUAAUAGGUUUACAUAACUAUUCUACGAUUUAAAUGCCAUUUGUUUUGUAAUAAUAACAUUUAUAGCCACGUGACAAUGUAAUAUUUAUAAAUAAUCUAAUACGAAGUUGGAACGGAAUGAGAAGAACAAUUGAUGCCCUUCAAUGAUAAUUCUUAAAUUUUUUUAUCAAAUCCCAAAAUAUAAAAACUCAAAAGGCAAGUUUGGUAUAAAUACGUCAAAACAUUUUCCGGCAGUUGUAUCAAAGGAAUGAGAAUCAUAGAAAAUUGAGUGAAUAUGUUUUGAGAACAAUCGUAUUUUACUAUCUUUUGGUUUUUAUUUAUGUUUGGGGGUAAAUAAACAUUAAAGGAAUAUUUAAUAAUAUUUAGUAAGGGAAAAUAGUAUUUUACUUCAGACAUAACUAUAAUGAAAGAAAAAUACGAGUUGGAUUUAAGGACCAAAUGCGUAAUAUUUACCAAAUCACAAGACGAUUUCAUUAAUUUACUCUUUAGUGUUUUCUACAUUUUUGUUUGUUUUCUUUUUUCCUUUGGAAUCAUAAUUAUAAUUUAUAAGCACUCUAGAAAUACAUUUUUGCAUAAUUUCCGAACAUCUCCAACAUAUUUUUAUUCAUACAAAUUAAGCUGCAAAACUUUUAGCUAUGGAAAAUGAUGAGACAGAAUAAGUUGGUGAGACAAUGUACGUCAUUAGUGACGAGUCUAGAAUAGAAAACAACAUGAUUCACAAAUUUUUCAAUAUACAUUUUUCUGCACAAAUUCAAAAAAAUUAUAGGUAAGCUAGGUCAUAAUUUUUUUUUAAGAUAAGUCCCUAAAAAUUUUCAAUAAUAAUUUUAUAUAAAUUAAAAUAAUUAGGUGGGUCCUAGGACCCACCUUCAUUAUACCUAGCCUCACCACUGUAUGUUAUCAUAGGUCUAAAUGAUUAUAAAUGAUGGUUAUUAGGGUAUUUCAUCAAUAUAACUAAUCAUACUGAUGCAUCAUAUACAAGUAUUGCAUGUCAGGGGUACAAGUUUGAUGACAUUAUCAUUAAUAUGAUCUGAGGCUUGGUAACAUCAUUGCCAAAAUGAUUUUAUAGUCUUAAAAUUGGACGAAGUUCACAAGGUUUUUGGGAAACUGGUCAAUUAACAAACCAGAUAGCUAUGCGAUGAUGUAAAUUCUAUCACUAGAUCAUGGAAUAAGUAGUUUCAGAGUGAUUAUUAUUAUUAACCAUGCUAUUGUUUUUACUCAGUUAACCAUUUUUUACUCAGCUAUGCUAUUGUUUUGGAAAUUGGAGGAUGAAGUACAUUGCUCAAAUAAGCAAAAUGAGGAUUUCGGGGUCGUGUGAUGACCUUACAGGGUCACGUAAGUUCCACAGAGUAGCUAAACAUGUGCGUGUGAAAUCUGAUUAAAUGAAGUAGAAUAUGAUGCCAUUAAAUAAAUGUACUUUUUGGAGAAAAAGGUGGAACAUGGGUCAUGUCUUAUGGAACAUGGUUGUGUCCUAUGUUUUAAGUCCAUAAAAGAGUAUAUAACAUGUCCCCAGUCAAUCCUUACUCCUUAUUAAAAAAAAUAUCAUUAUGCCAUAAUGUAAGUUGGGUUUAUAGUCUUGAUGAAGUCAUGUUAGAUCAUGUUCUUAACCAUGUUAACUUUUUUACUCACUUAACCAUUUUUAACUUAUAGAUUUAAGAUAUAAUGGAUUAAUGGGAGUGUUUAGGAUCGACUUUUCAAAUCUUAUAUCUAUUUGAUUAACGUCACGUAUAAUUUUGUUAGUUUAGAUUUUUCCUCUAAAAGUAGCUGUUUUAUGCCAACUUCUUAUUUGUUUAUUUUUUUUUUCAUACUUUUAUGAAAAAAGAUACAGUUUGUCCUUUAAAAACAAUAAUUCGUUACAUAUUGUUUUCCCUCUAAAACAAAUAGGGAAUUGUUUUUCUAAUUUUACAAAUCUCUUUUAAUCCUAACAAUUGUAAUUUAGAAACUCCUUAUGGAUCAUUUAUACAACUGUUCUUUAUAUCCAUCUUGAUUUGGUUGACAACUAUUAUGACGAUGUUAAGAAGAACUGCAUGCCCAACUUGAUCAAAAUGAGAAGAAAGUUGGCUUCUUUUUGCAAUGCUGGACAAACCCAUAUCAUCUUUGAUAGGGUUGCAAUUGUAGUUAUUGUAAUUAUUCAAGAAUCUCUGUGUUGUGGUGAUUUUUAUUCCAAUUCGAAGUUCAUAAGCACCACUACAAGGAGAAAACUAAUAAAUGAGUAGGUUUCACCAUUUAGUUGUGGUUGGUGUUCAUCUUGUGAAUAUUAAAAGUAAUCCGGGUUCAAAAGUGUUGAAAUCUUGAGCAUAGAUGAAUCAGUGGCUGUGUGACAAAUAAAUAAGGUUUUGUAAAUAAGAUUUUUUUUUUCUCGCAAAAAAUCCUAAAAUUUUGGCCUACUUUACGUUUAGUCCCAAUUUUUUAUGAAAGAAUCUAGAAAACCGGCUAACAUUUUUAGUUUAAUCCCUUUUACAUUUUCAAAACGCAACCUGCUAAGUGGAAAUGUGGUUGAUAUUUUUUAUUUUUAAUAGAAAAGCCCCAACUGUUUGGGCCAGUUUACGUUUAAGUCCCAAAUUACUUUUUUACGAAAAAGUCUUGAAAACCGGCUAAAAUUUCCAGUUUAAUCAUUUUUUACAUUUUUAGUUUAACUUGUUGAGGCAGUGUGCCAAGGUUUGUGGUUGAUAUGACAUGACGUGACAGCUGACAUGACAUGCCACGUCAGCGCCAUUGCUUACUUUAAAAAAUCAGUUUUAUUUUGGGAGAAAAGAAGGGGAGGGGGACUCGAACCUGUGANAACUAGCAUGAUUCAACUUGUCUCCCCCCCCCCCCCCCCCCCCCCCCCCCCAAAAAAAAAAAUGAUAUUUUUAAGUAAGGAAGGAUGCUAACGUAACAUGCUACAUCAGCUGCCAUGUCAAGCCACCUCAACCAUCCUUUCUCCUUAGCAUGCCACCUCAGCAUGUUAAAUUGAAAUGUAAAAAAGGGUUAAACUGAAAAUGUUAACCCGUUUUUCAGGAUAUUAUCUUAAAAAAAAUAAAUUGUGACUAAAACGUAAAAUGGUCCAAAAUUUUGGAACUUUUCUACAAAAAAACAUCAACCACCUUUCCACCUUGGCUCCUCACCUCAACAGGUUACUUGAUGAAAAGGUAAAAAAUGAUUAAAAUGAAAUGUUAGCUAGUUUUCAUGACUUUCUCAUAAAAAAAUAAUAUGAGACUAAAACGUAAGGUGGACCAAAAUUUUGGGACUUUUUUUUACAAAAAGUCUAAGAAAAGGAUAACUGUUUGCACUUGCUAAAGAGAUGGAAAUGGAAGAGCAUAGAGGAAAUGGAAGCAAACAAUAUUUAAAAAGAGCAUAUAAUGCUUACUGAUAUAUGUUUUAAAAAUCAUAAUCAAUAUGUUUUGCAUUGAGAGUCGAAAUGGUAGUAAACAAUAUCUAAAAAGGCAUAAAAUUGCUUAUAUGUGUUUUAUUUAAACAUUUUUUUUAUAAAAGCUAGCUAGUGUGACAUCCUCUAAUUUUUGGAACCAAAAAUAAUUUUUUUUAUGCUUUGGAAAUCAUGAUACUUUAUUUGUGGAAAAUUUUCAGUAUAUUAAAAAUAUUUUGAGUAUAAAAUUGUCUUAAAUAAAAUUAUAAGGAUGUCAUAAUUAAUACAUAUACAUAAGUUACAGUGUAAAGACAUAAUGGUCCUGAACACCAUUGCAAACUUUCUCUUAAUCACUCAAAAUCCUAAUCAAGUUCUAGUGGCUUGAGUCUUGAUACCUAUGAUGCAUACAAACUGAGUGAGUCAGGUUGUGAAACUUGGUGAGAAACAUAGGGAUUUUAAUCUCAAAAUGUUAUUUUAUAUAUAUACUAGUUUAUAACCCAUGGAAACCACGGUUACAAAAUUAAUUAAAUUUUAUAGUAAAAACUUAAAAUUAUUAAUUAAUUAUUUUAAAUAAAUUAUUAAUUAAGAUUUUUUUUAGUUAUAUAAAUUUUAGUCAUUGAUUUAAAUAAAUAUGUGAAAUUAUAUCAUUUNNNNNNNNNNNNNNNNNNNNNNNNNNNNNNNNNNNNNNNNNNNNNNNNNNNNNNNNNNNNNNNNNNNNNNNNNNNNNNNNNNNNNNNNNNNNNNNNNNNNNNNNNNNNNNNNNNNNNNNNNNNNNNNNNNNNNNNNNNNNNNNNNNNNNNNNNNNNNNNNNNNNNNNNNNNNNNNNNNNNNNNNNNNNNNNNUCUUAACCCUACAAAACCAACUAAUACUAAACAACAUAUAUAAAUAAUUCCGAUUUGGAUAUUUAUAAAACCUCAUACCCAUACAUACCCACCCUAAUCGAUCCUCACAGAUCCUAUUCCAUAAUUAUCAGGAAGAUAAACCAUUUAGAAAGGACUUGACUAUAUCGCUAGGGGUUUCCUUGGCUAGAAAAAGUCAUAAAGGCACUCGUGCCAUCAAAGUAUCUGAAGAAUAUGGUAUCCCAUUUCAUCUACGUCUGUAGGUUAUAAAACCACACUAGCAACGUAAUUCAUAAGACCAUCUAGAAUGAUCAAGUGUUGUCAUCUUACUAUAAGAGAUGACCAGGCAUAUCAUUACAGUUGCCUGAUCUGGACCCACCAUUUAUGGUCAUCCAAAAAGGAAUACAAUUUGUACUCCAAUAUGUAUUUUUGUACCAUCAAAUCUGAAAGUGUCAAGGAACAGAACUCUACUCUCCAUUCCUAACUUACACACAUGCCUUGAAUAAGACUACCCGAUAUCAAACAUAAUUGAACUAGGUAUCUAUAAUAAGUCCUACCUUAUUCACGAAUAAUUAGGUAUUAAUAUACUUUUAUCCCUUUCCUUUAAUAAUACUUCUAUUAUUAUUAUCAUGUAAUAAAAGAUAUAUAUCUCUUAACAUAUUUAGAACCAUAUCUCGUUCGCAUAUCAUAUAUCAUCAAAUACAUUUCUAACACAUAAUCCAGACAAUAAACAUAUAUCUCACAUAUAAACUUUUCAAUAUAUAUUUAAUACUUUAAUUAAUACUUGUAUUAAAACCAUGUUCAUGAAAGGGACUAUGCAUUCACCUAACUUAUGUGGGUGACUGGAGAAUUCUGCAGUGCUUCACCAAACACUUUGACUUUUCCUUUGACGUGACCUAAGUACGAUUUAUACUGAGUAUUACUCAUGGUGACUAAUGAUAGUCUGUAACAUCCAAAUUUCCAAACCAAUUUUUUCGUUUUUAAAUUCAUAUAAAAACAUUGUUCAUAAAAAACAUCUCAAGAAAAUAAAAAAUGUCAAAUACAGAUCAUCAUCAAAAUAUUAGAGUGUCCCAAAAUAUCUGAAAUCAUAAACUGCCUGAAGCUUAGUAAGUUCCCUAAAAUACCACAUACAACACAACACAAAAUAAACAGAUAUAUGUUAUCAGCAACCAUGGAGACUACCCGAAGUCUCAUCGCACACAAUAACACAUAUCACAGUAAUAACACAUAGAUUCAACUGGUCAUCACAUAUAUAAAUAUAUUCUACCACAUAAGUAAGAAUGGUGAUAAGACUCACCUUGCGUACAUGACUGAUAGAACUCAUACCCGAACUGCCAGAACUAGACUCCGCCUAUUAAUUACACCAAUUAACCCUAAUUAAUAAUUAGGUAAUUUUCCAUACUCCACUAAUCCCAAGCCAAAUCUAAUUCACGUUUAGGGCAAAAGACCAUUUUGCCUAUUCCAAACCGAAAACCCUCACCAAUCCACCUAAGGCACAAUUGGUCAAAAAGUCAAAUGAAAGUCAAAGGUCAACACUCUGACCGUUACACGUUGUAUACUUAGCUCUACACUGGGCGUAGAGCGCAAGGUAGGAAAGGAUUAGGUUUGCAACUGGCUACGUUAACUCUCAGGAUUCGAGAAGGACUAGGCAGGCUCUUUAGGGCGAUUAUCCUCUUCCUUAGACAUAAAGUUAGACCCACUAGGUAAAUAAAGGAAUUACCAAGGUAAGACACAUAUCGCAAUAUUACAUCUACAGGCGGCCACGGGUCAUAACGCACUCUUCGCACAACAAAUCCAGGACAAAUCCCAUUUGAAAUGGAUGGUGUGAGUUUGUCAAAUGCUCGACAAGCCGCUAGCUUGAGAUUGAAUUCUUCCUAACAUACGACUGUCUUUCAUAAGAACAGGAAAGUGUAGCCAGAGUUACGCUUGGCGUACACGACUUAUCUCAAAACUUAACUUUUAAGGUCUUAAUCAUUAAGACACUUUACCCCAACCUCAUAUCUGACCUUAAAAGAUAUCCUAAUCCAUAAAGCCUCUGACUUUAUGCCUUUGCAUGGUUAAAGAAAUGUAACACCCAAAAUCUGGAAGGCCAAGAAAGGAAAGAAAACCCUAAUUUUUAGGGGCAACUCGGCGAGUCCAAGGAGGAACUCGGCGAGUCCGAGCGGGAUCCGGGUCGAGGAGUAAGUGACCAACUUGGCGAGUCAGCCAAGUGGACUCGGCGAGUCUGGUCUGUGCGAGGAAAACCCUAAAUUCGGGACUUGGAGCCUAUUUAAACGUCUCAUUCUCUCCCCUAGGGUUCCUUUACUGCCUCUCUCACCCAGAAAGCGAACCCUAAGCCUCCAUUGUUGUGCAUUUAAGCUUCCAAGCCAUUUUUGGGUGAUUUGAAGGAAGAAGAAAGAGGGGAAUCAGUGAAGCUUCAAGGAUUGGCUUCAGAUCUGGAGUUUGUGGAGCCUUUCUGAGGUAUUGAAGGUAUUAAGUCAUUUCCUUCCUUUAGAUCUUCUAGGGUUGUGAGAUUUGGGGCCUUUUAAGCCAUGAUUAGUUGUCCAUUUGAGUUAGAAGCCGGAUCUGGAGUUGCUACUUCAGAUCUAAGCCGAUUUUGGUUUUGGGAAGCAUAAAGUUUCAGCCCUUGAGUUGAUUAUGGAGCCUCCUUGCCUUAAACCCUAGUUUAUGGUGUAUUUUGCCUAGAUCUCCUUCUCUACACGUAAAGUUUGCAACUUUACAUGAGGAAUGGGCUUGGGAAUGGUAGAUCUAGUCCAUGCAUGACUCAAAAGUCCUCUGCAUGUAUAGAGAUCUGAAUGGACUCGACGAGUCCUUUGAGUGGACUCGGCGAGUAGCAUGGAGACGAGGAGGAACUCGAUGAGUGGGAUGAACAACUCGUCGAGUCAGAUGAAGUUGGGUAGGAACUCGGCGAGUUGGAUGAACAACUCGACGAGUCUGUUGAAGGUUGUCUUGGACUCGGCGAAUAUGUUCUUGGACUCGGCGAGUCAGGUCGCGAAACCCCAAACCCUUCGAGUUGAGACUCGAAUCAGUGAGUCGAAUGGAGACUCGGUGAGUUGGACAGGUCAGGACUCGGAAAUCGGUAGACUCGGCGAGUCAUGGACUGACUCGGCGAGUCGAGUCGCGAAUAGAAGGACUCUGAACAUAUGAACUCGGCGAGUCAAUAGGGUGACUCGGCGAGUAGGGUUGACCUGGAAGGUUGACUUUGAUCAGGACUUUGACUUUGACCAGAGUUGACUUGGUUGUCUUUCGGGGGUCAGUUAGACUCAGUGUUGCAUUGAUAUUGGUAGCUCGGGGAGCGAGUGGAGCAGGAGUUCAGAGAGUUGUCGGGCAGCAGCUAGUGGGUUCAUCAGCCAGUUCAGCCAGUGCAGGUGAGUUUCCCUUUGUAUGAAUGGGUCUACGGCCACAAUGCCGGCCCAUGUAGUUAUGAGUAGAAGACCCGGGGGUUAGCCCUAGGCACAGUAUGCUAGUAUGAUAUUCGGGACGAGGUCCAAUGAUAGAGGGCGGGUGCCCAAGGAAUGGUUUAUGUGAUAGUUUAUACUUGUUGUCUGUGUGAUACUUGUAUGUGCCUGGUAGGGAGGUGAGUGUGGGNNNNNNNNNNNNNNNNNNNNNNNNNNNNNNNNNNNNNNNNNNNNNNNNNNNNNNNNNNNNNNNNNNNNNNNNNNNNNNNNNNNNNNNNNNNNNNNNNNNNNNNNNNNNNNNNNNNNNNNNNNNNNNNNNNNNNNNNNNNNNNNNNNNNNNNNNNNNNNNNNNNNNNNNNNNNNNNNNNNNNNNNNNNNNNNNNNNNNNNNNNNNNNNNNNNNNNNNNNNNNNNNNNNNNNNNNNNNNNNNNNNNNNNNNNNNNNNNNNNNNNNNNNNNNNNNNNNNNNNNNNNNNNNNNNNNNNNNNNNNNNNNNNNNNNNNNNNNNNNNNNNNNNNNNNNNNNNNNNNNNNNNNNNNNNNNNNNNNNNNNNNNNNNNNNNNNNNNNNNNNNNNNNNNNNNNNNNNNNNNNNNNNNNNNNNNNNNNNNNNNNNNNNNNNNNNNNNNNNNNNNNNNNNNNNNNNNNNNNNNNNNNNGCGAGGCCUAAGUGAAACAGUUCUGUAUCCGAGCGGGGCUCGAAGCCAGGCGAGGCCUGGAGCGGCGGGGCCGUUGUAGCGGGCGAGGCCCGAGGUAGGGGCCGAGGCCCAGAAUAGCGGGCGUGGCACAGUAUGUGCAGUAUGUGGUUAUGUAUGGUAUGUGGUAGGGUGGGGAACUCACUAAGCUCCGUGCUUAUGGUUUUCAGUUUUGGUUUCAGGUACUUCAGGUAGCGGAGGGAAGAGCUCGGGGUGAUCGCAUGGCACACACCAUAGAUUAGACAGCCUAGGAAUGUUUUACUCUGAUAAUGAGCCUAUGUUUUGGAAAUUAAUACUCUGAUUAUGUUUGGAUUGAUGGUUUUGCUUAAGUAAUGUUUUAUUAAAAGAAAAUUUUUAAUCUUGAAUUUUGGGACGUUACAAGUUGGUAUCAGAGCCUUGGUUUGAGGGAUUCAGGCAUACUCUCGGGUGUGCCUGAACUCAAACUGAGGGGUCGGAUAAAAAGUUUUCAAAAAUGAAAAGACAGUUUUGUAAAAAGAAUUUUGAGAACGAAAAACAGUAUUAGAAAAGCAAAAAGAAUUCAGAAAGAAAAGAACUUUGAAAAGAGAAAAGGGGUGUGGUGCGUGCAAUCAGCCGAGCUCGAGUAAGUACCCUAAAAUACCCAUACAGGUUUAUGUUAUGAUUAUCAGUUAAUAGAACAGCAUGCUAGAUUAGGACUAAGGAUUUAGGGAUGAUGCCUUAUGUGCCUGUUAUAUGUGCUUUUGCGCCGCAUGAUAGUGCUGAUUAGACAGUAGUAGGAUAGCCUGUUUAGGUUAUGCCUGAGUUUAUGAGUUUGUAUGAGUCUAUGAGUUUGUGUUGCAUGCUAGUUCAGUUUCUUACUAUGUUGAUAUGAUUGCUUGAGUAUGUCAUGGUUAGAUUUUCCCUUGUCUAAAUGCUGCUUGCUCUGUGCAUUGUGGGAUUCUGAAUAAUGGGAGUUAGCCCUUAGGUGGAUACGACACGUCACAUGUGAUCAGGGUUGAAUAAUCUCAGAGUGUUGGAUUUGGUCCUAUUGCGCAGCUCUCGUUUGAGUCCAACCGUUGUAGGGACGAGUCCUUCACUUGAAGGAUUAUCUGAGCCUCGUCACAUGUGAUGGUAUCCAGGUGAUGGUUAAUUGGCAUCGCAAGGAGACCUUCAGCAGCUGAUGACUGGUUUGAGUUGAGUCAGAGGUUUCCCUAGGGUAAGCCUAGGAUGAGAUAGUGCUGGGAGCAGUAGUAGUGGAUAAGGGACCUGGUGGAGUCAAAACAAUUCCUAAGGAAAGUACGGAUAGAUGUGGAAGGUAGUAUGGGCCCGUACUACUGAAAGCAGAGGAUCCGUACUCGAUUCGGGAAAGGCCAAGACAAGACCGGGAACCUGGUAGGGUGUGUUUGGUCUCGCAGCAGUGAUCAAUAUUUUGAUUGAGGAUGUAUUAUAUUUUCAGCAUGGUGACGUUGCGUGAGAGACCAACGGGCGGACCACGCGCCGGAGAGGGAUCAGACUCGGGUUCAGGGGCCGAGCAGCUCGAGGAACGAAUGAGGGAGUUGAUAUCAGCUGAGGUUACGCGCAAUAUUCUAGAUAAGACUCCUGUGAUCUGUGGCACGGUCAAGGAGGGUAUAUUGGAGAUUUUGGAUGAGAGGUUGGGAGCCUUUCGUACUGAGAUGAUGGCAUUGAUGGGAACGCGUACCUUGACAUUUCGGGAGUUCAGGGCUUGCGGGACACCAGAUUAUCAUGGGGCUAGGGACCCCAUCGCUAGCAGCAGAUGGUUGGCUGAUGUUGCCAACGCGUUUCGUACGAGCCGGUGUUCUGAGGAGGACAAGGUCAGCUGUCUUCUGAAGGACAGAGAAAAUGGCUAAAAUGAAAUUUUUUCUGAAAAACAAUAGCAAAUGGGUAACAAAAAAAAUAUUGGGGCUAAAUGCAAAAUUAUACAUAAAUGUUGGGGCGAAAUGCAAACUGAGGAAAAUGCAAAACCGAUACAUCAUGACCCGGUUAAGGGCUUGAAAAUGAAACGUUUUCUAAAAUAUAAUGGCAAAUGAACAAAAAAUAAAAUUGGGGUUAAAUCAAAACGAAGGUGUAUAAAUAAUGGCUUUUAAGGUAUUAACCCUUGUUUAAAAUUCAGUUAUGAUUAGUAUAAAUAUGGACUAUGUUUUGGUAAAUUCAAGUUUUCGAUUUCCAACAAUAAAUUCUUUGGUUAGCAAGACUCUCCUUAUUAUUCCUUUGUUUCUCAUGUUUCUCCCACUGCAUAUUUUUCUUGGGCAUCAAGGGAUAACCAGAUCAAUACCUUAUAAUGGCCAUUAUUCCCAACAUCGAGAUCCCAAAUUCUAUGAACAUUUUGAUAUAUUUCACAUUUGUGAACGAUAAUUAAUAAUAUUUUGAACAAAAUUUACUACCAAUAGUCACCACAAGAACACUUACCAUCUCUAAAAUGAUGAAACCUAAAAGGAUCUCUAAGUAUAAUUUUCCGCCUCACAAUCUCACUUACAAACUUAAACAACUCAUGACAAUCACCACAAACACGAAGAUUCUUAAAUAUCUGCAAAUCCGAACCUUCCGGCGUACUAAUCAAUCCAUAUGCAAGUGCCAACCUCUCACUAUGCUUCCAUAAAUGAUCCUCCUUUUGUUCUUCAUCAAUAUCUUGCAAUGCAAACUUCAUAUCACAAACAUAACCACUUUCUUUAACCAUUUUCUUAAUCUCAUCUAAUUUCCCAUAUAUCUUUCCACUCUCAGGGUGCGAUUUAUCCCCUAUCGCAAAAGAACUCACCUUUCUUUUCAUCUUAAUCCAACUACACGCGGGUUUCUUCUUAACAUUUCCAAAUUCCAUUUCUGAUCUAACAUCAUGAACAAAGUCCCAUUUCCCAAUACUUGCACAUACAUUUGAGUAAAGAACAAAAGCCGAAUCAUCUAAUGGAUUUGAUUCAAGAAGAUGUUUUAACGCUUGUUUUCCCAAUUCUAAAUUCCCAUGAAUUCUACACGCAGCUAACAAGCUUCGCCACACAAAGUCAUUUGGUGGGACCGGCAUUUUCUUGAUGAAAUUUUCAGCUUCUAGAAGCUUCCCGGAUCUUCCAAGAAGAUCAAUUAUACAAACACAAUGUUCUAUACCAAUAGGAACUCCAAAUUUUGUUGUCAUUAAAGAAUAAUAUUCAAGACCCUUGUCUACUAAACCUCCAUGACUACACGCAGAUAACAAAGAAACAAAAGUGACAUGAUCAGGCUUAAAUCCCAUUUUCACCAUUUCAUGAAAAGCUUCUAUUGCUUCCUGAAACAAUCCUUGUCUUGCAAAUGAUGAUAUUAGAAUAUUCCAUAACACUAUUGGUCGAAUCUUUGCUUCUGGAAGCAUUUUCAUCACAUCAUUUAUCUCGCCACAUUUUCCAUACAUAUCCGUGACAGCUGUCGUAACAUAUUGAUGCGAGUCAAACCCGGAUUUAAAAGUCAAACCGUGAAUCUGUUGACCUUCUUCAAGAGCAGACAAGGUAGAAGCAGCAGAAAGAGCCGAAGAGAGAGUAAACUGAUCCAAAUGAAUUCCAUUUUUCUUCAUCUCUGUGAAUCUUUUUAAAACCUCUUCUCCAUGUCCAUGAGCAUUUGCAGCAAGAAACGCGUUCCAAGAAACGUAAUCUUUGUUAACAAAUCCAUUAAAAAUACGUGUACUUGAAUCCAAAUCGUUACACUUUCCAUACAUUGUAAUAAGGGAAUUUUUCACAUAAUCAUCCGAAUCAAAACCAGAAAGAAUCAGAUACCCAUGUAAUGGUUUCCCAUGGCUGAAAAGUUGAUUUGGAGUAACACAAGAACUAAGAACUUGAAUCAAGGUUAUGUGGUUAAUGGGUUCAUUUUGUUUUCUCAUAAAGUUAAAAGCUUUGAUUGUUUGAUUUGGUUGUUCACAUUCGGUGUAUCCUCCAAUCAGAGUGUUCCAUGUCACCAAGUCUUUUUCGGGCAUUCUUUCAAAGACUUUUUCAGCUUGCCACAUCAUCUUUUGCUUUCCAUACAUUGUGACUAAAGCAUUUCCAACAAUUAGGUUUCCAUGGAAACCAGAUGUGAAUACAAGUGCGUGAAGGAUUUCGGCUUCUGCUAAAAAAUCAUGGUUUGAACAAGCAGAUAAUGCGCUAGAAAAAGUCACAUGAUUUACAGGUCUUUGUCUCUGAAGCAUUUUAACAAACACUUUCAAGGCAUCAAGGUGCACCCCUUCUUGUAUAUAACCAGAUAUUAUUGUAUUCCAUGAGAUUAAAUCCUUAUCUGGCAUCUCUUCAAAUAACUUUACCAUGUCCUUGAGCUUUCCGGUUUCUGAAUAAAAUAGCAAAAGGGUAUUGCAUAGAGAUAAGUUUAAAUCAAACCCUAGUUUGUGGACCAAACCAUGAACAGCAGCACCAUAGAGGAGAUUGUCCAUGGAGCUACAUACUGAUAACAGUGCAGAAAGUGUAAUUGGAUCAAGAUCUUCAUGGAGAUGACGCAUGAAUUUAAAGCAUUGAAAGGACUCCUUGAAUGAAUGAUUGCGUGCAUAUGCAGAAAUCAUGGAGUUCCAUGAAAUAGUGUCACGUGUACUCAUUUGAUUGAACACAUAGCAGGCGUCUUGUAUGCUACCAAUAUUACCAAACAUGGAUAUAAGAGAAUUGGACACUGAAAGAUCAUAUUCGAAUCCAGAUUUUAUGACAUGUCCAAGAACUUGAAGACCCAAUGACUCGUUUUCCAAAGAUCCACAAGAAGUUAUCACAGUGGUGAAUGUGUUCUGGUUACAUUUGACAUCUUCAUGCUUCAUUUUGUGGUAUAAGUUUAUGACCUCCAUGGGAUUUCCAUUAUCAGAGUAGCCAACCAUCAAUGAAGUCCAAGAUACCACGUUCUUUUCUGGCAUCUUGUCAAAGAGACUAUGAGCACUGGAAUGGAAUCCAUAUGAAGUAUAAAAGUUUAGAAGGGCUGUUCCUGCAUACACAUUAUAUAAUAAACCGUUUUUCAAAAUUAAACCAUGGAUUUGAAAUCCUUGAUGUAGCAUAAAGCCUGAACCAGUGCAUCCGGUUAAUAAACUAGCGAUAACGAAGCCACUUGUCUCAAAUCCUUGAGCACGCAUUUGACUUAACAAAAGAAAGGCGUCUGAGUACAAUGAAACUCGAACUAAAGCAGAGAUCAUGGUAUUCCAUGUAGCUUCGUUUCUCUGAGGCAUUUCAUCGAACACGUAGCGAGCAGCUUCGAAUUUGCCGUGUUUUGAGUACAUAUUGAUCAAAGUAUUUGUAUGGAAUAUGCUUAGACGGAGGUAAUUCUUUAUACAAAAAGCAUGUAGUGAUUUUCCAACAGUCUCGUUGGUGAUCUCCGAGAAACCCUUCUCUAAAAAAACUGAGAUAAUGGUUCCUCCAAAUUGGUGCAUCCCACGAUGUAGAGACUUGAGGCUUGAACAUGGCGUCAAAGCGUUCCAGUAGAGAAACUGAUUAGCUAUGACACCAACUCGGUGCAUACCCAGGAACAGCAUCAGAGUUUCCUUGGCGAAGCCAAUUUAAGUAUAUACUCGGAUAAUAAUGCAGUCCAAGAAACCAUCCUUCUCAUUGUUCAUUUUAACGAACACAUCACAUCACGGGCGCCUUUCAUGCCACCAGCUUGAGAGCAGUCCAUCUCCCGAAUGUCAUUUUAAUCUGUAUUUUCUCUCCUAUUCUUCUCAAACUUUAUCCUAUUUCUUCAAAUAUGGAGAUAUAUUGUGAUGAAGUUUUGUAGGUUUUAUUCUAUCUUUUUAUAUAUUUAUAUAUUUAUAGUUUAUUUUAUCUCCUAGAUUUUAUUUAAAUACUAAUAUUUGUAAUAUUAUAUUAAUUAAUCAUCCAUAUAAAAUUUAUUUUUAUUUAUCGAAUUCAUAUAAAAAAUUAAAUACAUAUUAAAAUCAUGAAACAUGAUAAUAUAUUUAUUUAUGAGUGUAUUAUAAAUAUAAAUUUAUUUAUGUAAUAUUACUGUAAUGAAAAAAAAUAUAUAUUAUAUAUUUGUUAAAACCAAAUUAGUAGAAGAGUGUGUUUGACAAUCUAUGUAAGUUGGAAAAAUAAAAUAUACAAAAAAUAUAUUUUUUGGGGGUAAAAAACAGAGUAAAAAAUGAAAUAGGGUUGGAGAUGAAAUACUAUUUACUCCAUUUUUUGGAAGAAAAAAAUAGAGGUAGGUUGGAGAUGGUCUUAAAGAAUUUCGUCCGCUAAACACUCCAAAUUAUAGAGAUUCUUUUUUGGGAGAAUUUGGUAAGAUUGUCAACAAAAAUAAGGGAAAUGUGUAUUAAAGUCCUUAAAGAUUGAUUCCAUUAACGGAAAAGUCAUCCCUAUUUUUUUUUUUCUUUUUACAAUUUUACCCCAUAUACCGGCUAUCGUUUGCAUCUUGUCUCCAAUACCAGGUUACCGCUUACGUAAUCAAUCACUUUGGCUGAUGUGGAGGACAUGUAAUUUAAAAAGGCGUUUAGGGGUAAAUUCUAACAUAAUUCAUCAAAAGUAGCAAUAAUCGAUCAAGGGGGAAAAGGAGAAUGGCUUCAUCUCCUUCAGUUGAAAGUAUUCGUCGAACUAUGACAACCCAAGUUGUAAGAGAGACGUGCUAUUAUGGAGAUGUAUGUGGAAGGUGGACUUCCGGACAACAAAAAAUCCAUGUCGAAGAUUUGUGGGAUGGCCUAAUUAUAAGGUAAAGGCUUUACACAUUACUUAGAUGAACAAAUUAUGAUUUUGUGGUUUUGGUUUUAGGAUGAAGAGAAGGAUUGUGAGCACUUUGCUUGGAUAGAUCCUCCACUACCCACGAAAUGGUACAAAGACCAAAAGUUUGAAUUGUAUAACUAAGCAACUGCUUAAAAUGUAGGAGUACAAGCAACAUUGGGAUGUAGUGAUUUGGGAAAUCCAACUCAAGGUCUUCAAGUAGCAGCAACAGUGCAAGGUGGUGGUGGUAUAUCACUUGGACUUUUGAAGAAUGCAAUAUAUGUUCUUGUAGUUGUUGUAGUGGUCCUGGUAUGUGGUAAAAUGGUGUAAUAUUGUAUUUCUCAAUGUAUUGUGUAACAACCCAAAAUUUUCAAUAAAAUUUUUCAUUUUUAAAUAAUGAAAUCAUAUCCAUGAAUUAUAAAACCCCAAUCAUAAUUGUUUUCAAAACCCAUAACAUCAAAUAAAUUAUUCAUAAAUCAGAGUGUCCCCAAACAAAAUACCAGAGAGUGCAUGCCGUGCCAUUAUGCCUAGCCCUUGCCCUUAGAUCCUGAAGUACUUGAAACAACCAACAAACUGUAAGCUAACACUUAGUGUGUUCCCUAGAGCCUACCCCACAUAACACACAUAAUCAUACAAUCCAUAUAAAUCCCAUAAUCCAUGCAUGUAAACAUAUAGGGAUGUCGUGGGCUCCCACCAGGGUCUUACACCUAUGUGUCAUGGGUUCCUCCAUGGUUUUUACCUGGAAUGCCAUGGGCUCCCCCACAUGGUCUGAUAUCUAAGUGUCAUGGGCUCCCCCAUGGUCUUUACUUGGAAUGUCAUGGGCUCCCCCACAUGGUCUGAUAUCCAAGUGCCACGGGCUCCCCUGGGUCUUCCAUGCAAGUAUCCCAAAGACAACUAACAUAUUACAUACCACAUUGUAACAUCCUAAGUCCAGGUAUACCUUGUAACCCUUGGUAUUUUGUGUACUUGUCCAUUUCCGCCCUUUUUGAGGAAAGGUGGUGAAUAAGUACGCAUGACGUAUGCGAGUAUACGCUCAAUGUAGUCAUGUGCGUGCUUUUGAUACAUAAUCCACCUAGUAUGCUGGCCAUUGCUGCAUUUCAUGAUUAUGAAAUAUGGAAAAUGGAUGUCAAAACCGCUUUCCUUAAUGGGAAAUUGGUUGAGGAUGUUUACAUGGCUCAGCCAGAGGGUUUUGUCAAUGCGAAGCAUCCUAAUAGAGUGUGCAAGCUUGAGAAGUCCAUUUAUGGACUUAAGCAAGCGUCUCGCAGAUGGAAUCUUUGCUUCGAUGAGAAAGUCAAAGACUUUGGGUUUAUACGAAGCGAAGAUGAAUCAUGUGUACAUGUCAAAGCCAGUGGGAGUAUAGUUAGCUUCCUCGUAUUGUAUGUUGAUGACAUACUACUCAUAGGAAACGACAUCCCGACACUACAGGAAGUUAAAUCCUGGCUCGAGAAGUGCUUCGCUAUGAAGGACCUCAGAGAGGCUUCCUAUAUUUUAGGAAUAAGGAUGGCGAGAGACCGAAGUAAGAGACUAAUAGGAAUUAGUCAGAAUACUUACUUGGACAAAGUACUAAAACGUUUUAGUAUGGAGAACUCAAAGAAGGGAGAGUUACCAAUCCAAAGUAAUGCCAAGUUGAGUAAGACUUAAUGCCCGAGUACCGAAGUCGAGAUAGCAGAAAUGAGCCCAGUACCAUACGCUUCCGCAGUUGGCUCGAUUAUGUAUGCUAUGACUUGUACUCACCCUAAUGUGGCCUUCGCUUUGAGCAUGGUCAGUAUAUAUCAAGGGAACCCUGGUAGAGCGCAUUGGACCACAGUCAAGAAUAUUCUUAAGUACCUUCGGAGGACCAAGGAAUGGUUUCUAGUCCUCGGAGGGAGUGAUGACUUAAAAGCGCGAGGGUAUAGUGACGCCAGUUUUCAGAUCGACAGGGACAACUACCGUUCGCAGUCGGGCUGGGUCUUUACCCUUAAUGGAGGAGCAGUGACUUGGAAAAGUUCCAAGUAAGAAACCAUAGCCGAUUCAAUGUGCGAAUUAGAGUACAUUGUAGCGAGNAGCCCAUGGAAAUUUUCUGUGAUAAUGAAGGAGCGGUUGCCUUGACCAAGGAACCGAGGGAUCAUGGUAGAUCUCGACAUAUCGACAUAAAAUAUCACUUUAUUAGACAUCGUGUAGAAGAAGGACAACUCGUAGUGAAGAGGAUAUCAUCUAAAGAUAACCCAGCAGAUCCGCUUACAAAGGGACUUAGUAGGGUUAAGCACUUGCAGCACGCUAGGAGCAUUGGGCUGAAGGACGAUAUUAGUUUAGAUUAUAUAGUUUAGAAACGUGUAAUAGAUAAAUGUAAUUGACAUUUGAUGAUUAAAUAAAGGAGUAUUAUUUAUAAGUAAAGUUACUGUCUUAUGUUGAUUGUUUAACUAUUGUUUCACUUUGCAUGUUUUGACUUCCUGAAUAAUUGAGUUAUUUAAGAAUAAUCGAAUUAUUCGAACGGUCCACAGUCGUUCAUAUGUUGGAAGUAGAUAUGAAUGAAGACUGUCAUGAAUAGGUGUGUAGAUUGUCUAAAAGGUAUUAGACAUAGCAAAGGUUUGCUACAACGUUCAUGAGUGCUUAUGAACAAGUUUUGAGCAUUGGAAUAAACCCGUGCUUGCUGGAAUCACUUCAUGGAAUUUAUCACGAGUGAUCGCGAGACGAUAAUAUCAUAUGGUCUUAAAACCUAGAUAUAUGGUUUAUUGUUGGCUGAUUGGUUGUGCAUUGAUAAUGCGAAAACGCAUCACUAACUUGAUGUCAUAAAACACAUUGUUGUGUAAGAUUUGAUUAGUGAGUAGUAAAUGCAUAUAAGUCGAAGUUUAUCUGUUCCUUUUAUCCUAAGAGGGUAAAAGCGAUAUCAGGGCCCCUCGAUCAUUUGAUUUGACUUAUAUGUUGGGCCCGGUCAGGACUGAAUUGAUGUGUUCAAUUAAGUUAUAUGUCAAAUGAAUCUGAGAUCGAGAAACAAAUUGUUGGACAAUAAGAAUGACUAUGUUCCAUGUAAUUGUCCGCACGAUAUCUAGAACAGAGGACUAUACGAUUCCUUAUCUAAAGGACAGGUUACUGAUAAGAUUAGAGUUCGACAACGUCUUUGAGAGCUACGAUUGUUAAUCGGAAUAUGCUUACAUUAUAGUUACUAGACUUAUCCAAGUGGGAGACUGUUGGAUUAGUGUCUAAGCCCUUAACUAUAUUUGGUAAGUGCUUGACCCGGUUGUGCAUGGUCCUUUUGGGUUGCCUUCACCAUAGCAACUUGACAGGGUAAUUUAUGGAGAAAGAGAGAAGAUACUAUGAUUAUUAAUAUAUUAUAAGAAUAAUAUAUUUAAGGAGUAAUCAUAUUAUUUAAUUAAUAUUAGUCAAAAAUUAAUUAAGAAUUAAUUUGGUGACUAAAAGAGAUUAAUUAAAUAAAGGGGCUUAAACUGUCAAAUGUGUGAUAGUUGGAUUUAGGGUUGGGAAACCUUAUUGAUUAAAGGGGGAACGAAAUUAUGAUGGGGAUCCAUCAAAAUUUCAUCCAUAGUCCCUAUUCCAUAAGGUUCCAUGGGCUGCUUGGUGAUUAAGCUGUCCAUUAGGGUUUUGGCAGAAAAGCCUACAGUAUAAAUAGAGACCCCUAUAUGUAAUUUUCGGCCACUUGAUUCCAAGAGAAACCCUAGGGAUGAUUUUAGCAUCCUCUCUUCUCUCUCAUAAUUGCCUUCUUGCUAGUUGGUGUUUGUAAGCUGUUAGAGGAGUUACACUUAUGACUCUAAGCUCAAGGAAGAAGAAUAUUCAAGCAAGUAAUAAGACGUAAUCUUCUAGAUUUGUUUUGGUCAUUAUAAUUUCGAGUUAUUAUCAUUAGAUCUAGGGUUAAAAAUCCUUGGAUGAAUGCAUGUACAAUUAGAGAAACCUAGAUCCAAGCAUUAGGGUUUGCAUGAGCACAUAGGAUGUUCUUGUGGCUCAAACCCAUCAGAAACACCAAUCCUUGAUUUACCCGAAAGAGUUGAAGACUUUGUAGUUUACAGUGAUGCAUAUGGACUUGGAUUAGGUUGCGUUCUAACCCAUAGAGAUAAAGUGAUAGCAUAUGCAUCCAGACAACUGAAAGCACAUGAACAUAACUAAUGCACUCGUGAUUUGGAGUUGGUAGCAGUGGUUUUUGCGUUGGAGAUAUGGAUACAUUAUCUUUAUAGCAUGAGGUGUAAGAUUUUCACUGAUCAUAAGAUUCUUCAGUAUCUCUUUGAGCAAAAGGAGUUGAACAUGAGAAAAUAUGCUGACUAGAAUUACUCAAGGAUUGUAACUGUGAGAUAUGUUACCACCCUUGAAAAGAGAAUGUCGUAGCAGACGUUUUGAUUAGAAAAAUAAACCUAGAGAGGAAAAGGCCAAGAACGCUAAGAAUUGAAAUUGUCUUAAUGAUUGUAGAAAGUAUCAAGAAAGCUCAUAAGGAAGCCUUAGAAAAGAAGAAAAUUGAAAAGAAGAAUGUUUGGGAAAAUAUUAGUGUUUGGAACAAACAACCAAGGGUUGAAGGUAUUCCAAAACAAAAAUUGGGUGCCUAAGACGGGAGGUAUAAGAGAUCUUCUCAUCGAAGAGUCUCAUGAAACCAUGUACGCUACUUAUCCUGGAAGCACCAAGAUGUAUAUGGAUUUGAAACCAUAUUACUGGUGGUAGAUGAUGAAGUUCAAUGCUACUAAGUAUAUGGAUUAGUGUGUGACAUGCACAAGAGUUAAAGCUCAACAUCAGAAACUGUAUAGGAAUUAGGAACCUUUACCAGUACCUAUGGGUAAGUAGGAAGACAUCACCAUGAAUUUUGUGACUGAAUUACCUAGGAUGAAGAUUGGUCAUAACAUAAAUUGGGUGAUUGUGGAUCAAUUGAUGAAGAGUGCGUAUUUCAUAGCAUUCAAAGAGAGAUUGUCUAUGGAAAAACUCGCAAAAGUUUACAUGAAAGAGAUAGUGAAAGAUCAUGGUGCCCCUUUGACAAUUGUUUCAGAUCGUGAUAAGUUUUGUACUUAUCGAUUUUUGAGGAGUCUACACGUAGAGAUGGGUACAAAACUAUGUUUGAGUAAUCCUUAUCAUCCACAAACUGAUGGUCCAAGUGAGAGAAUGAUUCAAACACUAGAUAUAUGUUGAGAGCUUGUACGUUGGAGUUUGUGGGUAAUUGGGAUGAGAAUUUACCAUUGGUGGAAGUUUCUUACAAUAAUAGUUACCAUUUGAGCAUUAGGAUGGCACAUUAUCAUGCACUGUAUGGAUAUAAGUGUCGUCGCCAUCUUGUUGGCUUAAAGCCAGAGAGAAGUAGUUUAUGGGUCCUGAGAUUGUCCAUCAGACUGCUAAGAAGUUAAAAGUGAUCAAAGAAAGAAUACUAGCAACUCAAAACCAUCAAAAAAGUUAUGUUGUAAUGCCCGCGUUUCUCACUAGGCAUUAAUAAGAUGAUGUAAUAGUUAUGGUCAACAAUUGUAACCUAUUUGCUGUAAUAAAGAAGAAUUAUGUGAAUAUUAUGUGUUUCAUGAUUAUAAUAAUAUAAUACAAUAGGAAAAAUCAAACGAAUCGCCAGUAAAUUGUAAAAAUAAGUGCGCCAAAACAUAUAUAUUAUUAUAUAUUUAGAAAAUACAUGUCGUCUUGAUCCCGAAAAUAUACAUUUCGUAGAAAUCCGACUCAUAAUUAAUUAUAUGAUUUUUAUAAGAUAUAAGACUCAGUCGCGCACAAGGAAUGUGUGACAUAAAAGUAGGCCUGGCAAUGGAGUGGUGCUUUGACCCUGAUCCGAUCCAAACCCUUAACAAUUAUAUGAGUUUGGAGCAUAGUUUUUGAUCCAUUUACCCGUUAACGACCCGUACCCGCUAACCCUUUUAUUAAAAGGGUCGGGUAUGGAUCAUUACCGAUCCACUCCAUUUAUAACUCGCCCCGUAUAAAUUUUAGAAUUAUACAUUUAUAUUUUAUACUGCCUAAGUUUUACUUUAAAUUCCAAUCAAAACUCCAAAGACUAAAUUGUUUUUACAUAGGACUCGAGGGUUUGAUUAUUUAAAACCCUACGGGUUACAGAGAGGGUUUGGAUCGGGUUUUGGAAUUUGUUAAAAGGGUUUGGAUUAAGGUCGAUUCGCUCCAAACCCACUCCAUUGCCAGGUCUACAUAAAAGCUACAAAGAUAAUGGUUUUGGAAUUUUGUUUCGUGCGUGGUGCACGCGAGGUACACAAUGCACGCUUGUAAAAGGUGAAAACGCUGACCAUAGAGAGGCCGACACGUGGCACAAAGUGGUUGGGAGACGUUGCCUUAAAAUGCAUGACGUGCACCUCAUUUGCACACCAUGCAUCCCAAAUUUAGCUAUAAAUAGCCUAAGAUGCCCCAUCUAAGGCCAAAAUCCCAAAAUUUCCUUAGUUCUAAGUAUCUGGUAAAGACAUGAUAUCCCUUAAAGCCCCACAUCUAAGGUGCUAGUAGGAUGGAGUUCUGCCAUUACAAUUUUCGAACUUUUGUCUAGGGAAUCUCUGUAAGUUAAAUUACACUCGACCUUAUCUUAGUGUAAUUUAUAUUUAUAAGUCAUAGUCGUUAUUAUGAACCUAUAAAUAAGAUUUAUCAGUAAUUCCAAGUCAUAAUAUUGAUCAAUCUUCUUACGGGAGAGGUGUCUAGAAUGGUCACGUUGGCUUGGUUGUUGGAUUUUAGAAUGGCUAUACGUUGAAAUGGUCCUACCUCCCAACUGUCCUCCUGGCUGAUCCUUAUUUGAUAAAACUAUCAAUAUUCUUUGGAAUAAUUGAUAGGUCUAGACUAUUUUCAGUCACGUAGAAUAUUAGGCUAAGACAUAGUUAUAAUGAUACUAGGGUAUGUCAAAGGAAAAGUUUGCUGCUAGAAGCGAAAUGUUGUCUGAGUUUUGAGUCAUUACUUUAACAAGUGAGUGCAUAGUUACUUUCAUCUUACACAUAGAUAUGAUGUACUUAAGAUAAUGACAUGCUAUAUAUACCUAUUAUCUGUGUUCCUAAAAUCUAUGCUAGAUGAACGAUUAUACAUGUUUUACUUGAUUUAAAAUAUAUAUAUAUAUAUAUAUAUAUAUAUACCUAUGUAGAGAUGGGUAGAUGAAAUAUGAUAUAGAUGAAGAGAUAUGAAAGAUGUAAUAGAUUAUGAGAGGCCUUGACUUUAAAGAUGAUCUAGUCGUUUAGUGGAAUAUAGAUGACGACAGAUUAUUUUAGACAGUACAGUGGAAUGCUAGCAGGCCUGCAACCUGUAUGUGUUUUUGAACUAAGUGUUCACCAGGUGUAAUCUUGCAACCGACAAACUUUGGUCCAAUGGUAAAGAUAGCAAGGACUCUAAAGGAGGACAUAUGGUCAGCAAGGAACAUGGAGAACCAAAUUAGGAAGAAGGGUUUGGAGAGAGCGAAGGUAGGAGAGAAGAGAAAGUUUGAGGGACCAUCAAGGUCCAACAAGAAGAGUAGAUUUUCAAAAUCUGGUUCCAGAAAUUUUGUAGGUGGAGGAGAAGAAAAAUGGCACGAGAAGUGCAAAAAGAAGCAUUCUGAUUUUGUAACGCCCCGAUUUCCAGGUAUUGACUUAGUGUGUGAGUCCUUGAUUUCAAGGGCUACUCGACGAGUUGAUUGCCCUACUCGUCGAGUAGCAGCGGGUUGGCCACGUAUUUUAAUGAGCUACUUGCCGAGUUCAAGAAGGGACUCGACGAGUAGGAGCUGGCAGAUGAAACCCUAAAUCUCGGGGUUUUGCACCCUAUUUAAAUGAUCAUUGGCCUCCCCCAGCCUCCCCUCUACUGCCCUUUGUCCCUCUCAAGCCCUAAAUCGUGUGUGUGUGUGUUCUUUUGGUGUGUUCAUGCUUGGAGGAGGAAAAUUGAAGAAGGAAACACUUGGGGAAGCAAGGAAAUCAAGGCUAGGAACUCGUGGGGAGCUAGGAGGUUCAUCAGUUGUCACUCCCUGAAAGGUAUUAAGUUGUUCCUUUAGCUCAUCUCUCUUUUGACCUCUUUUGGAUGGGUUUUAUGAAAGGCUCCCCAUGUUUAAGCUAAGAUCUGAAGUUGUAACUUCAGAUCUGGACUCCCUUUGACCUCUAGAUCCAUAAAGUCAUCAGCCUUGCCUAUUACGAGCCUUCCCUCAAGUGUGAGACUUCAUUGUAAGCUUAGUUUUGCCAUUUAAGGGUCUUAAAGCCUUGCAUGCACGUAAAGUUUGCGACUUUACGUGAUAAAUAUGCCAUAGAAGCUUGGAUCUAUAAUUUGGAGCCUUGCCAUGGCUUUAAAAGCGUCUGCAUGGAUGAAGGUCUGCAAGGACUCGGCAAGUUGGAUGAACAACUUGGCGAGCCCGUUGAAGAUAGCCAUGAACUUGACGAGUUGGAUGAACAACUCGGCGAGUUUGUUGAAGAUUGCCUUGGACUCGGCGAGUCGUUCGAAGACUCGACGAGUCGGCUAGGGUUUCUCCCAAUUAUUGGACAAAUGAACUUGGCGAGGUAAAAAGGGACUCGACGAGCCAAUAAGGGAUUUCAUGACUUCUCGAGUUCAGGAAGGACUCGAAGAUUUGGUGAACUGCACUUGACGAGUCGAGUCAGCAUGGACUGUUGAAUUUGACUGUGGACUUUGACUUGGACCAAGGGUUGACCAGUUGACUUCUGAGGGUAUUCUGGUAAUUUGGAGACUUAUGAAAAAGGGUUCUAUGGUAACUAUAGGUGGUGGAGUUCGUGUUGGUGAUCCAGGAGUCGAGCUUUCUAGUUUCAGACGACAGUUGCAAGGUGAGUUAUCCUCACUAUACUAAGGGGUCUAAGGCACCAAGGCCAGCCCAUUGGAUAUGUUAUCCUAGAAGUGUUAGAGGUUGAGUACGAGUUAGUGUUGCAUUCUAGUGGUUAUGCCAGUUAGGUAGAUCUGUAGGACUACCUAUGACGUUAUGUGAUUAUUGCUUGCUCAGUGGUUACGUUAUGUGUUUGUUAUAUGAGAUGGGUUGAGGUUGUAAAGCUUCGUGCGGUAGCCAACAAACCUUAGGAGCAUUCCAGCUACGGGCUAAGGGAGACUCGUACUGUGGGCUCGGGAGCAUUCCAGCUACGGGCUAAGGGAGACUCGUACUGUGGGCUCGGGAGCAUUCCAGCUACGGGCUAAGGGAGACUUGUACUGUGGGCUCGUGGGUAUUACAGUCUGUAGGGCUGUAAACUCGUUAUGUGUUAUUCUGUUCAGCUUGUUAUGAUAUGUUAUUACUGACAUGGUUAUGUGGACUGUAUGUGUAUCAGUAUUUUGAGGGGUAACUCACUAAGCUUUUAGGCUUAUAGUUUUAGUUUAUUGUUUCAUGUACAUCAGGGGAUCGCAGCAAGGCGAAGGCAUGACCGUACAACUCCUCAUAUUAUGUUUAUGUUUCUGAGAAUACUCUGAUCAAAUAUAUUUUGAAAACAAAGUUGUAAUAUUUUGAUGAAGUUGACAUGUUUUAAAAGUUUAAAUUGGUUUGAAAUUUUUGGGUGUUACAAGUGUGUAUCAGAGCCUUGGUUUGAGUGAAUUGGAGAAACACCCGUGUAACUCCAGUCUCAAAUCAAGGAAAGGAGUUUCAAAAUGAUUUUUCUAAAAAGGUUUUCAAAAUAAAUAAAGGAGGAUGCAGGGUGUACGAUCAGCCGGAGCCAGUAAGUAGACCCCCAAAAUACCAUACAAGUUAUUUGAUUAUGUGAUAUGUUAGAACAACAUGUUAGUACUAGGCUAGGGAUCUUCAGAAAUUGCAUGGUAGAAUUGUCUGAUUUCAUGAUGCCUGCUAGCCUAGGGUUUCCUUUAUAUGAAAUUGACAUCAUUACUGUAGUUGCUUAGUGUAUGCAUCACAGUUAUAUAUAAUUAAGAUCUUAUAGUCUGAGAAUGUUUGAUUUGGCCUUAUGUUCUGUUCUUGUUUGAUUGGGAGCUUAGGGUAGGAUUGGAUAUUCGAAAGUCUAUAGGGUCCAACGUUAUGUAUGGCUAGCAUACACUAGUGCUACAGGGUUGGUGGAAGUUUCAUGGAUAGGUGGGUUGAGUGAGGCCAGGAGGUCAGUUAUGAGAUGUUUAUCACUCCUCUAGGGUGAGAAUUGAGCGCUCGCCAUGUUGUGUAUUCAGUUAGGGCAUUGUGACGAUGAUUGAGGCAAAUAUGGGUAGGUGUGGAAGGUAGUUGUUGGAUUAGUGUCUAAGUCCAUAACUAUUUUGGUAUGUACUUGACCCGAUGGUGCAUGGUCCUUUUGGGUUGCCUUCACCAAAGCAACUUGAUUGGAGAAAUAAAUAGAAAGAGAGGAUAAUAUGAUUUAUUAAUAUGUUAUAAGAAUAAUAUAUUAAAGGAGAAAUCAUAUUUGUUUAAUUAAUAUUGGUCAAUAAUUAAUUGAGAAUUAAUUUUGUGAUCAAGUGUAAUUAAUUAAACUAGAGGGGCUGAUUUGUAAUUAUGUGAUAGUUACAAAAUAAGGUAAGGAUUAUCUUAUAUAUAUGGUGAACGAAUUUGAGGUGUAAAUCCCUUAGAAUUCGACUAGGAUAAGGGUUUCUAGGACUUAUCUUAUGGUUGCUUGGUGGACAAGCAACUAGAUAAGGAUAAGGACUAAAACCCUAAUCUUUACACCUAUAUAAACCCCCUAAGGCUUAGGAAUUCGUCUAACCCUUCCCAAGAGGUCCUAAGGACGAAUUCUAACCUCCCUCCUCUCUCUUUAUACCUUCUCCACUUGCUUAUGGUGUUUGUAAGCCAUUAGAGGAGUGACACUUGUGACUCUUUGCUUUCCAAGGUCAAUUCAAGGAGGAAUUGGAUUGUUAUUGCUACAUAACAAUCAAGGUAUGUUCUUAAACCUAUUUACAUGUGAAUUCUGAUUUCCAUAUGCUAGAAUUAGGGUUCAAAGUCUUGGAUUCAAAGUAUGUACAAUAGAGAAACCUAGAUCCGAGCUUUAGGGUUUGUAUGAGCACAUAGGAUGUCUUAUGACCAAAACCCAUCAGUGGUAUCAGAGCCAUGAUUGGUUUCUAUUGUAUUGAUGCUUGAUGUAACUGAAAAUCGUGUUUUGGCCUCACUGUUCGACCUGACUCGGCGAGUCACUCUUGGACUCGGCGAGUCAGCCCUACUCGGCGAGUUCCAGAGGGUGACUCGGCGAGUCGGUGCGUCAGACAGUGCUUAUCUCGGGAUUUCUUGCUGUUUUUGCAUUGGGAUAAUUACCUUAUCAUGUUAGAUUAAUAUUAAUCCGAUUAUAUGAUAUAUUUGACUAUAUUUUUAAUCUAAUUGAAGAUAUUUAUCAAUUAAUAAGAUAAUUGUUUCCUUAUAAGAUAAUUGAUUAAUUAUUUUAAGUAAAUUGAUAAAUUAUUUUGCAAGAAAUCAUCAAAUAUGGAUAAUUAUGUGAUUAAAUGUUAAUUUGAAUUAUUUGUUAUUUGAUCCUUGUUGUUGUGAAAAGUUUCAUAUUUGGCCCUUUAGGUUUUAUAGUUUAAAUUUGAACCCCAAAAGUUUUGUUGUUUUGAAAUUUAAAUAGUUGAAACCCUAAUGUUUUGAAAAAGGUUUCAAAACUUGCCCUCAAGUUUUGGAAUUUAAAUUUUGAUUAAAUAGUUUAAUUUUGAUGCAUAUUUAAAUUCUAAACCCUAAUGUGUUGAAAUGUUUCAAAACUUGCCCUCAAGUUUUGGAAUUUAAAAGUUGAUUAAAAGUUUAAUUAGGAAUGUUAAAUUCUAAAACUCUAGUAUAGUUUUGAAAAAGUUCAAAUCACACCCUUAUGGUUUUAUUAAUUAAUUAAGGUGUAUAAUUAAAAGAGGUUUAAUAAAUCCAUAAAAGUUUAGGUUUACAAUUUAAUUGAAUUAAAAGUAUAAUUGUUAAAUUAGACCACCUAGUAUUUUAAAAGUAUAAAAUACACCCUAUACUAUAUAUAACAUUAAAAGUCUAACAUUAUAUAUAUGUAUGAGUAAAAGUCAGUCUUACCGUUAGUAGGCCUCAUUCACGAAGCUGGUCUAUAAGGGGUGUUUAAGGAAAUUGCCUAUAAAAUGGCGAUUGAAUGGGUAUCCACUCUUACCCACCGCACUCUUGACUAGUGGAGGGUCGUUAGCCGAACGGGUAGGAUAGGACGAAACCUUCCAUUAUAAGUAUAAUGAAUUAUUAAAGUAACUAAAUGUUUUCAUAAAAUUCCCAAUCUUAGUUACUUAGGCAAAAGUGAAUUGAUGCAAUUCCAUGAAAUUACACUUUGUGCCCUUGCGAAGACGUUAGUGGAGCGUGUGUGGUUUACCGGCACACUAAAUGGUUCUAAGCAAAGGUAGCAAAGGGUGACUCAAUGUUUGUCAUAGUUCGGUGGAGCGUGUGUGGUUUACCGGCACAUCGAAUAGGUGACUGUAACAUGUGAGGGCACCAUGUAAGUUUGCAUGGUUAUUCACACCCGCUUUGUGAUCCUCGGCAUCCCAGUCACAAACAAGAGGGGCAUAUCGAGAUUUAAACAUGCCAUUGAAAGUUCAAUGAAUCUCAAAGGAUCUAGGAGUUUUCAUAGAUUUAAAACUUAAAUUUCUUUUUCGUUUUUCAUGGUGGAAAUUAGUGAAUCGUCAUUCACUUACCUUCAAAUAUUCUGCAAUUAGGGUUACGGCAUCCCUCUCCCGAGUUGUAGAAUAUUGUGUUGGGUCCUAGCCUUAGUAUCUCAUUUGGGUGAUUUACUAAGGACUCAAUCAAUCAACUAACUUGAAUUCGUUUUCUCCCGUUUUGUAGAUGUCAAAGUUCGACAACUAUGGUCUUCCCAAAUCCCGUGGAACAAGCAUUCCACAUGAAGAUGAUAUUCCACGAUUCGAUCGAGGAACAAGAAAUCAUGCUUCACUUCCUCCUCCUCCUCCAAUUAUUCUCCCUAACCCACAAGUUCAAAGGCUUGAAAAGUUCAAGAUCACUCAAGCCCUUUUGGCAAGUAAACAUAAAGAAGGAAAGUCGGUGUGUGCACACGUCCUAGGGAUGAAGUCACACAUUGAUAGGUUAAGAAUGUUGGGAUCCGUUGUCUGUGAGGAAAUGGCUGUUGAUUGGGUUCUUCAGUCACUUCCUAACUCAUAUAGUGAGUUCGUAAGAGAGUACUAUAUGAUGAACCGCGACGUGACCCUUAUAGAUCUCACCUAUAUGCUUAUUGCUGCUGAAUCAGCAAUGGUUUGGCGCAAUAGAAAAGCAAAGUUGAUUGGUGAAUCUGCCUUCAAGACCUCUAUGGAUAUAGACAAUGGCAACGAAAGACAUGCUAUGAUCGAAAAGUUUGAUCAUAAGAGAAAGGCAAUGUCUGAAGUAGUUCCAUGUCAUGUUCCAAAAGAGUCAAUUUGCUUUUAUUGCCAAGAGAAAGGGCAUUGGAGACGAAGCUGCCCCAUUUACCUAAGAGAUCUAAGAGAUGGGAGAGUCGAAACGUAUGGCUCUAAUAUAGGUAAAAUCCAUUAACUAACUCUUUUAAGCUUCUAUUCUAGAUUCUUAAUACAUAAUGUGAUAAGAUUACAAUUGAUGUUUUGUAGGAUCGAAGAAAAGAAAGGAAGCUUAAGGGAAGAAGUGAGCAGAAUCUAACCGUGAAGGAAUGGAUUUCGAUCGCAUUUCUCGAAGAUUAGAUUCUUGAGCUACUACUUAGAGUUAGAAUUAGAUUGCUAAGAAAGAUGUAUUAGCAUAGUUUUUCAAUGAAUUGCAUUGUAAGGACAAAUUUUUUCCGCAAUAAAAUAAAUUUUGAUUUUAUAUUAUUUAUUUAUCCUUGCAAUGGCGUAUAUGAAAAAUUGAUGUUUGAAUGUUUCUAUUAUUAGCAAUAAUGGAUUUGGUUCUUAUUAUGUUAUUUAUGGAAAGUCGAGAAUUUACCAAAUAGGGAGAGUUUCUCAUCGCCCAAGUUUCAAUUGGACAGAAACUUGGAAUCAUGCAACUUGGUUGCACGAUGAAUGAGAAAUUUCAUAUUUGGAAAUUAGACUAAUUCAUUGACAAAGUGUCAAGUGAAGGACUAGGAGAUCGAGUACACAAAGUUGCGUGUUGAUCAAGUCCACCAUAAGAGUAACAAAGAUAUUCGUCAUGAUUUACUAAAGGUUUAGUAAAUAUGAUUAUACUUACAAGAUUAAGUGUAAUUCUGAAUUGAUUGAAAAAGUUUAAAUCAAUAGCAGAACGAAUAAGAAGAAUCAAGUAGGCAGAAAGAUAAAAGUUUCUCCAUUCUAAGAAGAAGGGAGAGUACCUUUUAUGCUUUAUGAUAGGUCUUAAUGAUUAAGAACCAUAUCUCAAUUGAUCCUCUAAGUGAGUCUUAGUACAAUUGUAUGUCUAAGAAGAGGAAUCAAGAAUUGAAGAAAUGGUUAAAUCAAGAAGUCAAUCAUACUUCGUUCCAAAACAAGUCUUAGAGUUAAGAUUGUGACAUUGAGUGAAAAGUAUUAAGAAGGUUUAUAACAUUCAUCAAAUGUGGAAAGUUGUGAUGUCUUGGAUAAGACAAAGACCAACUAGGACCAAUUUAUGAAGUGUUUUGAUAAAAGCUACACUAACUCUUGAAUAUUUGUUUGUCAAGAAAUGUUUAUUGACAAGAGAAUCUUAUAUGUCAAGGAGUCAGUGGGAGUCUUAAUGGUCUUGAAAGGUUUCAAGAACAAAUCAAAUAAACCUUAUCGAUCAUCACUAGCACACGAGUUGAGGUUUACAACCUAUCGUGUUGACAUUAUUUUGUUUCUGUGCCAAUCCAAUCGAGUUAAUUAUGCAUGUGAGUUCUAUGAGUUCUCAUUUUGAACGCAUAAAAGGCAAAGCACCUUAAUCAAUGAAAGGUACAUUGAUAGGAAAGGGUGAGCUGCUUAACUACUUGGAAGACAUGGUGGGCAGCUGUGCUACCAUAAGGCAAGAAAUCAAGAUUAAGAAAGUUCGGUCCAUAUGAGUUUGAAUUUGUCGUAAACUUUGGUUUUAACAAAUUCACAUGGAUAGGAACACAUACACCGUUUAAAUCUAAGUGUCAUAAGAUUUCCUCCUUCAUGAAAAUGAUUGUGAGGAAAUGCUUUCACUAAGAAAGAUUUUAAGAAGAUAGUGAUUGUAAAAUUGCAUUCUCGAAUUCGAUUAUGGUUACGGUAUCCCUUUCCAUAAUUUGAAUUGUGAGGUUUGGCAAUUAGUCUUAAUUGUUUAGACACACAUAUGAACUAUCGAAGGCAAAGGUGUAUAAGUUCAAGAAGCCUUGAUAAAGGAUUAUCAAAGCACUAAGUAUUAGAAACAUGAACUUAAGAAAUUCAAUAAGUAUUGUUUUUCUGAAAGUUAAGAUGUUUAUGAAUACAUGUCGAAGCUAGUGGGAGCAUAAGUGUUAUGUUUUAUAAUAAUCAUCAUGAUAGUGGGAGCAUAAAUGUUAUGAUUGUAUGAUUAUUAAGGCACGUAUUGCAAGUUGGCAAUAUUAAUUAUAGAAAACAAGAGUUAUACCUUGCAAAGUCGUAAGGGUUGUAAAGUUGUUUUGCUAUAAUUAAGGGAGAGAAUAUUAUGCUUCAUUUCAAAUCUAAAGGAUUAGGUUGAGAAAUGUUAAUAAAUUUAGUCAAAGGUACAUAGUGUGUUCUUAAAAUUUCGAUUAUGAUUACGGCAUCCCUCUUCACAAUUCGAAUUUUGAGAACAUAGCAAAUAAAACAUUAUGCGUCGUGUCCCAUACGCUUCGGGUAUAGGAUCGAUUGCAAAUGCUUUAAUGUUUGACCAUUCUAAAAUUUUCCAAAUGUCGAGCGCAUUUAGAGGGAAAAGGGACUAGAAUUGGUUUUGACUAAAAUAAUUAAACAACUAUCAAAGGACAAUCCAAAGUUCGACGAGGAUUGGUCGCUUGUGAGUAGUUGGAAGUAUAGUAUUGGAAAAUAUGGAAAUGUUUCCAUAUUGGAUGGACCAUAUCGACAUCAUUACGAAUAGAUAAGAUUCUAUUAAGAAUGAGUUGUCAUAUGGAACAUAUGGAAGUGUGUCCAUAUUGGGAAUUGAAUAUUGAGAAAUCUAUGACUAGAUUAGAAACUUCUAUGCAAAAGGAUGUUCAAAGAAUGUACUUUGAGUGAGAGACAUCACGUCUAUGGAAUUGUCUUGUAACAAUCUCCGAUAGAGGACUUUGUAAUAUCAUUGGCAAUAGUCUUUGUGACUUUGGUGCAGUGACAUUACGAAAGGAUAGUUGCAUAGAAUGUUAGAAUCUAGCAUAUUCUAUAAGUAGCAAGAAUUUGAUAUUCUUUAACUUAUGAAAAACGGAUUUGGAGUUGUGAAAUGAGAAGGAUUGGAAAUGUGUUCAAUGUGAUCUAUUUCACAAAGUAAGAACCAUAGGUAAACAUUGUGUGCAUGCUAGGAGCAUGGGACAAGUGUUGGAAUUCAAGUAAGAAGUUGAUUACCCGAAACGACAAAUAAUGAGUAAUCAAUAUGGUGAUAAAUAAAAGGUGUUUUAUUUAUACUCAAAGGUUUGAGGCCAUAUGGGAUUAGUAUUAUUCUUGUGUUUCACAUUUGCAUGUUUUGACUUCCAGAAUAAUUGAGUUUAUUAAGAAUAAUCGAAUUAUUCAAACGGGCCACAGUCGUUCAUAUGUUGGAAGUAGAUAUGAAUGAAGACUGUCGUGAAUUGGUGUGUGGAUUGUCUAAAAGAGUAUUAGACAUAAGCAAAUGUUUGCUGCAACGUUCAUGAGUGCUUAUGAAUGUGAUUUGAGCAUUGGAUUAAACCCACGCUCACUUGGAUCACUCCAUGAAUUGUAUCACGAGUGAUUGGUGAGACGAUAACAUCUUAUAUUCUUGAAACCGAGAUGUGUGAGUUGUAUCUUGCAAAUCGGUUGCACAUUGAUAAUAUGUAAACGCACUAGUAACUUGGUGUUAUAAAACAUAUUGUUGUGUGUGAUUCGGUGAGUGAGUGCAAGCAAGCAUUGUAUCAAAGUUUAUCCGUUCCUUUUAUCCAAAGUAGGAUAAAAGCGAUAUCUUUGGGCCCCUCGAUGGUUUAGUGAUGACAAACGUAAAUGCUCGGCCGGGCUAGGGCUAAUUUGAUUUGUUCAAUUAGUCAGUCGUCAUAAAUCGGAAAUCGAGAUAUAGUACAAAGAGAAUGAUUUGAAAUCAUAUCUCAUAUGAUAUCUAGAAUGGAGGAAUAUAUGAUCCCUUAUCUAAGGACACGCGUAUUUGAUAUGAUCAGAGUUGACAGCGGCUUUGGAAAGCUACGAUUGCAGAUCGGGAUCCGAAGUCAUACGCAGAAUAGUUAUUAGACUUAUCCAAGUGGGAGACUGUUGGAUUAGUGUCUAAGUCCAUAACUAUUUUGGUAUGUACUUGACCCGAUGGUGCAUGGUCCUUUUGGGUUGCCUUCACCAAAGCAACUUGAUUGGAGAAAUAAAUAGAAAGAGAGGAUAAUAUGAUUUAUUAAUAUGUUAUAAGAAUAAUAUAUUAAAGGAGAAAUCAUAUUUGUUUAAUUAAUAUUGGUCAAUAAUUAAUUGAGAAUUAAUUUUGUGAUCAAGUGUAAUUAAUUAAACUAGAGGGGCUGAUUUGUAAUUGUGUGAUAGUUACAAAAUAAGGUAAGGAUUAUCUUUUAUAUAUGGUGGACGAAUUUAAGGUUGGAAAGCCUUAGAAUUCGAGUAUGAUAAGGAUUCAUGGAUUAUCUUAUUGGUUGCUUAAUGGAUAAUCAACUAGAUAAGGAUAAUGACUGAAACCCUAUCUCUACACCUAUAUAAACACCCCUAGGGCCAUGAAUUCGUGUAUCCCUUCCCAAGAGGUCCCAAAUACGAAUUCUAACCUUCCUCCUCUCUCCUUAUACCUUCUCCACUUGCUUAUGGUGUUUGUAAGCCAUUAGAGGAGUGACACUUGUGACUCUUUGCUUUCCAAGGUCAAUUCAAGGAGGAAUUGGAUUGUUAUUGCUACAUAACAAUCAAGGUAUGUUCUUAAACCUAUUUACAUGUGAAUUCUGAUUUCCAUAUGCUAGAAUUAGGGUUCAAGUCUUGGAUUCAAAGUAUGUACAAUAGAGAAACCUAGAUCCGAGCUUUAGGGUUUGUAUGAGCACAUAGGAUGUCUUAUGACCAAAACCCAUCAGUAGUAUGGGCCCGUACUACAAAAAGCACAGGACCCAUACACGUGUCAAGUAAGUCACAAUCUCUAGGAUUAGUAGGGAGUUGGCUCCCAGCUAUUUAUAGGGAUUAUCUGAUAUUUUGUGGUAUGUUUAAGAAUGGUGAUGACGAGGCGCUUUGUGGUCGGAUCCGGUUCGGGAUCAGGAUCAGGGGACAGAGGCCAGGAGGGGUUGACAGCACCUGAGCCGGUGGUGCAGAUGGGUACAGAGGAGUUGGAUGCCAAGAUUCGAGAGAUCCUACAUGAUGAGGUUGCUGCUGCAUUUCGGGCUCAUUUACCGGAGAUGUUCGGGUCGAUUAAGACCGCCUUGGUGGAGUAUUUUGAUGAGUGCUACGCAGCCCUUGCAGAGACAGCCGCCGCAGCAGCUGCAUCAGCUGUAUCAGCGGCAUGGGGAGGAGUUGGUAGAGGUUUUUAGUACAGGGACUUCGAUAACACGAAGCCCCCUACUUUUGAUGGGACACAGGAUCCCAUCAAGGCUAUGAGAUAGAUUUUAGAUGUGGAGGGGUGUUUCUUCACUUGCUCGUGUCAUGCUGACCAGAAGGUCAGGUGUGCUCUGAACCUGCUUAGGUCUGGGGCCAAGGACUGGUGGAGACUGGCGACUGGGUCGUACGCUGAUGAUCAGAGAGCUACUGUUACAUGGGAGCAGUUCAGAGACAUGUUCAGCGCCCGUUACAUUCCGUGGGUUGAGCGGGAGUGGUUGGCAUAGGAGUUUCUGAGUUUGAGACAGGAUGGGGAGUCGGUGACGGAGAUCACCCGUAUGUUCACUGAGCGGGCGAUGUUCUGCCCAUAUUUUGCUUCUGAGCAGUCUCAGAUGACCCGUUAUCUUAGUAUGCUCAAGACUGAUAUCCGACAAUUUGUAUCUACCUAGCGAUGUGAUACUCUUUUAGAGUUACAGGAGGCCGCUAGACGGCGGGAGUUAGAGAUUGAGUUGCAGCUGAGGGAGCAGCGGUCGGCCUCGGCACAGUCACAGCUGGCGCUGAAGCGGUCAAAGACCGCUGAUUUGAGGUCUGGGAGUCAGCAGAGCCGCUCUUGUGGAAAGUGCGGCAGGGUUCAUUCCGGGAUUUGUCGAGCCAUUAGUGGGUGCCACAGGUGUGGCAAGGAGGGGAACUAUGCGAAGGAUUGUCUCCAGGCCGCUCCGAUACCGAGUAUGAAGUUAUGUUACCAUUGUGAUAAGGUUGGCCAUUUGAAGGCCAACUGCCCGUUACUCGCCACCAAACCGGCGCAGGCUCCAGCGCCGACUUCUUUGAGGAUCACGGAUGGGAGACCAGUCAAGGCAGAGCCUCCGAAGGCUCAGGGUCGUGCUUUCCAGCUUACAGCGGAGGAGGCCAGAGCAACACCAGAUGUGGUUGCUAGUACGUUUCUACCCUUUAUCUCGUUUUCUAUAUCUGUUGUACCUGUGAUUAGGUACGUUUUUAGUGAACUCUUUGCGUGCUUUUGUCUUAUUUGACUCGAGGGCGAGUCGGUCCUUCGUAUCUCAGUCUUUUAGUAGGGAGUUCAGUGCAUCAGCGGGCGAGUUAGAGUGUCCGUUGCGAGUAUCUAUCGCCAAUGAACACGGGGUUUCUGCUUCUUCAGUCUAUCGAGGGUGUGACUUGGAGAUUUUUGGGGUGUCCUUUCCGGUAGAUUUGAUUCCGAUUCCCAUGGGGGAGGUGUGUGUGAUUGUAGGCAUGGAUUGGCCUAGUCGGUUCAGUGCCAUGAUCGACUGUGAGGGGCAGCGAGUAGUAGUUCGAACCCCAAGUGGGGGAGAACUGGUGAUAUAUGGCGAGGACACCAGAGUGGGAUCAGGGUUUUGUUCAGCUGCCAGGGAUCGGCAGUACAUUCAGCACGGCUGUGCGGGUUAUCUAGCGUAUGUGGUAGAUACGCGGGUUAGGGAUCAGAUUUUGGUUUCCGAUGUAUCAGUGGUCAGGGAGUUUGCGGAUGUGUUUCCGGAGGAGUUGCCAGGGAUACCUCCGGAGAGGCAGGUCGAGUUCAGGAUCGACCUGGUGCCAGGUGUGGCCCUUAUCGCUAAGGCGCCGUACCGAUUGGCACCACUAGAGAUACAGGAGCUGUCGUCGCAGCUACAAGAACUGCUGGGCAAGCAGUUCAUUCGACCUAGCAGUUCUCCAUGGGGAGUGCCGAUUCUUUUUUUUUUCCGGAAGAAGGGCGGUUCGCACCGGCUGCGUAUUGAUUAUCGGGAGUUGAAUAAGUUAACGAUGAAGAACCGUUACCCACUCCCGAGGAUCGACGAUCUCUUCGAUCAGUUGCAGGGCGCAUCUUGGUUUUCCAAGAUAGACUUGAGGUCUGGGUAUCAUCAGGUCAGGGUCAAAGAGGAGGAUGUGGAGAAGACCGCGUUCCGAACUCGUUAUGGACAUCAUGAGUUCGUGGUGAUGCCAUUUGGGCUCACUAACACGCCAGCGGUGUUCAUGGACCUGAUGAAUCGGGUAUGCAGACCGAUGCUUGAUCACUCGGUCAUAGUGUUUAUAGAUGAUAUCUUGGUGUAUUCCAAGACCCGAGAGCAGCAUGAGGAGCAUCUGUGAGAGUUGUUGGGAGUUCUGAGACGAGAACGGUUGUACGCCAAGUUCUCAAAGUGCGAGUUCUGGUUAUGAGAUGUCUAGUUCCUCGGGCAUCUCGUCAGCCAGGAAGGGAUUUUGGUCGAUCUGGCCAAAAUCGAGGCGGUUAUGCAAUAGGAGAUUCUGAAAUCUCCCUCAGAUAUUAGGAGUUUUCUGGGAUUGGCAGGGUACUACCGGAGGUUCGUACGAAAUUUCUCCAAAAUUGCAGUACCCCUCACUCAUCUGACGAGGAAGGGGGUGGAUUUCUGGUGGGGCCCCGAGCAGCAGAGGGCGUUUGAGACCCUCCGUCAGCGUUUGUGUGAGGCACCAGUCUUGACACUCUCGGAGGGAGUUGAGGAUUUUGUGGUGUUCUGUGAUGCAUCCAUCACAAGUUUAGGGGCGGUCCUCAUGCAGAGAGGACGAGUGAUAGCCUAUGCAUUGUGGCAGCUGAAGUCGCAUGAGACAAGUUACCCUACGUAUAACUUGGAGCUGGGGGCGGUGGUUUUUGCCCUCAAGAUAUGGAGAAAUUACCUCUAUGGGGUCCGCUGUACCAUUUACACGGAUCACAAGAGCUUGAGACAUAUCAUGGAUCAGUCGAACCUGAACAUGAGGCAGCGUAGGUGGCUGGAUGUAGUCAAGGACUAUGAUUGCGAGAUCCUUUACCAUCCUGGUAAAGCGAAUGUGGUUGCGGAUGCCUUAAUCCGCAAGUCAGCCGGGUCUUCCACUCCCGCGGUAUGUAUGAGAAUAGCGGUGGAUUCUCCACUUGUGAGUUUGAUCAGAGAUGCCCAGGUGGAGGGCAUGCGACCGAAGAAUUGGAAGUUAGAAAGGAUCAAGGGUGAGAAUACCCGGUUCGUGCGGGAUAGUCGGGGACUAUUGACCCGAUGUGGUCGGGUUUGGGUUCCGAUGUCGGUUGGGGUUAGGCAGACGGUUAUGGAGGAGGCUCAUAAGUCUCAUUUCUCUAUUCACCCAGGGGCCACCAAGAUGUAUCGGGAUUUGAGUUUGAACUAUUGGUGGUCGUGCAUGAAGCGAGAGGUCGCAUGGUACGUCGAGAGGUGAUUGACAUGUAGGAUGGUCAAUGCCGAGCAUCAGAGGCCGCAUGGAAAGUUGCAGCCUCUAGAGAUUCCCAUGUGGAAUUGGGAACAGAUCACGAUGGAUUUUAUUACCAAGUUGGCAAGGACGGCGAAGGGGUUUGAUGCUAUAUGGGUCAUCGUGGAUCGAUUGACCAAGAGUGCCCAUUUCUUGGCUAUACGGGAGAGCUCAUCAGCCGAGAAAUUGGCCGAAGUGUACGUUCGCGAGAUCGUGUCUCGCCAUGGGGUUCCCGUUUCCAUUGUAUCUGAUCAGGAUGUCAGGUUUACCUCCCGCUUCUGGAAAAAGUUUCACGAGGAGCUGGGCACGCGGUUUCACUUCAGCACAACAUUCCACCCGCAGACAGACAGCCAGAGCGAGCGGACUAUUCAGACCCUCGAGGACAUGUUGAGGGCGUGUGUCAUUGAUUUCGGUGUACUCUAUCCCCCAUGGUUGCCUUAUUGACAUAUAUUGCUAAAGGAACACCCCAAGCCGUAUUGUCUACUCAUUGCUGAUGAUGAUCCUUUGGAUAGGUCCCUUGAGAUCGGUAUUUUAAGAUCAAUAUGUAGGAAUAACGGGAAUGGAUAAUGGGUAAAUUAUUUGAUGUGAAAUACAUAAUUAAAGAACUUAAUUAUUGUGGGUUGACAACCCUAUGUGCUCAUCAGACUCCCAAGCUUGAUCCACUCUGUUUCUGUGUAUCACAAGUAGUGGUACGAAGGCACAAGGGUGAUGAGUGAUUCGAGGAGUUGUUAGGCCAUAGUAUAAUAAACUGUUGUAAGACCUAUUAAAACUAGUUUAUGCUUAUGUGUCUGUAUUGACGAUAACAUUCUAAAGUUUUUAUAUAAUGAAAAAUGUUUCUUUGGAAAUAUUCAAAUAUAUGAUUUGGGAACAAAUUCCGCAAAUUAAGUUUUAUACUCUAAAAUAAAUAAGCAUAAAUUUUUUUUAAUCGGCCAUGAAAACGAGGAUCUCACAUUUAACCCAUUGAAUAAAAAAAUGAUCGCUUUGUCAAAACAAACUGAUAUGUUUUCUCAAAAUUAAAAAACCAUUAGUAAAACGAAUUCAUAAAUCUUCAAUUGUUCUUGUUCACUGAGGUUGUUUUUAUACUUUAUGGUCUUCUUUCCGCUACUUAUUCUAUGCUCUACAAAAUACAAUAAAUUAUGACAUGGAAAAACACUUGAAUGAUAAAAAUUCAUAAACCAUUAAAUGUUACAUGUGGAUGUUUGAAAUUUUUGGGACGAUGCUUUCGGAGAUCUAAAAUAUAAUGGUUACAUGUGGAUGUUUGAAAUUUUUGGGACGAUGCUUUCGGAGAUCUAAAAUACUUAUGGAUUGUUAGUUAUGAUUGAAAGUGUAUAGUUUUGGUUUGAUAAAAGAGGGUAUGUUUAGAUAUAACAAUAGAUCGAUGAAAAUAUUAGAUAUUACAUCAUUUAUUCAUUUAUUAACUUAAUGACAUAUAUGAUACCUAAGGAGAUAUAAUAUAUUCAUCUUCUAUUUAUCAUCAAACCAUGCAUGUUUACUUAAAAAUAGAUUAGGGUAGAAUGAUGUUUUCUCUCACUUCAUUUAAGAAGUCAUAUUUGUGAUCGAAGAUCAUCAUUUGCUUCCAGCGGUAUUAUUACUUGUUGAUCCCGCAGCAUUGUUGCUAUUGCCAACAUUGAUUGUAUUCCCGCUAUUGUUACCAUUGAUACGGGUGUUAGUGAUGCCACUGUCUUUUCCAAUGAUGUUUCCUGUUCCGUUAUCACUGUCGUUGUUGCCACUACUAUUAAAAAUAUUACAAACACCAGUAGUGCAUGACAUGUUAUUGUUUCGUUUUCGGUUUCUAUGGGUUUUCUCAUCGCUUAGAUCAUUACAACUACCAUCAUCUUUUAGACAUUCUCCUCGUACAUUUUUAUUCGAACCAUUGGGGCGUUCUUUAGUAUCACGCACAUGACUUUUUUCAAUACCUCCCCGAAUUCCUCCAAGAUUACCCCUUAGCCCUGCUACUACAAGAUGACCCCCAACAUGUCCUCCUCCAUGUAUUGCAACAUCAGCAAAUCCACAUCCUACUCUGGUUGUGGAACAACUACCCUUGCUAAUACCAUGACCAUAUCUACGAGAUGUAUUCUCUCCAUCAAGCUUUUUACCACAUACAAUGUCAAAUGUGCAAAUCAAAAGCCAAAAAAAUAUAACAACAAAAUACUUAAGAACCUUCAUAUGUGCUUUUUGUUAAUGUUUGUAUAAAUGGCAUUCAAUGUUCAUAAGAAAAUAACAUGAAUAUAUAGGGAUUUAAAUAGGCACUUAUUUAUUAGGGUAGAUGAUCAUCUAAAAUUGAAUAAACUUUGCUUUAUUUAAAAUUAUUUGUGUNAUAUAUUAGUAUUUCAUUUAUUGUAAAUAUGUAUGAUAUGAUAAUGGAAAACUCCAUAAAAGUCCUUAUGUUUUGGCCUUAUAGUCGGUUUAGUCCUUAUAUUUUUUUUUAUUCAUUAGGUCAAAAAAUCAUGAAUUAUAUUUAAUUUGACUAUUUUACCCGGUCAAUAGGUCAUUUAACUUUCAAUAACUACAAUUUUGGCCCAGAGUUUAAGUUUUAUUACAUAUUUGGUCAAAAAUUUACACUUUUGGCCUAAAACUCAAUUUUUUACAAAUUCAUCCUAAAUUUUAUUUUGUACAACUUGUUUUUUUUUUUCAAAACUUUGUUUCGAUUAUGUUUUUUUGCUGUAUUAAAUGAUAUUUAUACAAAAAAUUACAUUUUCACUUAAAAAAAACUACAUUUUAUAUGAAAUGUUUUCUAAAAAUAUCUUUGUAUGCAAAAUAUCUUUUUAAAAAAAUUUGUAUGCAAACUACCCAUUUAUUAAAAUAUACAUUUUUAUUAUAAAUACCUAUUUACAAAAACAUAGUUAUGUAAAAUUGUGUAAAAUACAUUAUUAUACCCAUAUAUGCCUUAAAAGACUUUUAUAAAAUAUGAAUUUAUUAACUACAUAAAAAAGAUUUUGUGUGCAUAUAAAAACAUAAAUAUACAUAAAUUUGUUUUUAUAAAAAAAUAUAUACAAAUACGUUUUUAUAAAAAGAAUAUAUAGAAACAUUUAUUUCAUAAUAAACGUAUUUGUAUACAUUUAUGUAUACAAACACGUUUUUUUAACAAAUAUUUGUUUAUACAAAAACAUUUUUAUUAUAAAAAAAUGUAUAAAAACAUGUCUUUAUACAAACAUAUUUUUAUAAAAAAAAUGUAUACAAACAUGUAUCUUAUAGAAAUAUAUACAAAUAUAUUUUAUAAAAUACAAACACCUAUUUCAUAGUAAACAUAUAUAUAUAUAUAUGUAUACAAACAAAUUUGUAUACAAAAACGUUAUUAUACCUAAAUACAUACAAAUACAUUUUUAUACAAACACAUAUUUCAUAGUGAACGCAUUUAUAUAUAUUAAUGUAUAAAAACAUGUUUGGAUACAAACGUGUUUCUAUGUACACACUCACACUCACACACACACACACACACGUUUACUAUAAAAUAGGUGUUUGCAUAUAUUUUCUUUGUAUAAAAACAUGUUUGUAUAAAAACAUGUUUGUAUAAAUAAGUAUUUGUAUAUAUAUUUUUAUAAAGCGUGUUUAUAUAAAAACGUGGUUGUAUACAUAAAUAUAUACAAAUAAGUUUACUAUGAAAACGUGUUUGUAUAAAAAUGUGUUUUUUACAAAAAAAAUAAGUUUUUAUAUAUGAAUAUAAUAAUGUGUUUUACAUAAGUGUAUUUCAUGCAAUUUUAGAUAACUAUGUUUUUAUAAAUAGGUAUUUAAGAAUAUAAAUGUAUUUAUAAAUAAAUAUUUUGCAUAAAAAAAUUAUUUUUAUAUAGGUAUUUCACAUACAAAAAUCUUUUUAAAGAAAAACAUUUUUAUAUAGUAAAAACGAUUUUAGGUGGAAAUAUGUUUUUGUAUAAAUAUGAUUUUAUAGAACAAAAAACAUAUUUGAAAUAAAAGUUUUAGAAAAACAUAUGUAAAAAAAACAAAAUUUAGGAUGAUUUUGUAAAAAAUUGAAAUUUGGCCAAAAGUGUAUAUUUUGGUCCAAAUUUGUAAUAAAAUUUAAAAUAUGGGUUAAAAUGUAAUUUUUGAAAGUUGGAUGACAUGUUGACCGAGUAAAAUGAUCAAAUUGAAUACAAGUUCUAAUUUUUGGGACUUGGCUGAAUAAAAAAACAUUAAAAAGACUAAAUCGAUUAUGAGGUCAAAAUAUAAGGACUUUUAUGGAGUUUUCCCAUGAUAAAAUCAUCAAAACACUUUUUUUAAAAUGGUAAUUACAAUUAUAUAUAAAAAUUAUCGAAAACGAUACCAUAUUUUUGUUUCUUUUUUAAAAAACAAAAACUCAAUAAAGACGAACAAAAUGAUCAUGGUAAGCUACUUAUGUUUAUUAAUCAAAGUAUGCCACUUAUGUAUAUAAAGAUUUAUCAUAUCUCUAUACUAGGCAAGCACUAAGGCCGUCCAGGCCUAGUAUCGUCACGAAUUCAUGGAGUCGUUAUGGAUUAUAUGAAAGUGACAUUUGGAUGAUCGAAGUUGUCAUUGUUAAUGUUAUUUGAAUAUAUAAGUGUGUUGUUUAUGACAUUAUUCAUAAUUAUAAAAGGGCCAAUAAUGUGAUGAUGUGUCGGUAUUUUUUUUUGUCUAAUGGUAAAUGAAGAAAAAUAAAGUACCAGAGAACAAAAUAAUAGAGAAUAUAAGAUAACGAGAUAUUAGCUUGUGUAGAAGAAAAGAAAUAUGAUUACUCUCAUGAAAAAUGUCAGUAAUUCAUAUAUAUUAAGAAUGUAGAUAUACGUAUUCUUAGUUUCAUCCAGAACCUUCAUAUAAUAUGGUUUCAUAUAUACAUCAAAAAUAUCCUCUUCAUAAAGUCGACCAUCUUCCAUUUAUCACUAACAUUUCCAUAUUUUGCAGUUAAUAAGCAAACUACAUUGCUUAUAUUAGACAAAAAGAUAAUUUGAUAUUUUCAAAUUGUAAAUAUGUAUGAAUAAAAUUUGGGAGUGGUCGUAAAAAGCCCCUCAUUUCAUACAAAGGGAGAGCGUAUGAGAGAUGGUGAGAAAGUUGGAAGUGGUGGAAUGAGGAACCGAUGGAGAAAGAUAAUUGAAAAGUAAAAGAAUGGAUUGAGAGCGGUGGUAAAAACGUGACAAUAUUAUGGAGAGAGAUCAAAUAGUUGUAGAUGAGUUAUUUAUGUAGCUGAAAAAAUAAACGAUAAAAAUCAGAAAUUAAGAUAGCAAGGUAUGAUGUGCCAUGCGGCAAAAGAACCAAAAUAAAAAAACUAUUAAAUCGUAAGUGUUAAAAGUGUAACUUCAUGUUAAAAAAUAAUGUUUCAUGCAAAAGAAGCAAAAUGAAAAAGCUAUUAAAUUGUAAGGUUGAAUAUGUAAUUUCAUUUUAAGCGACUGUCUCCUUUUAACCAAAAUGAAAAAACUAUUAAAUUGUAAGGGUUAUAACUUCAUUUUAAAGAAUAAUGUUUCAUGCGGCAAAAGAAUCAAAAUGAGAAAACUAUUAAACUGUAAUGGUGAAAAAUGUAAUUUCAAUUAAAGUGACUAGUCUCCUUUAUAGAAACCUAAAGGUUUUCUUAUAUAUAAUAGAUAUACUCUUUAUUGUAUACCAAAUAGAUAUAAUUUUUUCAUCCAUAUAAAAUAGCUCAAUAUAAUAUGGUUAUAUCUUUAGGCUACGGGGAGUGGUCACAUUUAACCUAUUCAAAAAGUGUUGUCAAAUCUGUACUAAGUUAGCUCCACUACAAGCUCACUAGUCACUACCAAACGAUUAACCAUUGAAAAUGGUUACCACUCUACAAUAUUAUCUUUUUAUUUUUUAUUUUUUUGACAUUAAAUUAAAUAGAAAAUAAUUUAAAACAUAAACACAUAUUUUACAUUAAUUAAAAAAACAAAUUUAAUCCUAAAUUUCUUAAAAACCAUAAAAAAAAAUUAAAACAUAAAUUACCAAAAAAACAUAAAAUAUACCAAAUAAAACAUUACAUUACUCAGAAAACAUAAAAAUUUAAAACCUAAAAAAACAUAGAAAACAUAAAAAAUACUACUCAUCGUUAUUGUCAUACUUAUCUUCCUCGUCGUCACCGUCAUUAUCCUUCUCGUCGUCACCGUUCUCAUCCUCUUCCUUGUCAUUGUUAUUUUGCCCUUCGAAUUGUCUUUCCCAUAUGUGUUCGGCCAAAUCGUGACGUAGAUUGUGAUGUGUUUCAAGGUUUUGUAUUUCCAAAACCUUGUGAAGUACGACGGGAUGCCGAUUUGUAUUACUGCAGGUGGAUUAAAUAUAUGGUUCGCAGUAUACGUAUAAAUAGUCUCGCCUUCUUCUUCUAUUAUCAUGUUAUGUAAAAUAAUACAAACAGUCAACACCGUCGUUAAUUUUGCCCUAUCUCAUGUCCGUGCCGGAUAUUUGAUUAUGUGCCACUUUUGUUUGAGGACUCCAAACUGAAACAUCCCAAAAUACGACCCAAAAUUUUUUGUUUAAUAAUUACUAAAAACAGCAUGUCAAUAUCAUUAAAUAAACCCAUACGUCAAUAUCUCAAAAUCAUAGCAAAGUAUCAUGAGAAAAUUGUAUCAAGACUGUGUCAAAUCACAUCUAUGAAAGGCUAAAACAACUCCCAUGACAAACUGAAGCUGUGGUGUGUGCGAUGCCAUCAACCCGAGCUCUUCCCUUUACUUGCGAAAGUGCCUGAAACCAAAAUUGAAAUUGUAAGCACAAAGCUUAGUGAGCUCCCCCAAACUACCACAUACCAUAUAAUAUCAUAUAACACAUACUGGGCCUUGCCCACUGCAUCGGACCAAAGUCCGGAAACUGCAUUGGACCGAAGUCCGGAACUGACUGGGACCCUGUCCCCUGCAUCGGGCCGGAGUCCGGAACUAACUGCAUCGGAACGAAGUCCGGAAACUAUCUGAGCAUAACAUAACAUAACAUAAACAUAUCAACUAGCAUGAACACAUAAACUGCAUACUGCAUCGGGCCGUAGCCCGGAACACAUAACACAUAAAUCAUGCCUGAGCCACGAAGGCAUCAAACAUACUAACUAUUGCAUCGGACCGAAGUCCGAAAACUACUGCUAGCUAAACGGGCCGACAUUGUGGCCUUAGACCCGUUCCUACUGGAAGGAAACUCACCUCGUGAUGCUGACUGCUGAACUCCUGAAUGAGAAAUCCCUGACUGCUACUCCGGCUGCUUCCCAGCUAUCAUGGGAAAUAAAAUACUAAAUCAGAAAAGGGAUCCGUCUAUGGGUAAAAUGACCAUUUUACCCCUACUAUGGUGUGGGACACAACAUGGCCCAAAUCCGUAAUUCCUUCUAAGUCCAUCUAUGGCGCCACUGAAGGCCCACUAAUGGCCCAAUUUGCUAUAUUGGGCCUAGAACCCUUUUAUUGGGCCUUACAUAAGCCCAAUACUAAAUCCUUGGUCCUUAGAAACUGAAUUCUGAUGGGCCAUAAAGGCCCAAGGACCCUAAGCCUGAAACCCAGCCCACACCGAGGCCCAAUACUCGAAGUCCAAACUGGCAGCGUACGCGGGGCGUACACCAAGGUACGCUGAGUGUACCGGCUGCUGGCUUGUACGCGGCGUGUACUUCCUUGUACGCCCAACGUACAACUCUGUUAAGCUAACAUCUCAUUAAGUGCUUAAUAAUCUGAUCCAGAAGCUACAAAUCCAUAUCAUAAGCUUAUUCCAUGACUUAAACCAUAAAGUUGCUUACUUGAUGGCUUACAAGUCUCAUAAAGGCUCAAACUUCCACAAAUAACAUUCUACUUCCAUAAAACUAACUAGAUCUCCUGCAUUGUUCCAUAUAAGCCACAAAGAUUGAAACUUUACUGCUAUGGGGACACUUGAGCUUCAAGGAUAGCAAUCCCAAGCUACAAAAACGAAGUUGCAAGAUAAAGGUCCUUCCUUUGGACCUAAAAGGUCCAAACUUCCAAAAACUCCUAGAUCUAAACUUACAAGAGGAAAGUUGGAAGCUUUAUACCUCUUUUGAAUGCCAAAAAAAAGGAUGAUCCCAGAUCUAUGAGCUCAAGAUGCUCAAGUUCUUCUUCUUCCACUUCUUUUCUUCUCCUUCUUCACAAAAAUAAGCUAAAAGAUCAAACACACACAAGCAAGGAGCAAAGGGGAUGAACUAGGGUUUCUAUGGAGUGAAUGAUAAUUGAGGAGGCCAAAUUGGAGGCUAUAAUGGGGUUUAAAUACGCCUCAACCCCUAAAAUUACGGUUUGCCACCUGGUUGCGUACGCUGGAUGUACCAUAAGGUACGCUGCGCGUACGCUCAGCCUCCCCGCGCUUCAUUUAAUCAGUACGCCCAGCGUACAAGGGGGUUACGCCCCGCGUACGGCUUAUGGGCUGCUUACACUUCAGCCCAAAAAGUGGUCCACUCACAAUAACAAUUCAAUUAUAGCCCAAUAAAUAAACUGAAGAAUUAAAUAAAUUUAUACCUAGGAAACGAUCGUUACACAAACGCCCGUUCCACAUCCUUCCUUGUAGAUUCCUAUGCUUACUUGAACAUUUUUCAUUUUUCAUCGGCCGAAUAUAUGUAUGACUUGACAAAUAUAGCGUACUUAGGAUAUAUCCCAUCAUCUAAGUAAUACCCAUACUUAUAUUCAUUUUCAUUCACAACGUAUGGCAUGCUUGGUGCUUUACCCUACAAAAUGUCGUUAAACAGUGGAGACGCUCCAAGGACAUUGAGGUCAUUGUUUAACCCUGUCAUACCAAAGAAUGCAUGCCAAAACCAUAGGUCAUGUGAAACAACCACCUCCAAUAUAACAGUUAGCACCCCAUAAUCACCUCGCAUGAAUUAACCUCACCACACAUUGGGACAAUUUGCUCACUCCCAAUGUGUACAAUCAAUGCUACCAAGCAUCCCUGGAAAACCAUGUUUAGCUUGACGCACAACAUACAGCUGUUCGACAUUACUUCUAAUCGAAUGUCGCAAGUAUAUGUACCAAUAAAAGCUCUAUAACAUUAUCACAAAAAAGAUAUGGAUAUUCUCGACCCGUCCUCUCAGACAUUUUCAAAUACUCAUCUGAUGCGUUUGUGGCUAUGCCGUAAGCCAAUUGUCUAAAAGCGGCUAUAUAUUUUUGUAUUAUAGUAAAACCACGUUUAACUCUAGCACCCCAUCUAAAUUUGAAAUAUUCAUAAUUAUUUUCCAAAUCUCUAGCUAUACGUAAGAAUAAAUUUCUACUAAUAAGAAAAUGUUCUUUGAAUUUCGAUAGAUCAUAUAAACUAUCAGGGGCAAAAUAAUCACAUACCAAAAGUUCGUUUGUCGUGAUACAAUCCCGGUUGAUUCAUUUUCUAUGCUUCUUCUCGGCAUUUAAACUUUCACCUCUCUCACGUACCACGGCGUGUGCAAAAUCAACUCGUCAUCAUAAUCAUCAUCAUUAUUGGAUGAAGAAGAUAUUAAACCUAAAAAAUUAUCCAUUUUUUUGAAAGUAUGUGUUUCUUUAGAUGUAAAAAUAUAUAUAAAUUNNNNNNNNNNNNNNNNNNNNNNNNNNNNNNNNNNNNNNNNNNNNUAGAGAGAGAGAGAGAGAGAGAGAGAGAGAUUAAAUUUAAAAUUGAAAAAGAUUUUUUUAAUAGUACAACGACAACAACAGUAAAAAAGAUCAGCCAAUCAAAACCCUCGUGAGCGUCCGUCUUCAUGAAGCCAUCACAACCAACCCACCGGCCAUUGGGGAGGUGUUCAAGCGUCCUUUGGCCGGGCACGCCAGCCUCACACAUGAGUUUCUCCUUACACUCUGGAUAGGAAUGUGUGGUGUGAAAUAUUUAUUACAUCGAAGAAUAUAUACUAUCAUUUAGUUGGAUGUAAUAGGUAACAUUUGUAAAUCAUAAGCUUACUUUCAUUAUUUGAGGUGGGAAAUUAGAUAUUUUUUGAACGACACAUAACUAUAUAUCUCCUCUGUCUGGGAUUGAACCCAUGACCUCCUUAGAUUAAUAGUUAGAUUAGAACCUUAAUGUUUGUCAUAUGAGCCAGCCCCAAUUUUGUAGGUGGGCAAUUAGAUGGGUAGGGGAACAAGUCAAAACGAGUUUGAGCCAAAAGUAUUAGGGAAAAUAACUUAUUAAGGUAAUUAACUUUUCGCUAUGUUCACAUCUAGGUAACUAUCUUUUUUUUAUACACAUCUAAGUAACAAACUUGUUGAAAGUGUUCACAUAUGACCAUUAUAACUUGUUAUAGCAGGUUAAAUCCUAUACGUGAACAUUUUUAACAAGUUCGUUACCUAGAUGUGUACAAAAAAAUACUUUCCCAAAUAUGAACAAAACGAAAAUUAAAAAUAAAUUACACAAAUGGUCCUUAUAGUUUGGGAGAAUUUGUGUUUUUGGUCCCUAACUUAUUUUUUUUUUAACUCGGAUGGUCCCUACUGUUUAUUUUUGUUACACGUUUAGUCUCUGUCUUACCUAAAACGACUAUUGUGCCCUUAUUAUUUUAUUUUAUAAUUAAUUUUCUUAUUUAUGUAUUUAUUUUUUUAUAUAUUUAAAAAAAUUAAUAGACCCCACAUAUCUGUAUCUCCUCACCAAAAACCUCAAACCAUAUUUGAGAAAUUUAACUUGGAUGGUCCCUAUGGUUUAUUUUUGUUGUGCGUUUGGUCCCUGUCUUACUUAAAAAGACUAUUAUGCCCUUAUUAACUUAUUUUUUAAUUAAUUUUCUUAUUUAUGUAUUUAUUUUUUAUAUAUUUAAAAAAAAUUAAUAGACCCCACAUAUCUGUAUCUCCUCACCGUAAACCUGAAACCACAUUUGAGAAAUUUAAUUCGGAUGGUCCCUACUAUAAAAAAUACAUAAAUAAGAAAAUUAAUUAAAAAAAUAAAUUAAUAAGGUCACAAUAGUCUUUUUAGGUAAGACAUGGACCAAAUGCGCAACAAAAAUAAACAGUAGGGAUCAUCCAAGUUUAAAUAAUAAGUUAGGGACCAAAAACACAAAUUCCCCCAAACCAUAGGGACCAUUCAUGUAAUUUACUUUUACUUUUCGUUUUGUUCAUAUUUGGGUAACUAUUUUUUUGUACACAUCUAGGUAAUGAACUUGUUGAUAACGUUCACAUCUAGGAUUUAACCUGCUAUAGCAGGUCAUAAUGGUCAUAUGUGAACACUUCCAACAAGUUUGUUACCUAGAUGUGUAUAAAAAAAAGAUAGUUACCCGGAUGUGAACAUACCGAAAAGUUAAUUAUCUUAAUAAUUCAUUUUGUCAAAGUAUUAUUUCACAAGUCAAAGUGAAACGCUUGGGUUGGGUUGCUCCAAAAACUUGUUUUGUAUAUUUAUUAACUUUAAGAAAAAUCAAAGUUUAUUUUCAUUUUAUUUUUUACUUUUCAUAAACAUAACUUUCANUAAACCUCUUCUAACAUUUUUAUAUUAUCUUCUAUAUUUUCUCUCAAAUACAUUUAUUGUCAUUGUCACAAUCAUAAGAGCAUACGGUGUGGGUCGUGUUGCUUCUUGUUGUGGCUGAGUUGGCAGCCCAUAACGCCAUUAUAACAUCAAAAACACCGCCCACCAUUCUUGUUACAUCUUGUUAUGGUGCUUCUUGUUGCCUCCAUGACAAGAAGAAACGUGAUCACCUAUUGGCUGCCAAAUUAUAUCUCUCUAUCUCUAUCAUCUUAACAUGGUGUUAUAAUACCAUGAACACCACCCCUCAUCUUGUUGCUUCUUGUUAUAACACCACUUCAGAUUGUCCAUACCAUAUGCUCUAAGAAAGAAGCUCAACGUUCAUGUUUUAGAGUGAGAAGAGGCCCUUUAAUUAUUGUUAUACUUUAGUUUAAUUUUUAUUGUUAUUUUAUUAUAUAAUUUUUAUUUUCUAGAAAUGAAAUUUCCAUAUUUAUUAAUUUUGUGUUUAACUAUAUUUUUAUUAAAAUAAUAUUUUAGUUGAACUUAAAAAAUGAAGAGAAUAAAGUGUGACAAUUUGAUAAGUUUUGAAAAGUUGAGAGAGAGUGAGAAAAAAUUAAGAUGAACUAAGAUGAAAGAGGAAAAAUAAAAGGUAAAAGAUUAUCACACUCCACUCUUCGAUCCACGGAAAAAUUAAACUUUUUGUCCUGACAUAUAUUUUAUAUGGGUGCUACUAUAUGUACUAUCCUCAUUCACAUAAAUCGUAACGAUCAUGGGAUACAUAAGCACUAUUAUACACAUAUUGAGGGCACACAAUGCAAUUGGAUGGGUGAGGGUACAUAUAGAAUUUCCCGUUUUAUUUAUAGUUGUUUUUUAAAGUUUUUUUUAAACAUUUAUUGUCCCAGAAAGUGUUUGUGUCAUGUUUUUUUUUUUUGUGAUCUCGUCUUUUAUAAUCUAUUAACCUUAUAUAAAAUGAAAAGAUAAUUUCUACUGUUAUAUUUUCUUAUUUUUUUUAUUAUUGUUAUUGAUUUUAUUAUAUAGGGUCAAUCACCAUACCCUGCCCUCACAUUCCUUCUCCAUCCCUUGUGUACCAUCCAUCUUUUGAGUUUUGACGACUUUAUCCCCAUCAUCACACUCAGUUCUCGUUGUAAGCCAUAUCAAUGUGUGUCCUCCAAGCAUCUUUGUUCUCAUAAUUUAUACACAUCACCUCAUUCCUACAUUUGCAUCCCCCUUUUGUUUUAACUUUACACUUUAGUAAAACAAAUUUCAACAAGGUGCAAAAUAUAUGAUUCCCAAAAUAUUAUUAAAGCCAUUAGGUAAUGACUAUUGUCAACAGUUGAAAGUAAUUGUGAAUCAAAUAUAAUGUAAUCAAAACAUGUCCACCGUAACAACCCUUCCCUUCUAUUCUCAACUAAUGCAUUGUUGUUGUGUCUCAUUGCUCGAAUCUAGUACUCUUUAGAACAAUUUGCUUUGAAUUACAAAAAAUAUAUGAGACGGGAACAAUGGACAACUUGUUGGAUAAGAAUGUUAGCGUGCUCAAAUGAGACCAUGGAAUAAACAACGGUGAGUAAAAUACAUUAUGAGCCAAUGUAAUUAUUGUUUAACAUUUCUCUAUGACAAGGGUAAUGUCACAUCAUCAAUAUGUCGGGCUAAAGUUAGUUAGUGAUCAAUUUGUUGUCUUAUGAAGUUAAAGCGAAACAUGGAUUAAAAGCUUACAACAUCUAUUUACUAUCAAUUAGAUUAAGCAUAUGUCUAAUCUGGUUUAGUUAGAUUGGUCAUCUUUGAUUAGCUCUUUGAUGUUUAAUUGCACUAUGUAACUAUCGCUUAUACCGUCUUAUUUUUUUUUUCUUUUAAUAUAAUGUGUUGUUCUAAAAAAAACCCAUUAUACUAUUUUUAUUAAAGAUCGAAAAAAGCAAUCCAUGAUUUUUGUAUUCAUAAUGAAUUCUUCUACCGUCUUGUUUUAUUUUUUUUCUUUUAAUAUAAUGUGUGGAAAGAAUGGUUUUAUAAUUCAUACUUGUGAAUCGGUUUAAAAUAUAAGAUAGGUAUAAAUAAAAUAUAAGAUGAUAUUGUUAGGACAUAAUUAAUGGUUUAUACUUUAUUUUUGUUGGUUUUUAGUGGUCUCGGUCUAAGACCAAAUUCUCUAUAUCCUCGGUGGUGUUUGGACCGAAACCACCUUGUGAUUUCGGUGGGCUUAUAGGAUUUCGGUUGGGCUUGGGCUUGGGCUUGUUAAGGUUUUGUAUUAGGUUUAGUAUAUAAUGUAUUAUCGGCGAUGAAUGAUAGAGUUAGUUAGUUGGUCAUCUUAAGGAACUGUGAUCGAGAUUUAGAGAGAACCAAGAGCAAAUUAAGAAUCUUAUGUAUUAGACUAUUUUCAAUAUAGUAUGCAUUGAAGAUUCAUUAUUGUGUUCUUAAUUGAUAAUAAUUGUUUAGCAUUAAUCACUUGAUUGGGAUUCCGCAUCAACUCUUGUGAUUUCGAUUGAUACUAAAGAACGGGUUUUACAAUUUGUAUUAGAGCUUGGAUCGGUAUCAAUCGACUUGGCAAAUUAUCAAUUUUUUCUUGGAAUUGUUCUUGGAGUUUUCUGGCGCUUUGAUUUGUUUUUACGAAAAAUAUUUUUGUUUGUUCUUCGUGUUCUUCAUUUAUUGAAGAUUUUGAUCGAAAUUAGUUUUGAGAUAUUACAGAUUUCGUGUUUCCGGUAUUUUUGGAAGUUUUUCAAACUGGUAUGGACGUUUUCGGCGGCUACCUGUAUUCUCUGUCAGCAACUAGGUCAAAUGCCUAGUUCUCGGUUAAACUUUGUUUUUGGUCAAGGUUCUCGAUGAAAACAAGGUCUCCGGUCACGUUCUCGGUCAGCGUUUUUGGUUGAAGGAUUCUCGGUCAAUAAUUUUUGGAUUUUUGAUUUUUCGGUCAAAUUUAGUAGUUUGCGGUUAAAUCUCGUACUUUUUGGUUUAUAAUCGAUUCCUACAACUCUUCUCUUUCUACAAUGCAAAGUGAUCUUGAUUCAAUCAUGGGGACUACAACUCGAAUUCCCCGGUUGCUGACUGCUGAUGGAUUUCCUAAGUGGAAAUUUAGAUUUGAAAAGUAUAUUAAAAUGAAGGAUAUCAAAGUAUGGAGAAGCUUCCUAAGAGGUCUAGUCAAGAUUGCAACCACUCUGGAUGACGAAGCUAAAACUAUAGUCGACAAACCAAUCGAAGAUUAUACUAAUGAGGAUUUCGAUAAGAUUGAGGAUGAUGAAAAGGCACUGGCUAUUCUUACCAUGGCUCUGUCCACUGACAUUGCUCAAGGUUUCCGAGAGUAUACAUCUGCUAAGGAUUUAUGGGAAGCAUUGAUUGAGGUGUAUGAAGGGAAUGAGGAUAUGAAGCAAAGCAGACAGGAUUUACUUCGUCAAAGAAGCUCAGUUACAACGUUUUAUUCCUCUCAACACAUAAAUGAGCACUGUUGGAAUUGUUUUGCCUCGCUUUGAGAUAAAUAAGAAGCUGCUUAAUUCACUUCCCAGGAAUUGGGAUAUGAAUGUGUCUAUGAUCAAGAAGAAUAAGGACCUGAGCAAGCUCUCUCUUGCUGAAGUGAUGGCUAUAAUCAAAGCUUGUGACAUGGAUGACAAGUAGAGGGAAAUUAAUCAUGUCAAUUCCUACUCAACUGCAAGCUUAGGAGCAUCUACUAACAAUGUAUUUUCAGCUAUACCAUCACAUCAUGCUCCUCCAUCUUUUGGUCUACCAAUGAUAUCUCCCAACUCCUCUACGUCCAAUUCCACCUCGUAGACUCCAACAGCUGACAAAGGAGCUGAAGAAAACAUGGCUCUGGUGGUUGGAUUUAUGAAUCUAUAAUGCUUGUUGCUGGUGAAUUAGUUCCUCCAGUUAUGAUUUGAGAACUCGAUCAGAUUCACCCUGAGGAUGUUGAAGAAAUGGAUAUAUAAUGGCAAAUUGCUAUGGCAGUGUUCAAGGAAAAGAAGUUCACUCAACGAACUAGAAAGAACAACUAGGGAGUAAAUGUGGAUAAGAAAGUGGGCUUCAAUAAGAGCAAGUUAUGGUGUUACAACUAUCAUGAGGCAGGUCAUUUUGCUCGUGAGUGAACUAAGCCUAAAGUGGAGAAUAAUGUUGAGAGGGUUUUGGUUCUAGCAGGAAACAACAGAGAAGCACCUCAGAAUAAUGAGCAAGAUAUGGUGACACAACAGUUCUUGUGGGAAGAUCGGAUGCAAGCUCUUAAUAUUACUGAAGAUGGAAGAGCUAAUCUUUCCCAUAUUGAAGAUGGUGAGGAUGCUGAUCUAGCUAGGGAGAAGAUGAUGGAGUUGCAGUUUGCUUUCAUAGUCUCCACCACUCCUACCACUAAAGAGGUCAGUGAAGUUUCAUGCUCUAAAUCUUGCAUAGAUAAAGUUAAUAAAUAUCGUGAGCAUAAUGAGUUAUUAGUUAGAGAGGUUUUCGAUCUUAAAAAUGAAAUCAAUGAAAUUAAGAAAGUAAACAAGUGUCUUAAAGAAAAACUAGAUGCUCAAAAUAAAGAUUUAAUUAGGAUGAGGGAAGAAUAUAGCACCAAAUGUGUCCAUGAUCGUUAUGCUAAAGAAAAAAUUGCUAAAUUAACUGUCGAACUUGAUGCGUUAAAAGCUAAAUUUUAAGAUGCUGAAUUUAACUUUAAGAAAUUUUAUGUGUCAAGUGAAAUAGUUAAAUCUAUGAUAGAGAAACAAUUAAAAUGGAAAGAUAACCAGAAAAAUGACUUAGGGUAUCAUAGUGUUCCACCUCCUUUUAAUGAUAAUUAUAUUUCUACCUCUGAGACCAUAGAAAUAGAAAGGCCUUCUCAAUAUGACCAACCCCCUGUAUCAGAUUCAGUUAAGACUGAACAACCUGGCUCCACUGAAAGUGUUGAGGUGAACGAUACUGAUGUUUCUACCUCAUGUGCAGAUCAAGUAUUAGUGGAAGAUGAGGGCAAGGAGGACUUUAAUAAUGAUAGCUCUGUUGAAAACUUCUCAAAAACUAAUGUUUCUGUUGCUUCCAUUUCAAAUAAUUGUGUAAAAAAGGAUAAUAAAACUGCUGUUUUGGAUUCUUUAUAAAAUUGUGGUGAUGUUGCUUUUGAUUCAAAUUGAAAUAGUCCUGUGGUUGAAAAUUUUAAGCCACGUAAAUUUGUGAAAGAAUCUGAUAAAUAUAAAUGUGCGUGUGGGAAUUCUUUGAAACAAGACUCUUCCGGACCAAAACCUAGCUCAAGUAACACUUUCUUGAAAAGACAGACUUGUUUUAAUUGUGGGACUGCAGGUCACAUUGCAAGAAAUUGUCCACAUCAUUCUCAUGGUCCCUUCUCUGAAUUCGGAUGGACGAACGUGCCAAGGGGGAGGUAUUCCAAAAGAAAUCCCUCGAGGUCAUGUCCCCGUAAUAACAAUUGGAAUGAUGACAAGGCCAAGAAUCAGGCCUCCAGGGACAAAACAAAAGCUAACUCAAGAGAUGGCUCAACCAAACCAAAUCAGGUGAGGUCAAAGUCAUCUCAAGGGUCGUUCUCUAGCUUACACUCACAAUACAAGCAUAAAUCAAAAGGCAGUACCAACCCAAAUUCAAGUAAAAAGGGUCCCAUUCAGUCUAACAAGAAAGUACACAAACCAAAUUACCAUUGGGUACCUAAAUUCCUUCCUUCUUAAUCAACAACUAGUCCAAAAAGGUCUUCAGAUUCUUUAAAAUCUUUAUUUGAUAAACAAGAUAUGGUGUGGGAAAGAGUAUCCCAGGUUAAUAGUAAUAGUCAAUCCAGUUUCAAGAUGGACUGGGUUCCCAAAACUAAUUAAUCCUGCAACAUGUGCAUGAACAGCUAUGGAGGAAUAUCAUCAGACCUUGGUAUGUUGAUAGUGGUUGUUCCAGGCACAUAAUAGGAGAUAUAUCACAACUGCACGACAUUCAAAACAUUAAUGGUGGUUAUGUCUACUUUGCGGGAGGAGAAAAGGGAAAGAUCACUCAAAUGGGGAUAGUUACAAAUGGUGUAUUGAACUUUGAAAAUGUCAACUUCAUUCCUGAAUUGAAACAUAGUUUGCUGAGUGUCUAUCAAAUCUACGAUAGAGAUUUAUCAACGCAUUUCACCAAGAAGGAGUGCUUAAUUCUAAAGUAUGAUAUCGUCAUACCAGAAGAAUGGAUCUUGGUGAGAUCAGAACGUCAAAACAAUGCCUACAUCGUUGACAUGAAUAAUAACAUCCCAGAGAACGUUACUUGAUUAUUCUCAAGGACUUCUGAAUAAAAUACUAUACUCUAGCAUUGUGGCCUAGGUUACGCAAAUGCAAAGAAUUUAAAUUGUCUUGCCAAAAAUGAUCUUGUUCGAGGGUUGCCUAUUAAAGAUUUGGCAGAAUUUCAUAUACGCCCUUCCUAAACCGCUAAAUAUCGUAUUUACCCGGCCUAAACUUUAAAUAUCGUAUUUGCCCUUCCUAAUGUUUUUUAAUAUCAUAUAUACCCAAAUCUGUUUUUUUUUUGUUAUUUUUUAUUGAUUUAUAAUUGUUUUUCAUAAUAUUAAAUCAUUAUAAUUAAAAUACAUUCAUAAUGGACAAGAAUACCCUUCCUUCUAAUUUCAAAUUCACGAUUCACAGAUUAGCGAUCAUUAGCGUUAUCCCCACAAUUCACGAUCAAGCCUCUCUUGUCAAUACCUCCAGCUUCACGAUCGAGCCUUCCCAACACUUCCGAUCGUUGCAUCCGAUUCCACUCAAUUGUGCUUCCAGGCGGACCCAACCCUGUUAUCGCAUACAUACACUUCAGGUAAUAAAAAACGGAUUCCACUCAAUUGUUUGAUUUGUUCAGCAAUUCCUAAACUUGUUGCAGUUGCAGUAAUCAGGAUUUUAUGAUUUUUUGUGUCAAUUGAACAUUCAAUCUGGGAUUACAACUAAUGAAUAUGUCACCUACACAUCUAGAAUCUCGAAUUGUUGAAGUCCCUGUAUCAGUUUCAUAAUUCCUUUUCCAUAUAAUUUGUCUAAUUUGUCAAUAAUUCCAUUAUAUCAUGAAGAAAACUAAUUGAUGUAAAAAAAAGAGACUAACUAGAAAACUAAUUGAUGUCAAAACAUGACUUCAUGGGAAGAGACUAAUCAGAAAACUAAUUUUGAUUAUGUUGUUGUUUGAUUUGUUCAGCAGUUCCUACACUUAUUGCAGCUGCAUAUAAUUUGUCUAAUUUGUCUGAUGAUUCCAUCAUAUUAUGAAGAAAACUAAUUGUAGUGGUGUUAUUAUACCUUUAUAUCUGAAUCAACUACUCUUAGCUAUUGUUUCAAUGUUAUGCAAUGUUGAUAUUUGUAGUCAUUUUUUUUAUACCUUUAUAUCUUUUUUUUUCUUAUCAACGACUUAGAAUUAUAUUUUUAUAGGCGAUACAAACCAAUGUCGGAAGAUAAUUCUCAAACAGAAGAUAUUACCCUUCAUGACACAUCAAAACCCAUAUGGGAGAUCAGGGAUACGUCUCCAAGAAUCGAGUAUGUUUAUGUGAAUAUCUUAAUGUUAAUUCAAUUAGACAUUUACUAAAUUGUAUGAUUGUUUCUCUAAAUAAUUUUCAAUUUCAGGCCUAUAUCAACAUCCAAGUUCAAGUUAAAAUUGAAAUAUGGAGGUUACUUUCGGCUAACGAAGAAUAAUUGUAGGAAAAUAUAUUGCUUUGGCUCUCAAAAAUGUAUCCACAUAGACACAUUUUAUACAAGUUUAGUCAACUACAUGAAGAAGUGGUUAAACGUUCAUCAAAGAACAACCCAAAAUUUUCUAUUUUUUAUGUUGAUAAGUAUGCACCAGAAAAUCCCUUAUUGUGCUUGAUUCUGAUGAUAAGUUCAUGGCUAUGCUUGGCAUACAUGGAAGUGAGAAACAAGUAACCAUUUAUGUGACAACAGAGAAUAACCUCGGCUCUAAUAAUCAUACUAACCGUUUGUGUGCCAAUAGAGAUGAACCACACAACGAGUAUGAUGCAGACCUUUGUCUUAGUGAAGAAAGUUAUCACAGUCAUCUCAAUUCUGAUAAUGAAGAUGAUAUAACGAAUGAUGAUGAUGUAGUUUACUCAUCUAGUAAGAAUAGUAUAAGCAUGAAAGUCGGAUCAAAAUUUGAAAAUGUGGUUGAUUUUAGGAGAGCUUUGAACCACUAUGCAGUCAUAAAUGAAUUUAACUACUACAUUCAAAAAAGUGACCCGACACGAUUCACAGCAAGGUGUGAAAACCUAGAGUGCAAGUGGAGAAUUCAUGCUUCUAUUACACAAGAUGCAGUUACCUUUGAAGUAAGUGUAUACCUUAAGUUAUAUUUAACAUGCUUCAUAUUAAAAAUAUAUUUAUGUUUAUUUCAUUUUUUUAGGUUAAGAAAAUGGUAUAAGUACAUUCUUGCACUCGCAGCAACAAGGGUGGAAAUAAACGAGCCACUCAAGGAUGGAUUGCUAAUGUAGUUACUGACAAGUUGAAAUCUGAUGGAGAGGUCUCUCCAUAUGAGCUUAGAAAUUGGAUUAUGAAAACUUACAAUGUUGAUGUGCCAUACCUAAAAGUUUUUAGAGGGAAAGAUCAAGCUUAUACCAACAUGUAUGGUAAGUGGGAAGACUCCUUCAUGAAGAUGGAUGAAUUUAAAGAAGAACUAUUACGAAGGAACGAAGGAAGCGUUGUUGAAAUUGACUUUGACAUAGUUGGUGGAAAGAAAGUUUUCAAAAGGUUUUUUAUUUGUUUAGCAGCUUGUUCUAGAGGGUUUGCUGCUGGUUGUCGUCCGUAUAUUGGUCUUGAUGCUUGCCAUUUAAAAGGAAAGUUCAAUGGUGUAUUAGCCGCAGCAACUAGUAUUGACAGUAACAAUUCUAUCUUUCCAAUAGCAUAUUGUGUGCUUGAAUCAGAAAACACACAAUCAUGGACAUGGCUUCUUGAUUCACUGAAAAAAGAAAUUGGAACGCCAAGUGGUCUUGUUAUCUCAUCAGACAUGCAAAAUGGGUUAGAAGUAGCCAUGGUGAAUGUUUAUCCUAAUGUUGAGCAUAGAGAAUGUAUGAGGCACUUAUAUAGCAACUUCAAGAAACACUUUCGUGGGGACUUCUUUAACAAAAAACUAUGGUCUGCUGCCAAAACCUACCGUUCUACCAAGCAUAACAGAUUAUUGAAGGAAAUUAGUGAUAAAAAUGAAGAGGUCAUCGCAUAUCUAAAUACCAACCACAAAAAAUAUGGAGUAGAAGCAAGGUUGGUACUACUUCUAAGUGUGAUUACAUCACUAAUAAUAUUUCAGAAACGUUUAAUUCUUGGAUUGGUAAAUUGCGCUAUAAACCUGUGCUUGAUCUCCUUGAUGCAAUUAGGGAAAAGAUUAUGAAACGGUUUGAUAAGAAAAGAAAUUUGGUGAAUACAUGGAAUGACACAUUGGUUCCUAUUGCUAAAAACCAUCUUAACGACAUCGCUAAGGUAAGCAUGUUAAAUAAUUCAGUUAAAUGAUUAUAUUUAUUUUAGUUUUUACUUCAAUAAUUCAUAUAUAAAUUUUCAUGUAGAACUUGGGUGAGUAUGAAGUUACUAGAAGUUUUGAGAAUCAAGCUGAAGUGAAGUACAAGGGAACAUGUUGGGAGGUCAACCUAGAUGAAAGAAAAUGUAGUUUUCGAGUGUGGCAAGUUCAGGGCCGACCAUGUGUACAUGCAAUGGCUUUUAUUGCGUAUAUAAGGGAUGCUAACUGGGAUAAAUAUGUUGAUCCAUAUUUCACUAUAGAGAACUUUAAAGCUGCAUAUGCUUUUCAAAUUGCUCCGAUGCCCGGACAGGAUCAAUGGGCGCAAAAAAAUGGAGAGAAAAUUUAUCCACCUAUUAUCAAACGCCCACCUGGACGACCAAGAAAAAAUAGAAUAAAUCAUCGGAUGAGUCUAAAAGAAGACACAAGUGUUUGCGAUGUGGAGAGUAUGGACACCGUGAAAAGACAUGUAAAAAUCCAGCAUCUCAAAGUUCCGAUCAAAAUGAAACAUCCACAUCUAGAAGGUUACGUGGAAAGGAUACAAAAUCGCAUGAUGGUUCGGGAGUUUCGGGUUCUACAUGAAAAAGUCUCAUGAAAUUAGUUGGUUUAGAAAUUUUUUGUUAGCUUAAGUUGAAAAUGUUCUUAGUUAGGGUUCAAUUGAUGGGUUUUUUUGUUAGUACAUGACAUAAAUAAAUAUUUUGUUUUAGUUUUUCUUUCAGGGAUUUGCAUUUGUUGUCAAAAUUAUAUAUAUGGUGCAAAUUUAAAGUUUAGGGACCAAACUUUAAAUAAUUCCAAAUAUAUGCUUUAAAGACCAAAAUUGUAUAUAUUACAAUUAAAACAUACAAGGAUAAAAAAAAAUAUAGCUACUGUAAUUAACUAUUACAAAAUUUUAAAAGUUCAAUGCUAUAUAUCAUGAAUUUCUCAAAGUACAAUGCUAGUUCUUAAAAAAAUAUAGCUACUGUAAUUAAUUAUUACAAAAUUUCCAUGUUGAGUUUGAUAGUUGGGAUUUCAUCUGAAUCUUCAAAGUAUUGUUCCUCAAUGUCACUUAGUGAUAGUUUCGUGACUUUUGGCUCAGGUGUUGUUGGUUCUUCAAUAAUUAGUUCAAAUUUCUUCCCAAAACACCCUUCACUGUUAUUAUCAGCUUCGUCUUCAAUUUGAAGACACUAUCUUUUUUUUUCCUAUGGACCAAGUAGGGAAAUCCUUGCACCAUACAAUUACAAAUGUCAGUCAUGAAGUGCUUCAUUAUCUACCAUUAAAGCCAUUAAAAACAGAAAAAAACAUAGAUAAUAGAUUCCUAUACCUUGCAAAAGCAUUAGCAAAGUGUCUACAUUCGACUCUCAUUGGACAUGCAUCACAGUUUGGUGUACCCGAUACGAAAUUUUGUUGUAGAGUCAUAAAUUACAGGCAAAACACUAAAAUGAUGAUAAGAAAACAGAAGAACUCAACUCACUUAAACAAUUCAUUGAAUACCUGGUGGCAAGACCUUUAUCCCAAACAGUGAAUCACCAUAUGAGUCGCUUCUUAUAUGGAGGCAAAUGUUAUUAAGAACAUGACCAAAUCUUCAUAUUCCAGAACCAAAAUUAAGCUUGUGGUUUCAGUUGUAACCUAAAAGAAAAGCAUAUAUGGAAAAGGAAUUAUGAAACUGAUACAGGGACUUCAACAAUUCGAGAUUCUAGAUGUGUAGGUGACAUAUUCAUCAGUUGUAAUCCCAGAUUGAAUGUUCAAUUGACAAAAAAAAAUCAUAAAAUCCUGAUUACUGCAGCUGCAACAAGUCUAGGAAUUGCUGAACAAAUCAAACAAUUGAGUGGAAUCCGUUUUUUAUUACCUGAAGUGUAUGUAUGUGAUAACAGGGUUGGGUCCGCCUGGAAGCACAAUUGAGUGGAAUCGGAUGCAACAUUGCGGAGACUCAAAUGUAUUCUCGGAUACAUUCUUCAUAGGUAAGGAAUUAACAGUUACUGGCACUAGGGCGAUGUACCUCACAAGGCAUGAUUAUCGCUGACUGUCUCGCCAAAGGGACUUGACCUCGUGUCAUGCUAAUCUAUGGAAAUAUUUCCUCAUAUAUUUGUCACAGGAUGGUUUUGUGAGCUAUUUCUAAUUAACUCUCACUGGCACUAGAAUGGUACACUCAGUUGAGAUUUAGAAACCAUUGAACAUCUCGCCAAGGGCCAAGUUAACUUGUUAACUUGAAAAAAUGUAUUGAGAUCUUUGUGUAACAACGUGAAAAUUUAAAACAAUUUUUAAUUUUUAAAAUGCAUACUCUUCAUAAUAUCUCGUAUAAAAAUCUCUUUUAUUCAAUUACAAAGAACAACUCCAUUAAUAAUCCAGGAUCCUCAUAACUCUUUCUCUGGUGUGUACAAUCAAGCCGGUGCCGUCCCGCGAUUCCGAGAGGAAAACCUGAAACACAUAACACAUAACACGGUAAGCACGAAGCUUAGUGAGUUCCCCAAAAUACCUCACAUACCACAUACUAGCCACUCGAGGCUAUAACUCUGUGGACCCUCUGGUCCUAGCUCUGUGAACCUUCCGGUUCUAACUCUGAUACACACUGAUAUACACACAACAUAAAUCACAUAGAAAUAAUGCAGUGCAACACAUCACAUAAAUAACAUACAAUAACUCUGUCACAUAACUCUAAUUACCACUCAAGGUAAAGUAUAGUGAGAAGACUCACCUCAGAUGUCUCGUUAAAUCUCUGACUCGGUAGAAAUAUGGUCUAGCCUUUGCCUAAACACAAAGUAAAUACUCUCAUAAAUAUACCUCUCGAGACUAGACUCAGCCCUCUCUUGGCACCCUCAGAAGGGUAAAAGACCAUUUUACCCCUCUCUUGACACAAAGACCCCAAUGUUGACCAAACCCUCAAAGUCAACAAAAGUCAAUGGUCAAACUUUGACCCGACUCGCCGAGUACAUUUGGGCGACUUGGCGAGUCUACACGUGUCCACUAUCCCUCUAGUCUCGCAUGACACGUCGAGUCUUUCCCCUGCUCGACGGGUUACACCUGGCAUGAAUCGCGGGGCCUCCUCGACUCAACUUGCCGAGUCCCAUUAUGAACUCGGCGAGUUCCGCCUUGAACUCCAGUCCUCUAUUUCCCUCUGACUCACCGAGUCAUUCCCUCAACUUGGCAAGUUCCUCACUGAGUUAACUAUGGGAAACCCUAGCCCUACUCGUCGAGCUUGUUCUUGGGACUUGGCGAGUUCAUGCCAUGCUCAAGCUCAAAUGACCUCCUAAGGUCAGAUCCGUUCCUCUAACCCAUAGAUCUGGCCUCCUUAAGCAAUAUAAACACGUAAAUUCUGGAUCUUGAUGCCCAUGCAAAGACCCAAUGGCUCUAUUUGAAGAAAUGGCCUCAACAUGUCACCCUAAGCUCAUAUUACCUAAUGUCACCCCAUAAAGAUCAAGGAGUUAAGGUCUCUGGACCUCUUUGGAUCCAGAUCCGAAGCCUCAACACAAGAAUGGACCAAUUGCACCAUCAUUCAUACUCUAGAUGGGCUAGAAACCCUAACUCUCAAGGAUUAACACCCAAAACUGAAGAAGGAUCGAAUAUAUACCUCAAUAUGAAGUCCUUAGGCUCUGAAAUCCACAUAAUAGCACCCUCUUGCCUUGGUCACCUUCUUCUUGCAAAAAUACCCACACAAGGAUAAAAAAUGGCAUCUUCUUCCUCACAAAUGCUCUAGAUCGCUUAGGGUUUCACUCAGGGGUCUGGUAGCCGCAAUUGGUGGCUAUAAGACCCUUUAAAUAGGUCUCAAUCCCCAGGGAUUAGGGCUUCAUUAAACAACACGGACUCGCCGAGUCCACUACUCGACUCGCCGAGUCCAGUCCUUAACCUGGAUGGAAUUCGCGACUCUACUCGGUGAAUCUAAGCAUCAACUCGCCGAGUCCCUCAAAAAUAUCCAAAAUAAAGAAUAAUAAUGUACCUGGGAAUCCAGAUGUUACAGUUUGAUUGAGGAUACACAGGGGCUAACAUCAAAACUAGCCACGAGUAGUUCUCUGAUACUCAACAAAUCGUAGUGCGUUCCUCCGUGUUCACACAGAUACUGCGAGUAGUCUCCAUCUGAGCCAAGGCUGGGUCCUUGAACAACUGUUGUGAGAAGGGUCUUUAUGAUUCUAUGAUCCACAUGGAAUUUUUAGUCAUGGUUACUUUUCAAGACACAUCUGUGAUCAACAAAGAAUAUUCAUUCGAAGGAACAAGAAGUGAAGAUUAUUUUUCAACACACAAAUUCUCAACCCCAUAAGAAAUGUGAAGUUGUUUUUGAAGUUAUGUGACGAAUUGCAUUAAAGCCUCAUCAACUUGCUGAAUUGAUCCAAUAGAAUCGGUCUCUAUAAUUAUCUCUGAAUUUUUUCAAAGCCGAAAGUGCUGAUUUUCAAGAACCUAUACAAGAAGCCUCUUUACCCUGUGUGCGUUCAAAGUCAAAUUUUAAAGUAAGUCCAACUAUUCAAGAUUAAUUGAUUUAUGCAGAAAUUCAUAUGUUCGUCUUGAAGCUGUAAAGAAAUCGGAGAUAAAUGUUGAACGUCAUGAACAAAGAGAAGAUUUAAAAGAAAAGAAAGCUAUAAACCAAGUGUAACAUCCCGACUCCCACGUAUUAUUUUUAAAAGCUUUGUAUUCACUUUAUUGAGGGAACUCGACCAGUUGGAGGCCCCUACUAGUCGUGUCGAACCUAGUCAACCCGGUGGUUUAUGACUUCUACUUGACGAGUUGGAGGACCCCGACUCGACGAGUAGAGACUGUGCAUGAAAACCCUAAUUUUUAGGGUUUGCACCCUAUUUAAAGGACUUUAAGCCCUUUCCUCCAACCUCCUUACAACCUUUUGACGGCCAGAAGCAACCCUAAUCGAUCUAAACCCUAUCAUUGAGUGUGUGAGAGGCUAAAGUGUGUGUUUUGGUGCAUUUGUUGAAGAAGCUUGAAGAUUAAGAGGCCUGGAAUGAGAGCAAGCUUAUAGAUCCAGUGUCUACAUUGUCUUGGCUUGCAUUUGAAGAUAAAAAGUUCUUACCUUGACCUUCCAUUUGUUAGAUCUCUCCCUAUAUGAGAAUAUGGGCUUUUUGGUGCAAAAUGGGGGUGACCUUCAGAUUUGAGCUUGUCACAAGGGCAUGGUUUCAAAUCUGGACUCCUCUAGGCCCUUAUGGACAUAAAGCCUCAAGCUUUAUGAAGCUUUGGCCUUCCUUCAUGUCCAAAACUUCUUCUAAGGCUAGUUAUGAAUGUUUUAGCUUCAAGGAGCCUUGCAUGCACGUAAAGUUAGCAACUUUACGUGAUAACAACACCCUAGGAGCCUAGAUCUGCAGCUUGGAGCUUUGGUUUCACGUAAGAUAAUCUGAAUGAGAAAUAGACUGAAGGAACUCGGCGAGUUUCAUGGUUAACUGGACGAGUCGGAUGAAGAUUAACCGUUUUUGGUUUUUGCAUGGACUCAACGAGUUGAUGACAUGACUCGACGAGUUAGUUAGGGUUUUCCCGACAUUUUGGACACUACAUGGACUCGACGAGUCAACUGGGGUUUUCACGAUUUCUUGAAUUCUGAUGGAACUCGACGAGUCAGUGAGCUACACUCGAUGAGUUGGGUCAACAUGGACUGUUGACCUUGACCGUUGACUUUGACUUUGACCAGGGGUUGACCAGUUUGACUUCUGGGGGUAUUUUAGUAAUUUGGAAUUUUAUGGAAGUGGAUCAUUGGUGGAUGUAGGUGAUUGAGUUUGGAGUUGUAUUUAGGGAGUUUCACAAUUUUCAUCCCGAGCUACUUGUGAUGUGAGUUUCAUCACUAUACUAAAGGGUCGAAGGCACCAAGGCUGGCCCUUUUGGAUUGUUAUCCUGCUUUAUUGAUAGUAUGAUCUGUUAGAUUGGUAUCCUGGUAGAUAGCAUGUUUCUAUGUGGUUAUGAUCAAUAAGAUCGGUAUCCUGGUAGAUAGUAUGUUUCUAUGCUUAGUGAUUUGUAGAUCGGUUUGUUUGUCUAUAGACUGUUAUGUGAUUAUUUGAUAUAUGUGCACAUGGUUGAUUGGUGGUUGAGGCUUAUCUGCUUUGUGCGAGAGCCAACAAACCGGGGAAUUCCAAACCGAUGGUUGUGGGCCGUGAGUAUUCCAUCCCAAGGAUGAUUGGACUCAUUGCAUGUGGUCAUUCCAACCCAAUGGUUGUGGGCCGAGGGUAUACCAUCCUGAGGAUGCCUGAACCCAUAAUAUUUUGGCUUUGCAACCUGAUGGUUGAUUGGGCCCAUAGUAUGUUGUUAUUAUAUGUGUCUUACGUAUUGUGCGGGUAUUUUGGGGGAACUCACUAAGCUUCGGGCUUACAAUUUUAGUUAUUAUUUCAGGUACUUCGGAUGAUCGUGGGAAAGUGAAAGCUUGAUCGUGCACCUUUUCGCUUUUUUAUGAUCUUGAUUUUUGGGAUACUCUGUGUUGGGUCAAUAUUUUGGUUUAUACUUUGCUUUUCAAGGAAAUUGUAUUUUUAUGUAAUAUCUUAUGUGUUUACGGUCAAGUUUAUGGCCAAGGUGUUGUUUACGAUCGUAAACAGGUUUACGGCCGUAAACCCUGUUUAUGGCCCAUGUUUCCCGUGUGUAUAUAUAUAGGGGUGAGGGGUGUGAGGGAUAGAGUGAUGAACACUAGAUGAGCUUAAGUGUGUGCAUUCUAAGGUGUAAGAGAGAGAGAGAGAAGAACAAGUGUGUGUGAGUCUUUGUAUCCAGAUCUUCAUUUGUAUCAAUACAUACAAGAUUCAUCAUCAUCUUCUUCUCCUUCUCUUCUAUUUGAUCUGACAUCAUCCGUUAGAUUGGCAUUCCGCACCAUCAAACGGAUCUGAUUGAUACACAAGCAUAGUUAGGGACUUACAAUUGGUAUCAUCUGGAGCUUAUUUGAUCUUAUUUUGAAGAGAUUUUUGCGUUUUUGGAUAGAUAUCGCAAAAUUAGGGGGGGUUUGUUCUUCGCAUUUUUCGUAAAAACGAGUUUUUGAUCGAGUUUUAGAGCAAAAAGGGUGAAAAAACGCUGUUUUUUUGUCAAGAACAACGAUUUCUGAAGAGUUUACGGUCUUUGAAGGGUUUACGGUCUGGAGUUUACGUCUGUAAACGUGUUUACGGUCGCCGGAGUUUACGGCCGGAAACGUGUUCACGGUCCGGAGUUUGCGGCCUCGUCCUCGCAUCAACAGCUCUUUAGUAUACAAAAGAUAGGGGAUUUAGAGGUGCCGAGGUUCAAACUUGAGAACUCCAACUCUUGAAACCACGGCCUCGUUCUUGCAUCGCAUCAGUAGCUUCGCACGCCUUCUCGAUCAGCAGCCUCGCACGUCCUCGCACCUCGGAUCGCAUCGCGUCGCAGCAACCUCGCCUCGCAUCGCAUCACAGAAGCCUCACCUCGCAUCAAAAAAUUAUGAUGUGCUUUGGGGGAGCCGAGGAUCAAACCUGCGACCUCCGGAUCAGCAACCGAAGCGCCUAACCAUCUCGGCUAGCCAACCCCUUGUGCAUUCACUUUGAAAUUUUAAACUUAACCAUUCCCUACCGCUUCCAACUUUCGCAUUUUUGUCAUUUUCAGCCCAAAAUUGAUUUUCCUUUAAUUUUAAAUUCUUUUUUCAACCAAAAAUUUUAGUUUUUAAAUUUUAAAUUUUUAUUUUUGACUUUUUACUUAAAAUUUUGAUUUUGACUUUUAAAGUUUGACCUUUGACUUUAAAUUUUGACUUUUUCGUUUAACUUUUAAAUUUUCAAAUUUAGCUUUUUCGGUUUGACUUUUAAGUUUGACUUUUGAGUUUGAUUUUUUAAAUUUGACUUUUAAGGUUGACUUUUGAGGUUUAUAGUCAAAGGGCAUUUUUAAAUUUAAGUUUGACUUCUAGUUGUGUUUUUUUUUUUGUUUUUGAAGUUUACAAGGGAAUUGAAAACAUGAAAGAGAGUCGUCAAGAGAUAUUAAGACAAAACUUCAACGUGUUCGAUUAUAUCCCUGGAGAAACCCUCGAAACUCAGUUGCAGCGAUUUACUACACUCACUACUGAGACGAAUAUAGCUAGGAUCUUCUCGUCCAAAUCUGAGAUAAACAAAAAGCUGUUGAAUUCACUUCCGAAAUCGUGGGAUAUGAACGUGGCCAUCAUCAAGAAGACAAAAGAUCUCAAUCAUCUUAGUCUUGCUGAUGUAAUUCAAGAACUUGAUGCUUUGAAGUGUAGAGAAACAAUGAGUUCUAAAAACAUUCCGGUCACUGAAGUUACAUGUACUCCAGCUUGUUAAACUACGAUUAAAUUUCUUCGGGAACAAAUUGAUUUAUUUAAAAGAGAAGUUGAGGACAUGAGAUAUGAAGGAUAUCAACUCAGGAAAGGACAGAAACCCUUGAAGGCUGAAUUAGAAGCAAAAACCAAAGACUUUAGGAAACUUCAGGAAGAGUAUAGCAACAAGUGUGAAAAUUAUGACUAUAUUAAGAGACAACUUGCUGCUGUAACUGAAGAACUUGACGCUUUAAAAAUUAAGUGUGGAAAAACAGAUGUCAGUUUCAAAAAUUAUACUGCGUCAAGUCAGACAGUCGAGUCCUUAUAUGAAACCCAAUUAAAAUUCAAAGAAAAUCAAAACAAGGGUCUAGGGUAUGAUAGUGUUCCUCCACCUUUCAACCAUAACUACACAUCCAUCCCUAUGACACAGGAUGAAAUUGACAGGGAGGCACAUCUUCGAUAUGGCAAACCAGCUAAAUUUGUGUCAGGAGGAUUUAUUUAGGUUGAAAAUACUAAUGUUUCUGCUUCAUGUGCAGGUUAAGUAGUAAAAUAUGAGAACAAGGAGAAAACCAUUGAACAAACCAACAUCUCCUUGAACUCUGAAUCUGUUGCUUCGAACUUAACUGUUUCUGAUCAACCUGCUGUUGAGAAAUACAGGCCACCAAUUCCAACGCAACAGAGUUCUUGUGGCAAGUGUGCAUGUGGGAACAAUAAGAGACAAGGCAAAGAUACACCACUAGGGGCAGGAAGAAAUAACUUCACAGUGAAGAAAAAGACAUGUUUUCACUGUGGAACACCUGGACACAUUGCCAGAAAUUGUCCAAAUCACGCAUAUAUUCCCUACUAUGCACAAGGAUGGCAAAACGCGCCAAGAGGGAGAUACUCCAAAAGAUACCCCUCGAGAUCACGAUCAGACAUUGAUGAUUGGAAUGCCAAAAAGGACAAGAAUUCAACUCCCAAGGCCAAGAAUCAAACUCCAAAGGACAAGAAUCCGAAUCCCAAGGGCAAGAAGGGAAUGCCGGCCAAGAAGCCAAAUCAAAGAGAUGAUCCUGUAAAGUCAAAAUCAAAGUCAUCUCAACGGCCGACAUCAAGAUCAAAAGCAAGUACUGAGCCAACCAUCAUAUGAAAAAGAAAUGGGUUAAACCCAACUACAAAUGGAUUCCAAAGGCUCACUCUCCCAAAUCAACUAAUGACUCUAAUAUUUCUUCAUCUUGUGUUUGUGAUAAACAGGAUAUGUCAUGGGAGAGAGUACCGUGCAAGGAUGACAAAGGUCGACCCAGUUUCAAAAUGGACUGGGUUCCAAAGACCAACUGAUCCCGCUCUGUGUCGGAGCAACUAUGGAGGCAUAUCAUCAAACUUUGGUUUGUUGGUAGUGGCUGUUCCAGGCACAUGAUAGGGGACAUCUCUCAACUGUACAACAUUCAGACCUUUGUUUGAGAGUAUGUGUCCUUUUGCGGGAAAGGAAGAAAGGAAGAAAGGAAGAGAUCACAAACGGGGUUAGUGCUUAAUGACAUGAAGAAUUUUCAGAUCUGUUCAGAGAUUAUGCGUGCUGUUCUCAGACCUUCUGGAUGCCAAUUCAAUCGGUGACUUACGGUUUGAGUUUUUUCUUCCCUAUACUCCUGAUUUUUUCUUAAGCUGAUUCGCUUUAAUGACUAAUUUUUGUUUUAGGAUAGUUUAAAUUUGCGCACUUACUUCCAUUUCUCUCCUAUGCACAAAUUUAGGCGGAGAAAUAAAAACAAAACAAAAAUUUUAAAAUUUUAAAAAUCCAAAAACAUUAGAAAAUCAGAAAAUCAAAAAAUAAAAAAUAUGUUGGUUAUGAAAUGUACUUGAGGGAGAUGUUCUGGGAAGUGAUAUGAUCAUGUGAUAACAGGAAACCUGAGUUUACGUAAUGUACCCGAAGUUGAAGGGUCUAUGCUCUGGUUUGAUGCGUCGGUAGGCACGAAAAAUUUUAAAUGGACAUGACUAGGCAGAGUUGAACUUAAGAAAUUAUUAGUCUUGACAAAUUUUAACCUAGUUAGAUCCGUUCAGCUUUACAAUACGACGCUCGGAUAGGUUGAGCAGGGAGAUAUAUAUGGGAAUCCACUCGUCACAUUAAAUGAACCCGUACUUGGAACCGUGGUUUAACUUUUUCUCAAUGUGCAGAUUCUAUCCUUAAUUCCGGUUGGAUGGGGCGACUGGUAAAUUCCGAUAAAUUAGGUCUGUAGAAAAUCGUUUUCUUUCUUUCUGUCUGUUAGUCAUAUGUUAUCUCCUUUGCGUGACUUCCAAUCCGACCUGGUACACAACAUAUGCAACUCUAUUUCUCUGCAUGUUAUAUAUAUGAAAUUCCUCUUAUCUGUUAGCCAUAUGUUGUUUCCUUUGCGUGACUUCCAAUCCGACCUGGUACACAGCAUAUGCAACCUUCUACUUGUCAACCCCCCUGAAACAAUAAGUAAUAGCAAUAAGUAAUAGCAAUCUGAAUCUGUUCUCUCUCUGAAUGAUUGUUUGCUCACCCGGUGUAAGGAGUACUCUGGAAGUUCUUGAUGGCUGGGGCAUAUUAGGAAGUGGGAAACAUGUUCUAGUACAAUUAAAAUUGAACACUCAAAGAUUGUCUAUAGAUCUUGCUGCUCAAUUUAGGUGGACCACAAUAUCCCUGGUCGUCGUCAGAUGAAUGGUCCUUAAGAUGUAGUAUCUAGGAACUUAGGAUCAGAUAUAAUAUCUAGGAACUUAAGUUCACCUGUCUUGUAACAAAUAGUAUGUCCAAAAUUUGUCACAAUUUUUCGUGUUUAAGUGGACAACAAUACCGACGAUUGACCAGACAAAGAUGUGAAUAUGAAAGGUACCGACAAGUGGAUAAAGGCUGUCUAAAAACUUUGAUCCCAAAUCACUCUUAAAGUUAGAUAUCAUUUUUAUUUUUGUUAAAUUUGUCAUAGUUUCAAAAAUCAAAAAUAAAAAAUCAGAAAAAUUCAAAAAUCAAAGAAAAAUCAGAAAAAUUAAAAAUCCAAAAAUAGUGUUAUUUAUGUUUUAUUUCUUGUUCAGAAAAAUCAAAAAUCCAAAAAUAUUUUUGUUUCUGUUUUAAUUUGUGUGCUAAGUUUUCUUUUAGAUUUGUUUUGUCUUGAAAAGUGAUUUCAGGUAUAGAUAAGACUCAUGGAGUUUGUGUUGAAGAUUUCUGAGCCAAAGCCUCGUCCGUGAGCAUCGAAGAAUUCUCAUUCGAAGGAGCAAGAAAUGAAGAUUAUUCUUUCAACAUUCAAUCCUUCAACCCCAGAAGCAAGGUGAAGCUGAAAUUGAAGAAUAUGUGACAGAUUGCAUUGAAGCCUCCUCAAUCAGUCUGCUGCUAUCUUAAACUUGCUGAAGUGAUCUAGAAGUUCAGUUCUCUCUGAUGUUCUCUCUGAAGAUUCUCAAGCUGAAAGCGCUAUCUUUCAAGAAUCAGUACAUCAAGCCUCCUCACCCAAUGUGCGUUCAAUGCCAAAAUUUUGAAGAAAUGCCCAACUGCUCAAGAUGAAGUCAUUCAUUAAAGAUAAAUGCUGAAGCCAAGCUCUCAAUGAAGAUUAACAAGAAAAACCAGCUACUUUUUAGGGGGAGCUUGUUGGGUCAUUUAAGAAAAGAAAAGAAAUCUAUAAACCAAGGGAGAGAUUGUUGGGUCAAUAUUUNUAUAUAUAGGGGUGAGGGGUGUGAGGGAUAGAGUGAUGAACACUAGAAGAGCUUAAGUGUGUGCAUUCUAAGGUGUAAGAGAGAGAGAGAGGAGAGAAGAANGAGAAGAACAAGUGUGUGUUAGUGUGUGUGAGUCUUUGUAUCCGGAUCUUCAUUUGUAUCAAUAGAUACAAGAUUCAUCAUCAUCUUCUUCUCCUUCUCUUCUAUUUGAUCUGACAUCAUCCGUUUGAUUGGCAUUCCGCACCAUCAAACGAAUCUAAUUGAUACACAAGCAUAUUUGGGGACUUACACUCUAAUAUGAAACUAUUUUGAAAGCAAUUUGUAAUGAUUAUUGGUUUUUUAAUGAUUUAAAAAGUUUUAAAUUGGCAUGAUUUGUAUGGGUGUUACAAGUUGGUGUGACAUCCCCAUUUUCACGGCCAGAAAAGACCGAUUUGUUUAUGCUUUGUUUUAUAAAUCAGAGUGAUCGUUUAAAGAAAACGGUUGCGGAAUUUGUUCCCAAAAUAAAAUAUGAUAACCAUUUAUCAAAACGUUUCUCAAAGAGAAUGUAUUUUCAUUAAAUAAUAAAACCUCGGGAUGUCAUGUUCCGAUACAGACCAAAAGCAUAAACAAUAAUAAAUAGACCUUACAACAGUUAUUCAUAACUACUGGCCUAUAAUCCAAAAUCUCUCGUCAAGUCCACCAACUUAUACUCUUGUGCCAUUACCUGUAAUGCAAAGAAAACUGAGUGGGUCAGGCUUGGGAGCCUGGUGAGCAUAUAGGGUUUUCAACCCACAAUAAUACAAUUAUUAUAUUCAACCAUCAAACAAUCAACUCAAUUAUUCAUCCCUAUUAUGUUUCUUAGGAUUUUACCCUAGGAAUUCAACUACUCGUCAUUCCUUCAUUCCUAAGGAUUGACCUAAGGAAUUUACACAAACUUCCAUUGCUACAUAAGGCGCAUCUGCCAACAUUAUCCUUUAAGCGCCUCUGCCAGGAUUACGUCACACACUAUGAGGCGCGACUGCCAGGUUUAUGACAUUCUCUUUUAGGCGCAUCCGCCGACAUUAUCUUAUAAGCGCAUCUGCCAAGAUUACCCUAUAAGCGCAUCCGCUAUUAUUAUGACAAUCUUUAUUUGGCGCAUCUGCCAACAAUAUCCUAUAAGCGCAUCUGCUAGGAUCACUCUAUAAGCGCAUCUGCUUUUAUUAUGACAAUCUCUAUUUGGCGCAUCUGCCGACAUUAUCCUAUAAGCGCAUCUGCUAGGAUUACGACAUUCACUACUUGGUGCAUCUACCGAUAUUAUUCUACAGCACAUCUGCUAGUCUUAUGACAUUCUUUAAUUGGUGCAUCUACCAAUAUCAUUCUUAAUCAUCUUUCAUACCUCAUCAUUUCAUCACAUACCAACUAUCUCAUCUACCCAUGUUCUACCCAACAUAUUUGUAGAUCUAGAAUACACAUACAGUUUAUCUCAUUUUAAAACUAUAUAAAACAUUCAUGCCAUACUCAUCUCAAAUAAACAACAAUAUAUAAACACAUAGCACGUAUUUUAUACCAAAUACUUCAUAUUUAUGUGUUAGAAGAAAGUAACCAUACACUCUGCCAAACGUACACUUAAUACAUUCAAACAAUACUUGUAUUAUACCCGUGUUUAUGAAAGGGACUAUACAUCCAUCCAUAUAAACAACUUUAUAUUAUCCACGUAGCACGUAUUUCAACGAAAAUACUUAAUAAUUAUGCGUUAGAAGAAAAUAACUACACACUCACACUUAUAAACAACAAUACUCUUAAUACACUCAAACCAAACUCGUAUUAUUAUUGUGUUUAUGAAAGGUAGUAUACACUCACUUGAUCAGAAGAUGAUCGGACAGCACUACGACUUGCAGAAGUAGUAAUCCUCAGCAGAUCUGGAAGAUCUCUUCAAAAAUCGAACUUCUCGCGGGCAGAGCUUCGGCUCGGGAACCGCACUUCUCGGGAUCUUCGGGAUCUCGGGACUUGCUUCGGGGCUUGAGAACAAUACCGGGGCUUCGGGGUAUUUCUGGCACGCAAACCGAUGCAAAAUGGGAGAAAGAAGAGGAGAAAUUGGCAAAACUAUCGGCUGCCUUCGGAUUCCUUUUAUAGAGGCUGAGCCUCGCACGUACGCGGGGCGUACGCCAGUACGCGGGGCGUACUGGUCCGAAAAACGUCACUGCGUUCGUCAUCCGAAGCCACUUGCUGCGAUGUCGACACUUUCGGAGUACGCGGGGCGUACUCGAGUACGCGGCGCGUACCUCGGAUCAGACCGGUGACUCCUUCGGAUAAUGCUUCCGAAUUAAAGAUUAAAAAUAAAUACAAAUUAUUUAAUAAUCUUCGGAAAUUCAUAUCUUCUUCAUACGAACUCCGUUUUCGACGUUCUUUAUAUCCACGCGAAGGUGAGACUACGCUCUACAACUUUCGUUUAGACUCCGUCGGCUAAUUUUGACUUUAUUUUUAUUAAUUAUUUUUAAUAGGCCGCGACAUAAACUUUCGUUAUAAAUUCAUAACUUCUUCGUUUGACGUCCGUUCUCGCCUAACUUUUUAUCGCUUCGAUACCAACAAUGAGAUCUUCGAUUCUCAUUUAGAUUGCUUCGGCUAAAUACCGCUCUAACGUAAAUUCACUUUUUACGUUGCAUUGCGUCGUGCCGGUUCUGUCGCGAAACUUCGACGGGCCAUAACUUCUUCGUUAUAACUCGGAUUUUGGCGUUCUUUAUAUGCACGGAAACCUUGUGACAUAUACUACAACUUGGUUAAGAUUAAUCCUUCUAGAUAAUCUUCCAUCAAAAAGUCAUUUUUGACGCUUAUUGUUUCUAAAUUGACUAGCCCUGAUCUACGGGCGUUACAAUUAUCUCCCCCUUAGGAUGAUUACGUCCCGGAAUCAUCAACGAAAUAGGAUUCGCAUACUGACUCCAUAAGUUAUCUUUCCAUUCUAAGUAAUAACCUUGAUGCUCAAUCCUGCAUCUGCUCUUCGUACUAUCUUGGACUUUCAAUCAUAACCUUCGAGUUACAAAAUAAGUCCUUAUUGCGAACUCUUUCUUCUUCUUAGGAUAAAUAUAUUCCUUUAUCCAAUGUAACAAACCGAUGGGUCGUGCUCUAUCGACCUCUCAUCGCACGAUGCGACGCUUAGACUCGGUCUUUAAUAAAGUUAAAUUCCAGAAUGGAAUAUACCUUCCUUCAUAUUCUAAUGCGAUAUAAUCACAUUUCAGCAUGUAGCAUUUCUGCCUACAAACUUCUUUUAACAACGAGAGCGACACUAUCAAUCGCAUUAACUUCAACCUUCUGACUUAAGUCAGAUGUUACAUCUAACUCGGUCCUCUAGACCACGUACAUACUCCUCGCCGUCGAACUCAAAUUAAACAUGACCACUAGGGUCGGAACAAGAACCAUCUUACUAGUCAUCACCGAAACAAUGGUAAUGACAUACCAGAAUAAAAUGGAAUCAAUCACUAGUUUCUUGGUAACCUUGCGACUUUCCCUGAUCCAAGUGCGAGUCCUGUGCUUCCGGUAGUAUAUGCAUCUACUACCUUUCACACCUACUCAUACUCGUCCCAAGUAUUGCCUCGUAGUCGACCAAGUCACCAUGCAAGAAAAUCAGACAAUCAUUCAACACAUCAGUUAACAAAACUAGGGUUUAUAUUAAUUCCUUGAAACGGUUACACAAAAGUCCAAGUUCACCCUAUACUAUGCCUUUAAUAGGCUACACACAUGAUACUUUUCAUAUUGCUACUUUAUAACUUGAUCUUUAGAUAUAAAAUCCUCAUUCCUGAUUCCUUGCAUUGCCAUCUGCUUCAUCAAGGAUCAUUUGAAAUGCUCUUGCCUUUAGCUUUGGCGGCGCCUCUAGCCUUGCUGUUUGAUUUUUCCUUGGGCAGUCUUGCUUGAAGUGCCCCUCUUCGUUACAUUCGUAACACACCUUUUUGUUGAAAAUACAUUCAUCGGCGUAAUGCCCAUGCUUUCCACACUUGAAACAUGUCACCUCCACGCCACAUUUUCCUGAGUGCUUCUUCUUGCACUUAUCGCACCACCUUGCCUCAUCCCUUCCUCCUCCUCCAGGCUUCGAGAAUUUUCUUUUCUCAUUAGAACCUGAAGUUCCUUCUAACUUUCUCUUCUCGCCAACUUCAACCUUACUGUCAGUCCUCCCCUUGAUCAUAUUCUCAACAGACUUGGCAGCCCAAAUAGCUGCCUCUAGAGUAGGUGCCUGACGCACUGGCACCGCAUACUCCCAAGGGAGUCCCUUGGCAUACCGAUCGACUUUUGUCAGUUCGUCUGGAACGAUGCGUAAAGCAAACUCCAUCUUGUCUGUGAAAGCAUUAGUGUAUUCAUCCACUGACAUGCUGCCUUUCUUCAAUAUCAGAAACUUAUUCUCCAACUCCAAUAGAUUUUGAGCAGAGCAGAACUUGCGCUUGAAUUGCACCAAGAACUCUGCCCAGGUCAGUUGCAGUGGCUCAUUAGGACUUAGGAUCUUCCCCAAAGUGUUCCACCAACGAACAGCCCCACCCCUGAACUGACGCACUGCAUAGGUAGUCUGCAACUUGCCUCUGCAGCCACAAGUCAUGAAGGCUAGCUCCAUUUCCGAUAUCCAAUCCAUAACUCCGAUCGGAUCUUCCUUUCCAGUGAAGGUCGAUGGUUUGCAAGUCAGAAAAUCCUUAUACUUGCAUCCCAUUCCAUCGUUCCUUCCAUUCUGGUUGUUUUGCCUAACUAUCGGUGGGUUGGCUUGACCAACAGACCCACUGAAGUUUCCACCUUCCGAGUGCCCUUCAUUUAAUUCAGGCUCUUCCACUCGAAUUGACAGUUCUUCACGAUUCUGCUGAAGCAACCGUCUAGUUUCAUCCAUCUGACGAUCCAACAUCGUCUGAAUCAUCAUUUGCACACCAGCCAUGGUUAUUGGCUCAGGUGCUGCUGCUACGACAGGUAUUUGCUCAAUCACUGGUGGUUGAUUCCUGUUUUCAUCAGCAUUUCCAACUCCACUUCUUGUUCUCACCAUUUUUGAUCUACACACCAAAUAAGGUGAAAUUAUAUCCUCAAUCACGAUAGAUAUUCACAUCGCCCUUAUCACUCCGAAACGUUUACAUGCUAGUUCUAAUAUCGUAGACGUACGCUUAGAAUCCUAAACACAUAAGGUUUCCAGAUCCGGUCGGCAACAGACCAUAGAUCCGAACAAAUAAUAGCAUCAAUUUAGCUAUCACACAAAACAUUUAGCACAUAAAAGCAUUUUAGGCAUCAUUCCUAAAAUGAACUAGUGCUUGUGUCAAUUUAGGUGUACUACCUAACAUAUUUUAGACACACUCCUCACAAUCAUUACUUAGCAUUCUAAGUUUAAGUCUAGAAAUUUCCUACAAAUUCCUAGUUCGCUUAAACUAAUGCUCUGAUACCAACUGUGACAUCCCCAUUUUCACGGCCAGAAAAGACCGAUUUGUUUAUGCUUUGUUUUAUAAAUCAGAGUGAUCGUUUAAAGAAAACGGUUGCGGAAUUUGUUCCCAAAAUAAAAUAUGAUAACCAUUUAUCAAAACGUUUCUCAAAGAGAAUGUAUUUUCAUUAAAUAAUAAAACCUCGGGAUGUCAUGUUCCGAUACAGACCAAAAGCAUAAACAAUAAUAAAUAGACCUUACAACAGUUAUUCAUAACUACUGGCCUAUAAUCCAAAAUCUCUCGUCAAGUCCACCAACUUAUACUCUUGUGCCAUUACCUGUAAUGCAAAGAAAACUGAGUGGGUCAGGCUUGGGAGCCUGGUGAGCAUAUAGGGUUUUCAACCCACAAUAAUACAAUUAUUAUAUUCAACCAUCAAACAAUCAACUCAAUUAUUCAUCCCUAUUAUGUUUCUUAGGAUUUUACCCUAGGAAUUCAACUACUCGUCAUUCCUUCAUUCCUAAGGAUUGACCUAAGGGAUUUACACAAACUUCCAUUGCUACAUAAGGCGCAUCUGCCAACAUUAUCCUUUAAGCGCCUCUGCCAGGAUUACGUCAUACACUAUGAGGCGCGAUUGCCAGGUUUAUGACAUUCUCUUUUAGGCGCAUCCGCCGACAUUAUCUUAUAAGCGCAUCUGCCAAGAUUACCCUAUAAGCGCAUCCGCUAUUAUUAUGACAAUCUUUAUUUGGCGCAUCUGCCAACAAUAUCCUAUAAGCGCAUCUGCUAGGAUCACUCUAUAAGCGCAUCUGCUUUUAUUAUGACAAUCUCUAUUUGGCGCAUCUGCCGACAUUAUCCUAUAAGCGCAUCUGCUAGGAUUACGACAUUCACUACUUGGUGCAUCUACCGAUAUUAUUCUACAGCACAUCUGCUAGUCUUAUGACAUUCUUUAAUUGGUGCAUCUACCAAUAUCAUUCUUAAUCAUCUUUCAUACCUCAUCAUUUCAUCACAUACCAACUAUCUCAUCUACCCAUGUUCUACCCAACAUAUUUGUAGAUCUAGAAUACACAUACAGUUUAUCUCAUUUUAAAACUAUAUAAAACAUUCAUGCCAUACUCAUCUCAAAUAAACAACAAUAUAUAAACACAUAGCACGUAUUUUAUACCAAAUACUUCAUAUUUAUGUGUUAGAAGAAAGUAACCAUACACUCUGCCAAACGUACACUUAAUACAUUCAAACAAUACUUGUAUUAUACCCGUGUUUAUGAAAGGGACUAUACAUCCAUCCAUAUAAACAACUUUAUAUUAUCCACGUAGCACGUAUUUCAACGAAAAUACUUAAUAAUUAUGCGUUAGAAGAAAAUAACUACACAUUCACACUUAUAAACAACAAUACUCUUAAUACACUCAAACCAAACUCGUAUUAUUAUUGUGUUUAUGAAAGGUAGUAUACACUCACUUGAUCAGAAGAUGAUCGGACAGCACUACGACUUGCAGAAGUAGUAAUCCUCAGCAGAUCUGGAAGAUCUCUUCAAAAAUCGAACUUCUCGCGGGCAGAGCUUCGGCUCGGGAACCGCACUUCUCGGGAUCUUCGGGAUCUCGGGACUUGCUUCGGGGCUUGAGAACAAUACCGGGGCUUCGGGGUAUUUCUGGCACGCAAACCGAUGCAAAAUGGGAGAAAGAAGAGGAGAAAUUGGCAAAACUAUCGGCUGCCUUCGGAUUCCUUUUAUAGAGGCUGAGCCUCGCACGUACGCGGGGCGUACGCCAGUACGCGGGGCGUACUGGUCCGAAAUCGUCAUUGCGUUCGUCAUCCGAAGAACUCGAGUGCGAAGGUCGUCAUGCUUCGCUGUACGCGGGGCGUACAGCAGUACGCUGGGCGUACUUCGGAUAUGCCCGGUGACUCCCCCUUCGGAUAAUACCGGGUUUUAUAAUUAAAUUUAAAUAUUAAUUAUUUAAUAAACUUCGGAAAUUCAUAUCUUCUUCAUACGAACUCCGUUUUCGACGUUCUUUAUAUCCACGCGUAGGUGAGACUACGCUCUACAACUUUCGUUUAGACUUCGUCGGCUAAUUUUGACUUUAUUUUUAUUAUUUAUUUUUAGUAGGCCCGGACAGGAAAACUUCGUUAUAAAUUCAUAACUUCUUCGUUUGACGUCCGUUCUCGCCUAACUUUUCAUCGCUUCGAUACCAACAACGAGAUCUUCGAUUCUCGUUUAGAUUGUUUCGGCUAAAAACCGCUCGAUCUCAAAUCGAGUAUUUCGGGCUGCAUACCGCUAAGUCGAAACUUAGAAAAAUCAUAACUUCCUCAUACGAAGUCAGAUUUUGGCGUUCUUUUUAUGCACGCUCAUGGUUUAACGUAUUAUACGACUUUCAUUUAGAUUGCUAAGGCUAAAUAUCACUCUAACAUAAAUUCACUUUUUACGUCGCGCUGUGUCGUGCCAAUUCUGUCGCGAAACUUCGACAGGUCAUAACUUCUUCGUUAUAACUCGGAUUUCGGCGUUCUUUAUAUGUACGGAAUCCUUUUAACAUAUACUACAACUUAGUUAAGAUUAUUCAUUCUAAAUAAUCUUUCAUCAAAAAUUCAUUUUUGACGCCUAUCGUCUCUAAAUUGACUAGCCCUGAUCUACGGGCGUUAUAGUUGUUAUCAGUGCCUUAGUUUGAGUGAAUUGGAGGAACACUCGUAUGAAUCCAGUCUCAAACUAAGGAAAAAGGUUUUCAAACUAAUAUUUUAAAGGUUUUCAAAAUACGAAAAGAGGAUGCAAAGUGUACGAUCAGCCGGAGCUAGUAAGUAAACCCCAAAAUACCAUGCAAUUAUUUGGUACUGUGAUAUGUUAGAACAACAUGCUAGUUGUAGGCUAGGGAUCUCCAAGAAUUGCAUGAUAGAAUUGUCUGAUUAUAUGAUGCCUAAUAGCCUAGGUUUUUUCCUUAUAUGAAAUUGACACCAUUACUAUAGUUGCUUAGUGUAUGCAUCAUAGUUGUACAUAAUUAGGAUCCUAUAGCCUAAGAUUUGGGGAGCUCCAGCUCGUCGAGUUUGGGGUUAUAUGCUAGGACUUGACGAUUUGGGGAGCUCCAUCUCAUCGAGUAGAGAUCAUUUAUGAGGACACGAGAUUUAGAUCCUACUCGAUGAGUCGGAAGGCCCCGACUCGACGACUAGGCGUUGCAAAGGACAACCCUAACUUUUAGGGUUUGCACCCUAUAUAAAGGACUUAAUCCGCCUCUUGUGGCCUCCUUACCACUUCAUUACCCAGAGAAUAAACCCUAGCCGUUCUUUGUUGCUUCCUUAUGCUCGUGAGGCUAAGAGAGUGCUUUUGGUGCAUUUUGUUGAAGAAGUUUGAUGGUUGAGAAGCUUGGAAUGGGAAGGAGCUUGUAGCUCUAGCAUCUACAACGUUUUGGUAUCCAUUUGAAGGUAACAAGUUGUUGAUCAUUCUAGCAUUAGAUUCCCCUUUUUCUUGGGUUUAAGGUCAUUUCUAGUAUAUUUGUAGAUUAUUUCGGGUAUUGGACAUGAUAUGAGGUUGUAACUUCAGAUCUGGACUCCUCUAAGUCCCUAGAGUUAUAAAGUCACUAAAUUUAUCAAGCAUUGGCCCUUCUCUUUGGCUAAAACCCCACCCUUAGCUUGGUUUUGGCAUUUAAGAUCCUGCAUGCACGUAAAGUUUGCAACUUUACAUGGAAACCAUGCCUUAGGAGGCUAGAUAUGCAAUUUGGAGCUUUGGGGUAGCUUAAAAACGUCCGAACACAAGAAGGACUUAAGGGACUCGUCAAGUCCCUUAGCCAACUUGACGAGUUGGGUAGGAUUUUCCCAUUUUUGAGAUUCUGAAGUGAUUUCUGUGAAGGAUUGGAGUUUUCGGUCUACAUGAGUUUUUGGUCUUCUAGACAUUGAGGAACUCGACAAGUUACAUACGUAACUCGGCGAGUUGACGAGUUACUCAGGUAACUCGACGAGUUGCUAGAUGCACUCGACGAGUUGAGGUCAACAUGGACUGUUGACCUUGACUUUGACCAAGGUUGACUUUGAGGAUAAUUAUGGUAUUUCGGGAUUGUGACAAGUUAAUCACGUGAUGAUUAUAGGUAGUUGAGUUGGAGCAGUGUGUUGGAUUUAUCUAAUCUUAUCUUGUUUGUUCAGCAUUCACGAGAAGUGAGUCUCCUCACCAUACCAAUGGGUCAAAGGCACCAAGGCCGGCUCAUUUUGUGAUAUGUGGUAUAUGUAAUGCUCGUAGAUCCGAGCUAGUCAAUUUAGAGAUAAUAGGGGUUGAAAAUGACUUUUCGACAGAAGAUUUUUUAGAGUAAGUAAUCUCAACCAAGUUGUAGUAUAUGUUAUAAGGUUUCCAUACAUAUAAAGAGCGUCAAAAUCCGAUUUAUAACGAAGAAGUUAUGACCCGUCGAAGUUUCGCGACGGAACCGACACGGCACCGGGAAGCGUAAAUAGUGAAUUUACGAUAAAGCGAGUUUUAGCGUUAUCAAUCUAAACGAAAGUUGUAGAAUACGUUAAAACGAGAGAGUCCAUAAAAAGAACGCCCAAAUCUGACUUCGUAUGAGGAAGUUAUGAUUUUUCGAAGUUUCGGCUCAGUAGUGUACAACCCGAAAUCCGAAUAUUAGAUCGAGUGGUUUUUAGCCGACACAACCUAAACGAGAAUCAAAGAUCUCAUUAAUUGUAGCAUAAGGAUAAAAAUAUAGACGAAAACGGACGUCGGAUGAAGAAGUUAUGAAUUUUUAAUGGACCAAUUGUGUCCCGGUCUGUUAAAUAAUAUAACUUUUAAAAUAAAUUCAAAAUUAGAUAAUGGAGUCUAAACGAAAGUUGUAGAGUACGUUCCCGCCUUUGCGUGGAUGUAAAGAACGUCAAAAACGGAGCUCGUACGCAAAAGCUAGGGAUUUUUAAAGUUUAGACUUGAAUUUGCGAAGACUGCUGCUCGACUGAUGACCUGGCAAGAUCCUAGCCGUUGCUUGCUGAUCAUGCCUCAAUUUGGAUGAAGGACACGUCGCCCCUCGCUACGCCCAGCGUCCGAGCUCGGAACGUGCCGCGUACAAAAGCCUUCCCUUGGUCCAGCUUAAGCCACGUCGCACCAUCCGGAGCUUGCCAUCUGUCGACCUUAUCCGAAGUUACGCCCCACGUAACCUGCUGAACGCCCCACGUCGUAGUAAUGUAUUAGGUCCUUAAAAUAAUUAUUUGGGCUAUUAUUUUGAGUUAUAUAAGUAUCGUUUAAGGCUUAUAUAAUAGUAAUAAUAGUCAGAUUAUUAAUUUGUCGCGGUUAUCGUUAGACUAAACUCUAGUGGUAUUGAUACUAGGUUUUAUCGAAGAAAAAUUGUUUUGAGAGUAUUGAAGUGCUGUCCGAGUGUUGAGUCACCACCUUUCAAGUGAGUGCAUAGUCCCUUUCAUGAACAUGAUUUUAAUACAAGUAUUGAUUGAAGUAUUAAUUAUAUGUAUAUGUGCGAGUUAAUUGAUGUUGCCUGAAAUACGUGUUAAAGAACAUACCUGAUUAUAUAUGAUGAUUUAGGACAAAGAGUAGACCUAAAUUAAUUAUGAGGAAUAUUGGGUAGUAUCUUCUUACGAGUACAAGUGAGUUAUACUCAGAGAAUAGAACUUUAGUAUAUGUCACUUAUCUGGGAGGAUGGAUUAGACACAACCAUUGUCCCUAGUCCGAGAGUAUGGAUUAAGACAUAGUCAGUUGUCCUUAGUCCGAGAGUAUGGAUUAAGACAUAGUCAUUCAUCCCUACUCCGAGAGUAUGGAUUAGGCAUAAUCAUUCUUCAUUAAUCCGAGAGUAUGGAUUAGUCAUUCGUCCCUAGUCCGAGAGUAUGGAUUAGGCAUAACCAUUCGUCAUUAAUNAGCCUAAGUGACAAUAUUAGCAGCUGCGCUUGACCAAUGUGUCAUUGGCAACAAUGGACUUCAUGUUGUUUCCUUAGGAUGAUCCUUAGGAAUGAAUGAAUGAGAAAUAGCUGAUUCUUAGGGUAGAUCCUUAAGAAUAAAGAAGAUAAUGGGGAUGGGUAAUUGGGUUGAUUGUUUGAUUGUUUAAACAUAAUAAUUAUAUUAUUGUGGGUUGAAAACCCUAUGUACUCACCAGGUUUCCCAACCUGACCCACUCAGUUUAUUUAUAUCACAGGUGUUGAUAUGAAGUGACAUUACACUGAGAGAUUUAAAGAGAUGUAGAUCACUAGUGUAAAUAAAUGUAAGUUCUGUUUAUGCUUAUGUUUCUGUAUUAACGAUGACAUCCCAAUCGUUUUAAAAUGAAUUAAAUACGUUUCUUCGAAAAUGUUUUAAUAACGCAUUUAUCAUGUUUUUCUGGGAACAAAUUCCGCAACAUUUUUAUUAAAAGAAGUACUCUGAUUUUUAUAAAGCAUAAACAAAAUCGGUCUUUUCUGGCCGUGAAAAUGGGGAUGUCACAGUUGGUAUCAGAGCAUUAGUUUAAGCGAACUAGGAAUAUGAAUUUAUUUCUAGACUUAAACUUAGAAUGCUAAGCAAUGAUUGUGAGGUGUGAGCACUAGCUUAUUUUAGGAAUUGUGCCUAAAAUGCUUUUAUGUGCUAAAUGUUUGUGCCUGAUAUGCUGUUAUUUGUUCGGAUCUAUGGUCUAUUGCCGACCGGAUCUGAAAACCCUAUGUGUUUAGGAUUCUAAGCGUUUAACUAUGAUAUUAGAACUAGCAUAUAAACGUUUCAGAGUGAUAAGGACGAUUUAAACGUCAAUCCUAAAUAAAUAUCUAGAUUCACAUUAUUCGGUGUAUAGAUCAAGAUGGCAAGGACACGUAGCGGAAACAUGAAUGCAAAUNACCCCCAGUGAUUGAGAAAAUACCGGUUGUGGUAGCCGCUGUUGAGCCAAUAACAAUGGCCGGAGUGCAAGCGAUGAUCCAGGCGAUGUUGGAUCGUCAAAUGGAGGAAACCAGACGUUUGCUCCAACAAAAUCGAGAGGAAGCGACCAUACAGAUCGAACAGCCCGAGUUGAACGAAGGGCAGACUGAGGAAGGGAACUAUAGUGGAACCGUUGGUCAAGUCAACCCACUAAUAGUUCGACAAAACAACCAUGAUGACGGAGUCGAGAGGAAUGGAUGCAAGUACAAGGAUUUUCUGACUUACAAGGCAUCGACUUUCACUGGAAAGGAAGAUCCGAUCGGGGUCAUGGAUUGGAUCUCGGAGAUGGAGUUAGCUUUCAUGACGUGCGGUUGCAGAGGGAAACUACAGACCACGUUUGUAGUGUGUCAGUUUCGAGGAGGCGCGGUACGUUGGUGGAAUACCUUGGGGAAGCCUCUAAGCCCCAAUGAGCCCCUGCAAUUGACGUGGGCAAAGUUUUUGGUGCAGUUCAAACGUAAGUACUGCUCAGCCCAAAAUCUACUCGAGCUAGAAAACCAAUUCCUAACCUUGAAGAAAGGAAGCAUGACCAUCGAUGAAUACACCAACAACUUCACGGACAAGAUGGAGUUUGCUUUGCGCCUUGUCCCGGACGAGCUGACAAAAAUAGACAAGUACGUAAAGGGACUUCCAUGGGAAUACGCGGUGCCAGUACAUCAGGCACCUACUCUGGAGGCAGCUAUCUGGGCUGCCAAGUCUGUUGAAGAUAUGAUCAAGGGAAGAGUCUCCAGCAAGAUGGAGGUUGGGGAGAAGAGAAAGUUUGAAGGAUCUUCAAGGUCCGACAAGAAGAGAAAAUUCUCGAAGUCUGGUUCAAAGAAGUUCGAAGAAGGAACGCAAUGGUGUGACAAGUGCAGAAAGAAGCACAUCGGGAAAUGCUCUAAAGAGAUGACCUGCUUUAAAUGCAGGAAGACUGUUCAUUACGCCAGCAAAUGCACAACCAAGAAAGAAGUCAACUUUAAGUGUGGUGAAGAGGGACACUUCAAGCAAGACUGUCCAAAGAGAGAAGGGGCUACAAAGCCAAAUGUGCCGCCAAAUCCAAAGUCGAGAGCAUUUCUAAGGAUCCUUGACGAAGCAGAUGACAAUGCAAGGAUUCAGGAGUGAAGGCUUGACAUUAAGAGAACGAGUUAUGAAGUAGUUGUGUGGAUAGUAACACGUGAUGUAGCCUUUUAGAGGCAUAGUCUAGAGUGAACUUGAACACCUAUGUAAUCAUUUCAAGGAAUGAUACAAAACCUUCGUUUUGAUAUUUGAUGUGUUAAGUUGUUAUGUGAUUUUCUUGUAUGGUGACUUGGGAAACUGCGGGACAAUACUUGGGAUGAGUAUGAGUAGGUGUGAAAGGUAGUAGAGGCCUAUACUACCGGAAGCACAAGACUCACACUUGGAUCAGGGAAGGUCACAAGGUUACCAAAAAGCUAGUAAUUGAUACCGUUUUAUUCAAGAAUGUCAUUACCAUCGUUUUGGUAAUGACUAAGAAGAUGAUUGUUAUUCCGACCUUAGCAGUCCUAUCAAAUUGAAUCCGGCUACGAAAAGUAUGUUAAAGAACCAAGUCCAAUGCAACAUCUGACUUAAGCUAAAAGCUUGAAGUGAAAGACAAUCAAAGCGAUCAGUAGAGGUAUCACGAUAGUUGCUUGUAGCUAGAAAUGCUACCUUUUAAUAUGUGAUUAGAACAUGAAGGAAGGUAUAGUCUGUUCUGGAAGACUCUAAAAGACCUAAGUCUAAGCGUUGCAACAUACGAUGAUAGGUCAUUAGAAUAUGAUAUAUCGAUCCAUUGUAGUAAUAAAAGAACUUAUCUUAAGUUCGUAUUUAGUGAGGAUCGAGAUUGUGACUUGAAGGUCUUAAUUUGGAGUCUAACGUGAGAUAAGGAGCAAGUGCAAGAUUGAGCACCGCCUACAGUCAAGAAGUCUUAGAGUUAGAUACUCGUUCAAAGAAACAUGAAAGUUACAGUUAUUACUUAGGAUGAAGAUGUUACACCCGAAAUCAGAAAGGUCAAGAAAGGAAAGGAAAACCAUAAGUUAAAGAGGGUCGACUCGUCGAGUCCAGGGAGGAACUCGACGAGUCGGAGCGGGAUCCAGGUGUAAAGUUAGUGACCGACUCGACGAGUCAGCAAGUGGACUCGACGAGUCUGGUCUGAAGAUAAAAACCCUAAAUCCGGUACUUUGUGCACUAUUUAAACGUCUCAUUCUCUUCCUUAGGGUUCCUUUACUAUCUCUCUCACCUAGAAUACCCAACCCUAGCCGCCAUAAUCCUUUUUGGAGCAAGAUCUAGUUUUGGUGAAGGAAAUCUUGAAGAUCAAGAAGCCAAGAUCAAGGAGACUAAAAGAAAUCCAGAUUAUACUUCAGUGGGAGGUCACUUUGGAGGUAAGGAAUCGUUAUCCUUAGCCUUCUCCUUUCUAUUUCAACUUUCAUGGAGUUUUAGGAUUUGGUUAGAGAAAUAUUGAUGAGAUCUUGAAGCAUGAGUUAGAUCUGGAGUUGAAACUCCAGAUCUGAGUUCUAUAUGAAUCAUUGAUGCAGAAAGCCUUUCUAGUUGUUAUGCGAAAGCCUUUACCCAAGAGUUAAGUCCCUUUCUAGCUUGGUUUUGGUAUUAUGAGAUAAGAAGCACGUAAAGGUAGCAACUUUAUGUUGCUAAUGGACUCUACGAACCCAGAUCUAUUGUUUGGAGCAAAGGAGUAGCUUUGUGACUUGAGAUUAUGAGAAUACACGAAAGGACUCGGCGAGUCUGGGAGAUGACUUGGCGAGUCGGGCUAGAUAUCAGACUUAGAGUCGCGUAGGAACUCGACGAGUUGGAAGAACAAAUUGGCGAGUAUGUUGAAGAUUGCCUUGGACUCGGUGAGUCUGUUCUUGGACUCGGCGAGUCUGGUCACAGAACCUCAAACCUUUUUUGGUUAAGCCUCGAAUCAGUGAGUCAGGAGGUGACUCGGUGAGUUGAGCAGGAUGGGACUCAGAGAUCGUUGAACUCAACGAGUCUUGGGGUGACUCAGUGAGUUGAGUCGCAUUAUGAGAGUUUCAUAAUAUAAGGACUCGACGAGUCAACGGGCUGNACUCGGCGAGUAUGGUCAACCUGGAAGAUUGACUUUGACCAGAGCUGACUAAGUUUGACUGUUGAAGGGUAGUUUGGGACUAAGUGUUAUAUUUGGUAUUAGUAGAUUGGGGAGUCAUUGGAGUAGCAGUACGAGAGUUGUCAGAUAGCAGUCAGUAGGGUAUCAGCAAGAACUCCAGUAGUACAGGUGAGUUUCUGAUGGGUUUUGGUCAUAAGACAUCCUAUGUGCUCAUACAAACCAUAAUGCUUGGAUCUAGGUUUCUCUAUUGUACAUGCUUUGAAUCCAAGACUAUAAACCCUAAUUCUAGCAUAUGGAAAUCAAUAUUAACAUAUAAUUAGGUUUAUGAUAUUGCCUUGAUUGUUAUGUAGCAAUAACAAUCCCAAUUCCUCCUUGAAUUGACUUUGGAAGGCUUAGAGUCACAAGUGUCACUCCUCUAAUGGAUUACAAACACCAAGAGCAAAUGGAGAAGGUAUUAAGAGAGAGGGGAGGUAUUAGAAUUCGUCUCUAGGACCUCUUGGGAAGGCAUGGACGAAUUCAUGAGCCUUGGGGGUCUUGAUAUAGGUGUAGAGAUUAGAGUUUUAGUCCUUAUCCUUAUCUAGUUUCUGGCCCAUCAAGUAACCAUAAGAUAAGCCUUGAAAAACCCUUAUCCUAGUCGAAUUCUAAGGCCUUAUCACCUUAAAUUCGUCCAACCUAUUAAUAAGAUAAUCCUUACCUUAUUUUGUAACUAUCACAUAAUUACAAUUCAGCCCCUCUAGUUUAAUUAAUUACACUUGAUCACAAAAUUAAUUCUUAAUUAAUUAUUGACCAAUAUUAAUUAAACAAAUAUGAUUUCUCCUUUAAUAUAUUAUUCUUAUAACAUAUUAAUAAAUCAUAAUAACCUCUCUCUCUAUUUAUUUCUCCAAUCAAGUUGCUUUGGUGAAGGCAACCCAAAAGGACCAUGCACCAUCGGGUCAAGUACAUACCAAAAUAGUUAUGGACUUAGACACUAAUCCAACAGUCUCCCACUUGGAUAAGUCUAACAACUAUUCUGCGUAUGACUUCAGAUCCUGAUCUGCAAUCGUAGCUUUCCAAAGCCGCUGUCAACUCUGAUCCUAUCAGAUACGCGUGUCCUUAGAUAAGGGAUCAUAUAUUCCUCCAUUCUAGAUAUCAUAUGAGAUAUGAUUUCAAAUCAUUCUCUUUGUACUAUAUCUCGAUUCCCAUUUUAUGACGACUGACUAAUUGAACAAAUCAAAUUAGCCCUAGCCCGGCCGAGCAUUUACGUUUGUCAUCACUAAAUCAUCGAGGGGCCCAAAGAUAUCGCUUUUAUCCUACUUUGGAUAAAAGGAACGGAUAAACUUUGAUACAAUGCUUGCUUGCACUCACUCACCGAAUCACACACAACAAUAUGUUUUAUAACACCAAGUUACUAGUGCGUUUACAUAUUAUCAAUGUGCAACCGAUUUGCAAGAUACAACUCACACAUCUCGGUUUCAAGAAUAUAAGAUGUUAUCGUCUCACCAAUCACUCGUGAUACAAUUCAUGGAGUGAUCCAAGUGAGCGUGGGUUUAAUCCAAUGCUCAAAUCAUAUUCAUAAGCACUCAUGAACGUUGCAGCAAACAUUUGCUUAUGUCUAAUACUCUUUUAGACAAUCCACACACCAAUUCACGACAGUCUUCAUUCAUAUCUACUUCCAACAUAUGAACGACUGUGGCCCGUUCGAAUAAUUCGAUUAUUCUUAAUAAACUCAAUUAUUCUGGAAGUCAAAACAUGCAAAUGUGAAACACAAGAAUAAUACUAAUCCCAUAUGGCCUCAAACCUUUGAGUAUAAAUAAAACACCUUUUAUUUAUCACCAUAUCGAUUACUCAUUAUUUGUCGUUUCGGGUAAUCAACUUCUUACUUGAAUUAUUACACUUGUCCCAUGCUCCUAGCAUGCACACAAUGUUUACCUAUGGUUCUUACUUUGUGAAAUAGAUCAAAUUGAACACAUUUCCAAUCAUUCUCAUUUCACAACUCCAAAUCCUUUUUCAUAAGUGAAAGAAUAUCAAAUUCUUGCUACUUAUAGAAUAUGCUAGAUUCUAACAUUCUAUGCAACUAUCCUUUCGUAAUGUCACUGCACCAAAGUCACAAAGACUAUUGCCAAUGAUAUUACAAAGUCCUCUAUCGGAGAUUGUUACAAGACAAUUCCAUAGAUGUGAUGUCUCUCACUCAAAGUACAUUCUUUGAACAUCCUUUUGCAUAGAAGUUUCUAAUCUAGUCAUAGAUUUCUCAAUAUUCAAUUCCCAAUAUGGACACACUUCCAUAUGUUCCAUAUGACAACUCAUUCUUAAUAGAAUCUUAUCUAUUCGUAAUGAUGUCGAUAUGGUCCAUCCAAUAUGGAAACAUUUCCAUAUUUUCCAAUACUAUACUUCCAACUACUCACAAGCGACCAAUCCUCGUCGAACUUUGGAUUGUCCUUUGAUAGUUGUUUAAUUGUUUUAGUCAAAACCAAUUCUAGUCCCUUUUCCCUCUAAAUGCGCUCGACAUUUGGAAAAUUUUAGAAUGGUCAAACAUUAAAGCAUUUGCAAUCGAUCCUAUACCCGAAGCGUAUGGGACACGACGCAUAAUGUUUUAUUUGCUAUGUUCUCAAAAUUCGAAUUGUGAAGAGGGAUGCCGUAAUCAUAAUCGAAAUUUUAAGAACACACUUUGUACCUUUGACUAAAUUUUAUUAACAUUUCUCAACCUAAACCUUUAGAUUUGAAAUGAAGCAUAAUAUUCUCUCCCUUAAUUAUAGCAAAACAACUCUUCAACUAUUGCGACUUUGCAAAGUAUGACUCUUGUUUUCUAUAAUUAAUAUUGCUAACCUUGCAAUACUUUCCUUAAUAAUCAUACAAUCAUAACUUUUAUGCUCCCACUAUCUUGAUGAUUAUUAUAAAACAUAACACUUAUGCUCCCACUAGCUUCGACAUGUAUUCAUAAACAUCUUAACUUUCAGAAAACAAUACUUAUUGAAUUUCUUAAGUUCAUGUUUCUAAUACUUAGUGCUUUGAUAAUCUUUUAUCAAGGCUUCUUGAACUUAUACACCUUUGCCUUCGAUAGUUCAUAUGUGUGUCUAAACAAUUAAGACUAAUUGCCAAACCUCACAAUUCAAAUUAUGGAAAGGGAUGCCGUAACCAUAAUUGAAUUCGAGAAUGCAAUUUUACAAUCACUAUCUUCUUAAAAUCUUUCUUAGUGAAAGCAUUUCCUCACAAUCAUUUUCAUGAAGGAGGAAAUCUUAUGACACUUAGAUUUAAACGGUGUAUUUGUUCCUAUCCAUGUGAAUUUGUCAAAACCAAAGUUUACGACAAAUUCAAACUCUUAUGGAUCGAACUUUCUUGAUCUCGAUUUCUUGCCUUUAUGGUAGCACAGCUGCCCACCAUGUCUUCCAAGUAGUUAAGCAGCUCACCCUUUCCUAUCAAUGUACCUUUCAUUGAUUAAGGUGCUUUGCCUUUUAUGCGUUCAAAAUGAGAACUCAUAGAACUCACAUGCAUAAUUAACUCGAUUGGAUUGGCACAGAAUCAAAAUAAUGUCAACACGAUAGGUUGUAAACCUCAACUCGUGUGCUAGUGAUGAUCGAUAAGGUUUAUUUGAUUUGUUCUUGAAACCUUUCAAGACCAUUAAGACUCCCACUGACUCCUUGACAUAUAAGAUUCUCUUGUCAAAAAACAUUUCUUGACAAACAAAUAUUCAAGAGUUAGUGUAGCUUUUAUCAAAACACUUCAUAAAUUGGUCCUAGUUGGUCUUUGUCUUAUCCAAGACAUCACAACUUUCCACAUUUAAUGAAUGUUACAAACCUUCUUAAUACCUUUCACUCAAUGUCACAAUCUUAACUUUAAGACUUGUUAUUGGAACGAAGUAUGAUUGACUUAUUGAUUUAACCAUUUCUUCAAUUCUUGAUUCCUCUUCUUAGACAUACAAUUGUACUAAGACUCACUUAGAGGAUCAAUUGAGAUAUGGUUCUUAAUCAUUAAGACCUAUCAUAAAGCAUAAAAGGUACUCUCCCUUCUUCUUAGAAUGGAGAAACUUUUAUCUUUCUGCCUACUUGAUUCUUCUUAUUCGUUCUGCUAUUGAUUUAAACCUUUUCAAUCAAUUCAGAAUUACACUUAAUCUUAUAAGUAUAAUCAUAUUUACUAAACCUUUAGUAAAUCAUGACGAAUAUCUUUGUUACUCUUAUGGUGGACUUGAUCAACACGCAACUUUGUGUACUCGAUCUCCUAGUCCUUCACUUGACACUUUGUCAAUGAAUUAGUCUAAUUUCCAAAUAUGAAAUUUCUCAUUCAUCGUGCAACCAAGUUGCAUGAUUCCAAGUUUCUGUCCAAUUGAAACUUGGGCGAUGAGAAACUCUCCCUAUUUGGUAAAUUCUCGACUUUCCAUAAAUAACAUAAUAAGAACCAAAUCCAUUAUUGCUAAUAAUAGAAACAUUUUAACAUCAAUUUUUCAUACACGCCAUUGUAAGGAUAAAUAAAUAAAAUUUAAAAUCAAAAUUUAUUUUAUUGCGGAAAAAUUUGUCCUUACAAUGCAACUCAUUGAAAAACUUAUGCUAAUACAUCUUUCUUAGCAAUCUAAUUCUAACUCUAAGUAGUAGCUCAAGAAUCUAAUCUUCGAGAAAUGCGAUCGAAAUCCAUUCCUUCACGGUUAGAUUCUGCUCACUUCUUCCCUUAAGCUUCCUUUCUUUUCUUCGAUCCUACAAAACAUCAAUUGUAAUCUUAUCACAUUAUGUAUUAAGAAUCUAGAAUAGAAGCUUAAAAGAGUUAGUUAAUGGAUUUUACCUAUAUUAGAGCCAUACGUUUCGACUCUCCCAUCUCUUAGAUCUCUUAGGUAAAUGGGGCAGCUUCGUCUCCAAUGCCCUUUCUCUUGGCAAUAAAAGCAAAUUGACUCUUUUGGAACAUGACAUGGAACUACUUCAGACAUUGCCUUUCUCUUAUGAUCAAACUUUUCGAUCAUAGCAUGUCUUUCGUUGCCAUUGUCUAUAUCCAUAGAGGUCUUGAAGGCAGAUUCACCAAUCAACUUUGCUUUUCUAUUGCGCCAAACCAUUGCUGAUUCAGCAGCAAUAAGCAUAUAGGUGAGAUCUAUAAGGGUCACGUCGCGGUUCAUCAUAUAGUACUCUCUUACGAACUCACUAUAUGAGUUAGGAAGUGACUGAAGAACCCAAUCAACAGCCAUUUCCUCACAGACAACGGAUCCCAACAUUCUUAACCUAUCAAUGUGUGACUUCAUCCCUAGGACGUGUGCACACACCGACUUUCCUUCUUUAUGUUUACUUGCCAAAAGGGCUUGAGUGAUCUUGAACUUUUCAAGCCUUUGAACUUGUGGGUUAGGGAGAAUAAUUGGAGGAGGUGGAGGAAGUGAAGCAUGAUUUCUUGUUCCUCGAUCGAAUCGUGGAAUAUCAUCUUCAUGUGGAAUGCUUGUUCCACGGGAUUUGGGAAGACCAUAGUUGUCGAACUUUGACAUCUACAAAACGGGAGAAAACGAAUUCAAGUUAGUUGAUUGAUUGAGUCCUUAGUAAAUCACCCAAAUGAGAUACUAAGGCUAGGACCCAACACAAUAUUCUACAACUCGGGAGAGGGAUGCCGUAACCCAAAUUGCAGAACAUUUGAAGGUAAGUGAAUGACGAUUCACUAAUUUCCACCAUGAAAAACGAAAAAGAAAUUUAAGUUUUAAAUCUAUGAAAACUCCUAGAUCCUUUGAGAUUCAUUGAACAUUUCAAUGGCAUGUUUAAAUCUCGAUAUGCCCCUCUUGUUUGUGACUGGGAUGCCGAGGAUCACAAAGCGGGUGUGAAUAACCAUGCAAACUUACAUGGUGCCCUCACAUGUUACAGUCACCUAUUCGAUGUGCCGGUAAACCACACACGCUCCACCGAACUAUGACAAACAUUGAGUCACCCUUUGCUACCUUUGCUUAGAACCAUUUAGUGUGCCGGUAAACCACACACGCUCCACUAACGUCUUCGCAAGGGCACAAAGUGUAAUUUCAUGGAAUUGCAUCAAUUCACUUUUGCCUAAGUAACUAAGAUUGGGAAUUUUAUGAAAACAUUUAGUUACUUUUAUACUUCAUUAUACUUAUAAUGGAAGGUUUCGUCCUAUCCUACCCGUUCGGCUAACGACCCUCCACUAGUCAAGAGUGCGGUGGGUAAGAGUGGAUACCCAUUCAAUCGCCAUUUUAUAGGCAAUUUCCUUAAACACCCCUUAUAGACCAGCUUCGUGAAUGAGGCCUACUAACGGUAAGACUGACUUUUACUCAUACAUAUAUAUAAUGUUAGACUUUUAAUGUUAUAUAUAGUAUAGGGUGUAUUUUACACUUUUAAAAUACUAGGUGGUCAAAUUUAACAAUUAUACUUUUAAUUCAAUUAAAUUGUAAACCUAAACUUUUAUGGAUUUAUUAAACCUCUUUUAAUUAUACACCUUAAUUAAUUAAUAAAACCAUAAGGGUGUGAUUUGAACUUUUUCAAAACUAUACUAGAGUUUUAGAAUUUAACAUUCCUAAUUAAACUUUUAAUCAACUUUUAAAUUCCAAAACUUGAGGGCAAGUUUUGAAACAUUUCAACACAUUAGGGUUUAGAAUUUAAAUAUACAUCAAAAUUAAACUAUUUAAUCAAAAUUUAAAUUCCAAAACUUGAGGGCAAGUUUUGAAACCUUUUUCAAAACAUUAGGGUUUCAACUAUUUAAAUUUCAAAACAACAAAACUUUUGGGUUCAAAUUUAAACUAUAAAACCUAAAGGGAAAAAUAUGAAACUUUUCAUAACAACAAGGAUCAAAUAACAAAUAAUUCAAAUUAACAUUUAAUCACAUAAUUAUCCAUAUUUGAUUUAUUUAAUGAUUUCUUGCAAAACAAUUUAUCAAUUUACUCAAAAUAAUUAAUCAAUUAUCUUAUAAGGAAACAAUUAUCUUAUUAAUUGAUAAAUAUCUUCAAUUAGAUCAAAAAUAUAGUCAAAUAUAUCAUAUAAUCGGAUUAAUAUUGAUCUAACAUGAUAAGGUAACUAUCCAUAAGCAAAAACAGCAAGAAAUCCCGAAGUACCCUCCAUCUGACGAGUUGACUCGUCGAGUCAGCCUUGGACUCGUCGAGUCACCUUGGACUCGGCGAGUUCAGCCAUGGACUCGGCGAGUCCAGCCUUCAGAAACCCAAAAAACGAAUUUUCCAGAUAUGCAAUGCAUCAAUACAAUUGAAACCAAGCUAGGCUCUGAUACCACUGAUGGGUUUUGGUCAUAAGACAUCCUAUGUGCUCAUACAAACCCUAAUGCUUGGAUCUAGGUUUCUCUAUUGUACAUGCUUUGAAUCCAAGACUAUAAACCCUAAUUCUAGCAUAUGGAAAUCAAUAUUAACAUAUAAUUAGGUUUAAGAUAUUACCUUGAUUGUUAUGUAGCAAUAACAAUCCCAAUUCCUCCUUGAAUUGACUUUGGAAGGCUUAGAGUCACAAGUGUCACUCCUCUAAUGGCUUACAAACACCAUAAGCAAGUGGAGAAGGUAUAAAGAGAGAGGAGAGAGGUAGGAAUUCGUCCUUAGGACUUCUUGGGAAGGGUUAGACGAAUUCAUGAGCCUUAGGGGGUUUAUAUAGGUGUAAAGAUUAGGGUUUUAGUCCUUAUCCUUAUCUAGUUGCUUGCCCACCAAGCAACCAUAAGAUAAGUCUUAGAAACCCUUAUCCUAGUCGAAUUCUAAGGCAUUAUCUCCUUAAAUUCGUUCACCCUAUAUUUAAGAUAAUCCUUACCUUAUUUUGUAACUAUCACAUAAUUACAAUUCAGCCCCUCUAGUUUAAUUAAUUACACUUGAUCACAAAAUUAAUUCUUAAUUAAUUAUUGACCAAUAUUAAUUAAACAAAUAUGAUUUCUCCUUUAAUAUAUUAUUCUUAUAACAUAUUAAUAAACCAUAAUAACCUCUCUCUUUAUUUAUUUCUCCAAUCAAGUUGCUUUGGUGAAGGCAACCCAAAAGGACCAUGCACCAUCGAGUCAAGUACAUACCAAAAUAGUUAUGGACUUAGACACUAGUCCAACAGUUUCCUUCCAGUAGGAACGGGUCUAAGGCCACAAUGCCGGCCCGUUUAGUUAGCAGUAGUUUCCGGAUUUCGGUCUGAUGCAGUAGUUAGUAUGUUUGAUGCCUUCGUGGCUUAGACAGGAUUUAUGUGUUAUGUGUUCCGGGCUACGGCCCGAUGCAUUAUGCAGUAUAUGUAUUCAUGCUAGUUGAUAUGUUUAUGCCAUGCUAUGUUGAGUUAGUUCCGGACUUCGGUCCGAUGCAGUUAGUCCGGACUUCGGUCCGAUGCAGGGGACAAGGUCCCAGUCAGUUUCCAAACUUCGAUCCGAGGCAGGGGACAAGGUCCGAGUCAGUUAGUCCGGACUUCGGUCCGAUGCAGGGGACAAGGUCCCAUUCAGUUCCAGACUUCGGUCCGAUGCAGGGGGCAAGGCCCCAGUUAGUCCGGACCUCGGUCCGAUGCAGUGGGCAAGGCCCAGUAUGUGCUUUAUAUGUUUGUAUGGUAUGUGGUAGUUUGGGGGAGCUCACUAAGCUUCGUGCUUACAGUUUCAGUUUUUGGUUUC